rnacentral:lncRNA from 1 species
CAUCUCUAAGAGGGACGUCCAUAUCAAUGCUCACGGAAUCGUUGUUGUCGGUGAUUGCUUGAUCAGUGGAAACUGCUCCGACGGCGCCGCCUCCUUCCUCCGUGGAGAACAUUUUCAGGCUGAGCGGUUGGAAGUAAUAAAGAAGGUGAUUUUGUAAACUGCUUUUGGGUGAGUGAGUGAUGUUGGAGAAAAGGUGGCAAAGUGGAUACGAUGAUGGGAAAUAUUUUAUAGCUUACACGAUACACAUAUAUAUAUGGGAAAUACUUACACCGUGUUUGGUUUAGUGUAAUAGCUAAUCCAUUACGCCCCGAUUACGUGCCUAUUACAUUACUGAUCUAUUCCGGCGUUUGGUUCGCUGUAAUAGGUAUUACGCGCCUAUUACAAUACCGACCUAAGCCCCAAAUUCUCUGCUUUUCUAUUCCCUUCCCAAAUCCCAGAUUACCUAUUACGUCCGGCUUCCCUUCCCAAGUCUCUGUUUUACCCUCCCUCCCUACCCGAAAUCGACCUCCACCCUCUCCUUUUUCUGUCCUCAUCAUUUCUCCUCCCAUUUCACACUGCUUCAUUUUUUUCUCUCGGAGCACGUUUGGUUUUUGAAUAUUGAGGUAUGAAUCAACGUUUGGUUAAAAUGUUUAUGAUUUACUUGUUUAAAGUUUUCUAGAUCUUUUUCUAUAUCUAUAGUUUCUGCUAGUUCUAUUUCUUUGUUUUUCUUUUUGGUGCUAAAUACUCGCUCGAAUUAUUUUUUGAUUUGGAAUUAGGGUGUUUUCCGAUUAUAAUCUUACUAUUCUGAAAUCUUACUAAUGCUAUAUCGGUUACCCACAAUUUGUUCGUAACGAAAAACAUGGUUGGUAUUUUUUCCAGAUUUUCUGUUGGCAGGUCUGCCCAUCGACGCUCCAAGAGUGCCUUUGUAAGUUUCUAUAGCUUACAUAAAGAGGCGAAUAUAAGGGAAUGUAAAAUUGUUAUUUAGGCCCUUAACUUUAUUAAAAUUUCAAAUUAGUAAAGGUAAAAUUAUACUUUGGCCUCAUAAAAUUAUAAAAAUUCAAUUUAAUCUUUUAAAAAUUAUAAAGAUAUAGACUACAAAAAAUUAAAAUUUCAUUCUAUCCACCCUAAAAAAUUAUUCGGGCUUUGCUGCUACUUACAUAAUAAACAUAUGGAAAAUACUUUUGGUGUAAUUCAAAUUUACCCCUUAUAGUCAAUUUAAUUUUCAUUUUUUUUAAUUUAAUUUUCUAUCUUUUGGAAGAGUCGAACUUAACUAUCAAUUUAAAUUUAUGUUUUUUUAACGAAAAUAGUGACUAAAAUAUUAAAAUGUUAAACAUGACAACUCAAACGGCAAUCCACAUCUAUAUUUUUAUAUUCAUUUCUUAUUUUUUAAAUUAUUUAUUGACGUGACAUAUAAUAAAAGUAUUGUUAUGUUAGCAUGAAGUACACAUGAAUUGCCACACUAGUUGUGACACCAAUAUCGUUAAAAAAUUAAUAUUUCAGUUAGCAUAUUUGUUAAAGAAAAGUAAAUUGGUUCUUUUUUGAAAGGUUAAUGGUUAAAUUUAGCUCAAAUGAAAAAAAAUAAAGGCCAAUUUGAUAAAAAAAGGUAAAUGUCAAAAGUUAAGUUUAUCAUUUAUACAAGUAUAAAUAUAUGUCUGGAUUAAUCUAGAAAGAACCAGACAAACUCUACACGUGAUAUUCAAAUGUGACGAGAGGGAAAUCUACACAUCACAAUUGAGAAUAAUAUUAUAGAAAUACUCAAAAACCUAAAACCUUCCCCUUAACCAAGAAGCUAAGACGCUAUGGAUAAUUUUAUAUCUACAACACUUCAUGAAUUUCAUAUGCUUAAUAAGAGUUCUUUAAAUAUAUUCGAUUUUUAUUUUAUUAUUUAUAUUAUUUUGACUCAGUAUUUAAAUUAUCAUUAUGUUACAUGAUUUAUUUCAAAUAUUUUAUAUAUUUUUAUAACGAAAUUUGAAUUAAAAAAAUAUCAAUUUUAUUAUUAAAUUAUAAUUUGAUAUAUUUUGAGAUAAUGCAAUUUUAAGUAUUUCAAUUUAUUUAAUCAUUAUUUUUAAACUCGUUUUUUGUUUUGUUAGUAUUGCAUAAUUUUAACGUGUAUAUAUAUAUAUAUAUUUAAAGUUCUACUUAUUUUUAAGUUAUGUCAAAUAAUUGACAACUUUAUUAAAGUAUGCAUUUGAAUUUAUAAAUUUUUUUAGGUUGAAAUUAAAUUGUAUACUUUUACGAUAGUAAAAAUAUAAUUUUAUCAUUUUAAUUGCCUAUAUCGUUAUAAAUUUUAAAAUAUUAAAUCAAAUUUAUAUCAUUUUUGGAGGGUAAAGUAUAAUUUUAUCAUUACUAAUUUAAAAUUUUAUAAAUUAUAAAGGGGUCUAAAUAAUUUUUUUUUCAUUUUAAAGGAGACCAAGACUCUACAACCCUUGAAUUCGCCUCUAUCCAUAUAUUAUAUUUUAUUAAUCGAUUAUACAUGUAAACAUAUUUGUUUUUACUAAUACAUUUUAUUAAUCAAAUGGCUUUUUUUUUUUUACUGUUAAGUUAUCUUUUUUUAACUCCAUACAACAAAAUUUAUUUGCUCACAGUUUAACAUAUUUUUUUAUUAUUUCAGCAAUAAUAUUUUAUACUUAUCUAUAUAUCAAAUAUCAUGAUUCUCUAACAUUAUUAAGAUUAAAUAAAUAAAAUAUGUAUAUAUAUAAAUAAUGUUUUUUUACAAAAUUUUAAUUGUUUAAUCUCAAUAAUUUUCUUUUGCAACAUUAAAUCAUAUAAUACAUUUAGAAUAUUAAAAAUGUAUCAGAUUUUUAUUAAUAUAUACAUACAAUAAAUUUGUGUAUAGCAUGAGUAAACAAAUUAAUUAUUAAACUAUAAUUUGGCUCAAACUAAGUUAACCUUAACUUAAAAUUAGGUUAAAGUACUUGGGAUUUGGGACUUGGGAGGUUGGACUGGAUUAAAUUAGUCCUUCUGUUAUUAAAUGGAUCGAUUUAGUCCUUAUAUUAUUAAAAAGAAUCAAAUAAGUUCAAACUGAAAUAGAGUUAACAUUUACUGUAUAAAAAAUGUCUCGGCAAUUGCAAUUCAAUUCCAAACAGAAUGGUUCAUGUAUAUAACCAUAAGAACUUUUUAAAUAUUCACUUGUUAGACAAUAAUAGUAUAGGACUAAAUUGAUCCAUAUAUAUAUUAUUAAUAGAAAUGAGAAUUGUGCUUGGCCAAGUUUCUAAGUUUGGUAUUUGUUCUUACUUUCCUUCUUCAACCGUAGGAGCCACUCUCAUGACUUUUAUUUACUUUGCCAAGUUACUAAGUCAUGACUUUAGUAAAAGAUUUAGUUCCAUUUGUCGCUCCAACAUAACUUUUUUUUAACGAAGAUUCCAGUUAUAUCGAUAGGUAUACAUUGUUUCAAUAAUAAUUCGAAACAAUCAAUUUUAUUUUUUGCACAACGGUGGCGGGAGGUGGCAAGCAGGGGUAAAUGUAUAAGAUUAUAAAUUUCAAAGGUAAGAUUGUAAUUUGGCCCCAAAAAAUCAUAAGGCUUUAAUUUAGUUCUUUAAAAAAUUAUAAUGGUAUUAGCUAAUACAAUGAUGAAACUGUGUUUUAACCCUUAUCGAAAUUUAUAAUUUAAUUUCGGUCCCUCAAAUAAAAUUUUUGACUUCGUCCUUAUUUCCGCACUAGUAAAAAUUCUAAUCUAUAUCAUCUGCAACGGCCAAUACUAUAACAGUCUGAUUUUCAAUGGUAUCGGAAAAGAUGGUUUUGAAACCCCAUUUUCAUUGUCUGAGUCCAUAAAUAUUAAUAUUUAAUAUUUACAAGGCUAGUAUAAAAGUUUAUUGCAGUUUGGUCCAGCAAUUUUGUCUAAUUGAUAGUUAAAUAAGGUACAUGAACUAAAUUAUAAAAGUCCAAUCAAUAUAGGUUUUUAAUUAGCAAAGGACCAAAAGGGCUAUUAAACCAUCUUUUAUUAUAUGAUAGUGGAUAUAAACAAAUAUUAAAUUUAGUUAAUUAAACUUGAUUAUGAUUAAUUAAUCCAGUUUAAUUAAAUUCUAAUUAGACAAUAUAUACAAAUUAAGUGGAAAAAAUGAAAACAUUUUUCAUCUUCAUCAUCUUUGCUGAAUUUGAGAGACAGAAAAACCUAGAAAGCUUUCAUACAUUCGGUCCUCAAUUUCUAAGGCGAUUUAAGUUUUUUUCUUGUAACUUUUAUAUAUUUGAGGUUAUGGACGCUUCAUUUAUUUAGCUCAUGUAAUAAUUUGUAAAAUUGUUAAAGUUUUUGAAAGUUGCCGUUUUUAGUUUCUUGAAUAAAUAAAUAUUAAAUUAAUAGAUUUUAAGGUUAGAUGUGAAAAAGAAUUAAAUUAUAAAAUUUAAAUUGAUAAUUUUAAGCAAAAGGAUAAAAUUGUAUAAAUUGAAAAUUUGACGCUAGUUUUUUUAUAGUUUUAGAUAAUAGAGAGUUCUAAAAGAAUGUGAUUGAAAUUGAUUUCUGAUUUAGAGAUUAAAUUAAAUAAAAUAUGAAAUUUUAAAAAUAUCAUAAAAAUAAAAUUUAACUGACUCAUGCAUGCAUAUAACAAAAACUAAAAUUUUAAGGACACACCUUCAUGCAUUUCACUUCAUUAAUAACGAAAGAAGCAUGGCUACCUAGCUUUCUGCUUCAUCCAAAAUUGUUGAACUUUGGCCUAUAAUGCAAUAGUAGAGAAGCAAUGAAGCUCAACCAGUACAACAGCAACAUUUUGUUCAUAUGCAACUAGCUUUAGUUCUUUUGUAAUUUGUAUUUAAAGUUAGUAAGAUUAGUUGAUGAUUUGAAUAAUGUCUAAUGUGAUGUAAUAGUUGAUAUGCCAACUACAUUUUGUGUGUAAUUUAAGCUUUGUUUUAGUCAAGUUAUUAGUGGGAGCAGUUGUGUAUUAGGAAACUCUCAUGUAACUUAUAUGUUUAUCUUAAUGAAAAAUGCAUAUGAAAUUAGUUUUCAAGUUUCAUUUUUGUUCAAUUCUCUUUGUAUUCGUUUCUUGCUACUUUUCUCCUUUGUUUUCUAUCAAAACAUCAACAAAUGGUAUACAGAGCCUGUCAUUUUUGAGGGACUUUAUUGUUGGUAGUUGUUUUUGUGAGAAACCUUGAAGAAAAAGAAACUGAGGUUGUUGUUUUUAUUGUUGCUGCAAAAUGAGUUUUACACCACCACCACUACCACCUCUUUUUGCUGGUGAAAACUACCACAUUUGGGUAGUAAAGAUGAAGACUUACCUGCAAGCACAUGACUUGUGGAAUGUGGUUGAGAAUGACACAGAACCAGCUCCAUUGAGGGCCAAUCCCACUAUUGUAGAAAUUAGACAACAUUGUGUAAAGUGUGCUAAGAAGCACAAAUCUAUGUCAUGCUUAAAAAAUAGUGUCUGAUGUGAUCUUCACUCGAAUAAUGGCUUGUGACACUCCAAAGUAAGCCUCAGAGAAGCUGAAGGAAGAGUUUCUCGGGCCAGACAAGACUAGGCAGUAGCAGUUGAUCAACCUUAGGAAGGACUUUAAGAACUUGAAGAUGAGAGAGUCUAAAACAAUCAAGCAGUACUCUGAUAGGAUAAUGGCCACAGUCAACAACAUCAGGCUCCUUAGAGAUGAAUUCAGUGAGAGUAGAAUUGUUAAGAAAGUCAUUACAACCCUUCUUGAAAAAUUUAAAGCAAAAAUCUCCUCAUUAGAAGACUCGAGAGAUUUAUCAACCAUCUCACUAUCUGAGUUGAUAAAUGCUCUAUAUGCAUUAGAGCAAAGAAGGGCCAAUAGGAUGGAAGAGCAUCCUGAAGGAGCUUUCCAACUAGAAACCAAGGAAAGCUCAGGUUCAAGCUAUAAAGGAAAGAAACCAUGGCUUAACAAAAGGGAGAAACCAAAGAGGGAUGCAGGGAAGAAAAUGUUCCCACCAUGUAUUCACUGCAAAAGGUCCACACACUUGGAGAGGUAUUGCUGGUACAGACCUGAUAUUCAGUGUAAGAGCUGCAAGUAGUUUGGUCACAUUGAAAAGGUUUGCAAGAACAAAGGAACGACAUAAGCUCAACAGCAAAAUCAAGCUCAAGCUGCUGAGGAUAUUCAAGCUCAAGAGGAGCAUGUUUUCACUGCAUCCUAUUUUGCAACCUCAAGAAAAUUCAGAAGAGACUAGUUAGUAAACAGUGGCUGCACUCAUCAUAUGGCAUCUGAUGAAGGGUUAUUCAGAGAUCUUAACAAAAGAUUUGUUUCCAAAGUUAAGAUUGGAAAUAGAAACCUUAUUGAGGCCAGAGGCAAAAGCAAUGUUGUGAUCAACACACAUUCAGGUAACAAAAUAAUUUCAGAUGUUCUUUUUGUACUUGACAUAGACCAAAAUCUGCUUAGUGUUGGUCAAUUAAUAUAAAAGGGUUAUUCACUCAAUUUUAAGAACAACUCCUGUGUUAUUGGAGAUUCACUUGGUGAAGAAUUAGUUACAGUUGCUAUGACUGAGAGAUGCUUUAUGUUGGAUGUGAACCAGUUUGAAAUGAAGGCCUAUACUAGUCUUGCUGAUAAAGCUAGUUUAUGGCAUAAAAGGUUAGGCCAUGUCAAUUAUAAAUCACUCAGUUUGUUGCACAAACUCAAUUUGGUUGAAGACAUGUCCAAGGUUGAAGUCAAAGACAAAGUUUGUAAAAUUUGUCAGCUUGGGAAGCAAGUGAGAUUGCCUUUUCCAGUUAACAAGGCAUGGAGAGCUCGAGACAAGCUUCAAUUGGCCCAUACUGACAUUUGUGGACCAAUGAAGACCUUUUCUUUGAAUGAUAGCAGAUACUUUGUGCUAUUCAUAAAUGAUUAUACAAGGUUCUACUGGGUAAUUUUCUAAGACAAAAGUCAAAAGUACCUGAAGUAUUCAGCAAGUUCAAAGCCUUAGCUGAGAAUUAAUGAGGCUGUAAGCUUAAGGCCUUGAGAUUCAGUAAUUUGAUGAGGAAAAUGUAUGGAACUGGAAUGUUACAGAUGCAAACUUGAGUGAGGAAGGUCAACAAGAUAAUAAUCUGUAACCAGCUGAAGAAGAAGAGCCAAUUGCUGAUGAUUUUGAUGAUGUACCUGUGAAAGACACAAGAACCAUUACUGACAUCUAUCAAAGAUGUGAUGUUGCAAUACUGGACCUACAAAUUUGAUGAGGCUGCCAGAGAAUAGUGUUGGAAAAGGGCCAUGGAAGUUGAAAUGGAGAUGAUACACAAGAACAACAUUGGGAACUGGUUGACAGACCAGACCAAAAGAGAGUUAUUGGUCUGAAGUGGGUGUUUAUGGUUAAGUACAAUAUUGAUGGGUCUCUAAACAAACACAAGGCAAGACUUGUGGUGAAGGGAUACAGCCAACAGUAUGGCAUCGAUUUCAUAGAAACAUUUGCUCCAGUUGCAAGGUUAGUUACUAUAAGGCACUUGUUUUCCUUAGCUGCUCAAAAGAAAUGGAGAGUGAAUCAAUUGGAUGUUAAGUCUGCUUUUCUGAAUGGCUUCCUUAAGGAAGAAAUCUUCAUUGAACAACCAUAUGGGUUCAAGAUUCCUCAUGAAGAGAAUAAGGUCUACAAGCUGAAAAAGGCUUUGUAUGGUUUGAAGCAAGCACUAAGGGCCUGGUAUGACAGAGUUGGUGCAUAUCUGUCUAGGCUCAGUUUUGAGAAGAGUAUCAGUGAGCCUACUCUCUAUGUGAAGAAAUCAAAAAAUGAAACCCUGUUGAUUAUGUCACUUUAUGUAGAUGAUCUACUAGUAAUUGGAAGCGAGGGGAAGCUGAUUGAAGAGUUUAAAAUAUAGAUGCAAGAUGUCUUUGAAAUGAGUGACUUGGGGGAAAUGACUUACUUUCUUGGCAUGAAAGUGAAUCAGUUUGAUCAUGCCAUCUUCAUAAGUUAGCAAGCUUUUGCCAUAAAUAUUUUAAACAAAUUUUGCAUGUCAAAAUACAAAAUUUUUAGCACACCAGUGGCUCAAGGUGAAAAAGUAACCAACCUUGGCAACCAUGAAAGAGUUGAUGAGAAGGUGUAUAGAAGCCUUGUAGGUUGUCUACUCUACUUGACAGCUACAAGGCUUGAUAUCAUGUUUGUUGUUAGCCUUCUGUCCAGAUUCAUCCAUUGUCGCAAUGUUGUUCAUUUUAAGGCAGCCAAAAGAGUUCUUAGAUAUGUGAAAGGGACUUUGGAUUAUUGAGUGAAAUUUGGGAAGACAAACGAACUCAAGUUGAUAGGGUAUUCUGAUAGUGAUUGGGCAGGUCCAUUGAUGACAUGAAGAGCACAUCUGACUAUUUCUUCACUCUUGGCUAAGGUGUUUUUUGUUGGAGUUCAAAGAAACAACAAAUAGUUGCUUAAUCAAUAGCAGAAGCAGAGUGCAUUGCAGCUGCUGUAGCUGUUAAUCAAGCCAUUGGUUUAGGAAGCUCUUAUGUAAUUUGAAUGAAGAUCAAGUUGAAGCUACUAAUAUUAGAGUUGACAAUAAGUCAGCUGUUGCCAUAGCAAAAAAUUCAGUAUUUCAUGGCAAAACUAAGCAUUUUAAGAUUAAAUUUUAUUUUGUUAGAGAGGUUGAACAAUCAAAAGAAGUUAAUUCAAUUCAUUGCAGCUCAAAAAACCAGCUUGCCGAUAUUCUAACUAAGUCUCUCGGUGCUAUAAGAUUUGAGAACUUAAGAAGAAGUAUUGGUGUUUGUUGCAUAUAGUCCAAGGAGGAGUGUUGAACUUUGGCCUGCAAUGCAACAGCAGAGAAGCAUUGAAGCUCAACCAGCACAGCAGCAACAUUUUGUUCAUAUGCAACUAGCUUUAGUUCUUUUGUAAUUUGUAUUUAAAGUUAGUAAGAUUAGCAGAACUGGAUAUUGUCGUAUUUGAUUAUAAAAAGGUGUCGGCUGGAAUUUAAUUCUCAUUGAGUGUUUUUUUAUAAAAUAACUUGAAAAUUUUUAUUAAUUAUAAAAAUGAUAUUUUUUAUUAGGUAAUAAAUAAUAAAACUGAGUGAAAUUAAAGAGAUUAGUGCCACAUCAACCAAUCAUUAACUGUUAAAAUUAAAAAAAUUAUUUUUUGAAUGAAGCCAACCCAUAUCGCAUCAUUGCGGCAGAAAGCAAUAAAGUAUGCACUAAUCAAUUGUUUUUAAUUGCUAAUAUUUAGUGAUAAAAUAAUAUUUAAUUAUCGAAAUUUGAUAAUAGUAACGAAGUUGAAAAAGGUUUUACAAUUUAGUUUUGAAAUAUAUAUUUUUAUUGAAGUUAAACUGUAAUUUAAUUAUAUUGAUUUGUAAUUUUACAUUGUUUAAAGGGACUAGAUCAAUUUUUUAUUAUUUUGGAGGUCAAUAUGCAAUUUAACAUGUAAAAUUUCAACUUUCAAGGAGACUCAAAGCAUAAAUUAACAUUUUAGGGGACCAAGGUCUUGCCUACCCCUUGUCGCCACCCCUCAUUGGUAAUUUAACUACUUCGGCCUUUGAAUUUUUUUGUCUAAAUUUAUCCUGAAAUUUGAUAGUUUUUCCUAAUGUAGUCCUUGAACAUUGGUCUAUGCUACAUCUUAGAUUUUUUUUAAAAAAUUUUUUAAAUGAUGACAUGGUUUUUUAAUAGAAUUUAAGUUCAAGAAUUAAAUUUAAAAAAUUGUUAAGUUCAAAGGCUAAAUAUUACAUUAUCCUUAAUAUUUGUUACCCGGUUUUAGAAGUCCAUUGAAUUUCUUGCCUGUUUACUUUUGUUAUUAACCAUUGCUUUGUUCUUCUUUGUUUAAUUUUAGGUCCCAUAAUUGAAAAAAGAAUGGAUGAGAAAUUUCUAAAAUCAUUAGAAACAAGAAAAUAUGAUCUCAAAUCCAAUGAAGCAUUGAAGCUCAACUAGUACAGCAGCAACAUUUUGUUCAUAUGCAACUAGCUUUAGUUCUUUUGUAAUUUGUAUUUAAAGUUGGUAAGAUUAUUUGAUGAUGUGAAUGAUGUCCAAUGUGAUGUAAUAGCUGAUAUGUCAGCUACAUUUUUUGUGUAAUUUAAGCUUUGUUUUAGUCAAGUUAUUAGUGGGAGAAGUUGUGUAUUAAGAAACUGUCAUGUAACUUCUAUGUUUAUCUUAUUGAAAAAUGUAAAUGAAAUCAGUUUUCAGGUUUCAUUUUUGUUCAAUUCUCUUUGGAUCCGUUUCUUGCUUCUUUUCUCCUUUGUUUUCUGUCAAAACACCAACAAAAAUUCACAUGUAUACAAAUUAGGACAACGUAAGUGGUCACUGAACAGCCCUAUUUAAAGAAGAAUAUACCAAAAUAAGACAAACCUAAGACCUGAACACUGACCUCAUGUGCUGCAAAGCUAUAAGAUGUUCUGAAAUUACGAAAAUCUUGUUAACAUUAAUGGAAGACAAUUAAUAAUGGUUGCCAUUAACAUUAAUGGGAGACAAUCAAUAAUGACAACCACCAACUUUGGAAAAGUGGCAAGGGAUAAUUUUUUUUGGUCCUUGAGAUAAUGGGCUAUUUAUUGUUUGGUCCUUGAACCUCAACUAUAAAUAGGUCUUCUCAUUUCUCAUUUCAAUUCAUCCCAACCAAUCUUUCUCUCUUAGUUUUCUCUCUUCUCCCAUUUGAGAAUUCUUAAGGAAUUCUAUUUGUUUGUAAUACUUUGAAGAUAGUAAAGUUAUCAUCUGGUGUUAGUGCCCGAGGACGUAGGUAUAAUUUACCGAACCUCGUUAAAACUCUUGUGUUCUUUAUUGUCCUAUUUUUCUUUCAAUAUUUGAGGGUAUAAUAGUAGUAUUUAAUUGUGCUAUUAAAUUACUAUAGAAGGGAUAUUCUGUCUAAGGAAAGACUUGGUAUUUAAGAGAUCCAUGUGAUCCACCUCUCUUCCCUGGGAAUUGAACUUUGUGUGAUUUUUAGUACAAUAAUUUAUACGCUUCCAACCCUAUUGGAACUACAAGUGGUAUCAAGAGCCGAAGGUUAAUCGUAGUAUGCUCUGUGGUUGCAGUUUAAACUGAUCUUCCACAUCAGAAAAGAUUUCCUUAGGUAUAUUGAAAGAUUAUGGAGAAAACGGUCGGUGUAGGAGCUUCAACAUCGUCCAUGUGGACAAGACCGACAAUUGCAAAUGCAAGAUUGGCCGUAGAGAUCUUUGAUGGCACGGGCCAUUUUGGUAUGUGGCAAAGUGAGGUUCUAGAUGCCCUUUUUCAGCAGGGUCUAGACAUUGCCAUUGAUGAAGAGAAACCAGAUGAUGUACAGGAGAAAGAUUGGAAAGCGAUCAAUCGGUUGGCAUGUGGCACAAUUCGAUCAUGCCUUUCUCGAGAGCAGAGGUAUGCUUUUUCAAAAGAGACUUCUGUAAAUAAGUUGUGGGUGGCACUUGAAGAUAAUUUUUUGAAGAAAAACAGUCAAAAUAAGCUCCACUUGAAGAAAAGACUGUUUCGCUUCACAUACGUCCCAAGUACCACAAUGAAUGAUCACAUCACCAAAUUUAAUCAGUUAGUCACUGAUUUGCUGAAAAUGGAUGAGACAUUCAAAGAUGAAGAUUUGGCUUUGAUGCUGUUGGGGUCACUUCCUGAGGAGUUUGAGUUCCUAGAAACUACUCUACUUCAUGGCAGGAGUGAUAUAUCUCUGAGCGAAGUCUGUGCGGCCUUAUACAGUUACGAACAGAGAAAGAAGGACAAACAGAAAAACUCAAUCAGAGAUACAGAAGCUUUAGUAGUCCGAGGUCGUUCAUACACUCGGAAGAAAACUCAAAAUGGGAGAUCAAAGUUAAAGUCCAGACUCGGGAAAGAUGAAUGUGCUUUUUGUCAUGAGAAAGGCCACUGGAAGAAAAAUUGUCCAAAGCUGAAGAAUAAGGGAGAAGCUGCUGUAGAUGCUUGUGUUGCUAAGCAUGAUACUAGUGACUCUGAACUAUCACUGGUUGCAUCAUCAUCGUCAUUCCAUUCAGAUGAGUGGAUAUUGGAUUCGGGUUGUACCUAUCAUAUGUCCCCUAACCGGGAGUGGUUCUCUGAUUUAGUAGAACUAAAUGGAGGAGUUAUUUAUAUGAGCAAUGACAAUGCCUGUAAAACUGUUGGGAUAGGUUCAAUCCAAUUAAAGAAUCAAGAUGGAUCAACCAGAGUUCUGACUGAUGUUCGGUACGUUCCCAGUUUGAAGAAAAAUCUCAUCUCAUUGGGAGCCUUGGAAUCCAAUGGUUCAGUUGUUACUAUGAGAGAUGGGAUUUUGAAAGUGACAUCUGGCGCACUUGUGAUAUUGAAGGGCAUCAGGAAAAAUAACUUGUAUUACUACCAAGGUAGUACAGUUAUUGGAGCAGUCGCUACAGCUUCCGGUAACAAAGAAUUGGACUCAAUGCAGUUGUGGCAUAUGAAGUUGGGACAUGCCAGCAAAAAAUCCUUGCAAAUUCUGGCAAAGCAAGGAUUGUUGAAAGGUGCAAAGGCUUGCAAAUUAAAAUUUUGCGAGCAUUGUGUUCUGGGAAAGCAAAAGAGAGUGAAAUUCGGUACUGCUAUCCAUAAUACAAAAGGUAUUUUGGAAUAUGUUCACUCAGAUGUGUGGGGGCCUUCCAAGACACCUUCAUUGGGAGGAAAACACUACUUUGUUACUUUUGUUGAUGACUUUUCCAGAAGAGUUUGGGUGUAUACCAUGAGAACUAAGGAUGAAGUGCUUAGAGUUUUUUCUUAAAUGGAAAACUAUGAUCGAAAACCAGACUGGCAAGAAAAUCAAGCGGCUUAGGACGGACAAUGGAGGGGAAUAUAAAAGUGAUUCGUUCUUCGAUGUGUGCCAAGAGUAUAGUAUUGUUCGACACUUCACAGUUAGGGAUACACCACAACAGAAUGGAUUGGCAGAGCGUAUGAAUCGAACAUUGCUAGAGAAAGUUCGAUGUAUGUUGUCCAAUGCUGGGUUGGGCAAGCAAUUUUGGGCUGAGGCUGUGACAUACGCUGGCCAUCUUGUUAAUCGUUUGCCAUCAUCUGCAUUAGAAAGAAAAACUCCUAUAGAGGUAUGGUCUGGAAAACCGGCUACAGAUUAUGAUUCCUUACAUGUGUUUGGAACCACUGCAUAUUACCAUGUGAAGGAGUCAAAGUUAGAUCCGAGGGUAAAGAAAGCUCUCUUUAUGGGAAUCACUUCUAGAGUGAAGGGAUUUCGUCUUUGGUGCUUAAGCACAAAGAAAAUGAUCUGUAGCAGAGAUUUUACCUUUGAUGAAUCUGCCACAUUGAAAAAGGUAGCAGAUAAAGAUAUUCAGACGAGCAAUACUCCACAGCAGGUGGAGUGUACUCCAAAACAGGUGGAGUUUGAGCAGAUGAGGAUUUGCCCAGUUAAUAAGUCUAAUUCUCCAGCCACAAUAGAGGAAUUAGAGGUUGAAGAGGUUCUGACCCAAGAACCACUAAGUACACCAGAACCAGUUGCAGUUGCAAGGCCACGGAGAGAAAUUCGUAAACCUGCUCGAUUUACUGAUAUGGUGGCCUACGCCCUUCCCGUUGUUGAUGAUAUUCCUAUCACUUAUCAAGAAGCAAUGCAAAGCUUAGAAAGUGAUAAAUGGAAAAGCGCCAUGGAUGAAGAAAUGCAGUCUCUCCGAAAGAACAAUACUUGGGAGUUGGCGCAAUUACCGAAAGGUAAAAGGGCAAUCGGAUGCAAGUGGGUAUUCGCAAAGAGAGAUGGAUCUCCUAGCAAGAAGGAUAUUCGCUACAAGGCAAGAUUGGUAGCUAAAGGCUACGCUCAGAAGGAGGGAAUUGACUACAAUGAUGUAUUUUCCCCUGUUGUGAAGCAUUCCUCCAUUAGAAUUUUGUUGGCCUUGGUAGCACAGUUGAAUUUGGAGCUAGCUCAACUUGAUGUUAAGACGGCUUUCUUGCAUGGUGAGUUAGAAGAGGAGAUCUAUAUGACUCAGCCCGAAGGAUACACAGAUGCUGGUGGUAGAAAUUGGGUUUGUAAGCUUAACAAAUCGCUAUAUGGAUUGAAGCAAUCCCCGAGGCAGUGGUACAAGCGAUUUAAUAGCUUUAUGAGAAGGCAAAAGUACACAAGAAGCAAAUAUGACAAUUGUGUGUAUUUGCAGAAGCUGCAUGACGGAUCUUUCAUUUAUCUACUCUUGUAUGUUGAUGAUAUGUUAAUCGCUUCGAAGAGCCAAAAAGAGAUAGAUAAGCUGAAGGCUCAGUUGAAUCAAGAGUUCGAGAUGAAAGAUCUAGGUGAGGCCAAGAAGAUUCUCGGCAUGGAGAUAAGUAGAGAUAGACAGAGAGGCAAGCUUUGUUUGAAUCAGAAGCAAUAUCUGAAAAAGGUAUUACAAUGUUUUGGUGUAAAUGAAAACACAAAACAUGUAAGUACCCCACUUGUUUCUCAUUUGAAACUUAGUGCUCAAUUAUCUCCGAAAACUGAAGAAGAAAGAGAAUAUAUGGCAAAAGUCCCAUAUGCUAAUGCAGUUGGGAGUUUGAUGUAUGCGAUGGUGUGUACGCGGCCUGACAUUUCACAAGUUGUUGGAGUUGUGAGCAGGUAUAUGCAUGAUCCUGGAAAAGGACAUUGGCAAGCUGUGAAAUGGAUUCUACGGUAUCUUCGAAAAACCGUAGAUGUUGGUUUAAUUUUUGAACAGGAUGAAGCACUUGGUCAGUUUGUAGUUGGAUAUGUUGAUUUCGACUUUGCUGGUGAUUUAGAUAAACGUCGUUCAACUACGGGGUAUCUGUUUACUCUUGCGAAAGCCCUAGUGAGUUGGAAGUCUACCUUACAGUCUACAGUAGCUGUGUCUACUACAGAGGCAGAAUAUAUGGCAGUUACAGAAGCUGUUAAGGAGGCUAUUUGGCUUAAUGGAUUGUUGAAAGACUUAGGAGUUGUUCAAAGUCACAUAAGUUUAUAUUGUGACAGUCAGAGCGCUAUUCAUUUAGCGAAAAAUCAAGUCUAUCAUUCAAGAACCAAGCAUAUCGACGUAAGAUAUCACUUUGUGCGGAAAGUCUUUGAAAAAGGAAAAAUUCUACUUCAGAAGAUUCCGACAGCAGAUAAUCCCGCAGAUAUGAUGACCAAGGUGGUAACAACAAUCAAGUUUAAUCAUUGUUUGAACUUGAUUAACAUCCUGAGAAUUUGAGCACCUUCAGGUGUAUGGCGCUCGAGAGCGCAUUUGUAGGCACUACAAAAGAUAGCUUUAUCGAAUUUGGGGAGUUGAAGGAAGUGUGUGAAGAUGUGAUUAUCCUAAUCAAAUCUUCAAGGUGGAGAUUGUUAACAUUAAUGGAAGACAAUUAAUAAUGGUUGCCAUUAACAUUAAUGGGAGACAAUCAAUAAUGACAACCACCAACUUUGGAAAAGUGGCAAGGGAUAAUUUUUUUUGGUCCUUGAGAUAAUGGGCUAUUUAUUGUUUGGUCCUUGAACCUCAACUAUAAAUAGGCCUUCUCAUUUCUCAUUUCAAUUCAUCCCAACCAAUCUUUCUCUCUUAGUUUUCUCUCUUCUCCCAUUUGAGAAUUCUUAAGGAAUUCUAUUUGUUUGUAAUACUUUGAAGAUAGUAAAGUUAUCAUCUGGUGUUAGUGCCCGAGGACGUAGGUAUAAUUUACCGAACCUCGUUAAAACUCUUGUGUUCUUUCUUGUCCUAUUUUUCUUUCAAUAUUUGAGGGUAUAAUAGUAGUAUUUAAUUGUGCUAUUAAAUUACUAUAGAAGGGAUAUUCUGUCUAAGGAAAGACUUGGUAUUUAAGAGAUCCAUGUGAUCCACCUCUCUUCCCUGGGAAUUGAACUUUGUGUGAUUUUUAGUACAAUAAUUUACAUGCUUCCGACCCUAUUGGAACUACAAAUCUUUGUUCUUUCAUUGGGUUUCUUAUCUUCCUUUUACACAAUUAAAAACCCAUAUAUAAUUUUAAAAAUACUUUCAGGCUUCUUUGUCUUGCUAAUUUCUGUAGAAAAUUACUGGUCUAUCACUGCCCCAAAGGUUCCAGCAUUUGAAGCACAAGAUAUUGGCACAUCAUAUAAGUUCUAAAUUUGUCACCAACAACUGACAAAACUGAGUAGAAUUACAUUAAUUAUGCUUAACAUUACACUUCAGGCAUACAUGCAAUUAAAAGUAAAAUCGAAAUAACACUAAACAUACUCGGAGUCGGAGGUGAAGAGGCGGUUGAAAGAGCGCGGAUUAAAGAGAAGAGGACUGGCGAGGUGGCGGGUAUUGAGGGCAAUGGAUGAGUGUUUUGAGGUGGGUUUUGAAAGAGCGUCUGAGGGAAAGCGAUAGAAACAUGGUGGAAGAAAGGAAGAGUUAAUGGAAGGAAAAUUUUAGGGUUUUGUUCUUUGUAUGAGAUCAUUUCAUAGAAUUGAUUAAGAAAGGAAGCAUCUAAGGAAGGAAAGGAGCUUAUUAGUGUUGUUUUCCGGUUUGGAUGUUUGGUUUAUUUUAUUAUUCAAAAUUAAUUUUUUUAAAACAAUGAAACAAGUUAUUUGAACCAGAUGGGUUUGAGACUAGGUUUGAUUUUUCUUUCUAGAGUCAGAACAUAGGCUUGAUGUAUGAAUACUUUUAAUUACAAUUGUAUUUGAGCUGUGAUGAUAUUCAACUAAAGCCCUCUCAAUAAUAAUAACUCUAAAUUUAAACUUAAAAAUAACUUUGAGCUAAUCUUGAUCGAUUACUCCAAUCACACAACACGAAUAACUAAAGCUUCCUCAACCUCAACAAAUGUUAUAGUGUCAAGAUUGAACAAACUGUCUCCUAGUACCCUAUUGAUUAGGCAACUUUGAUGUUGAACAUCCCACAAAAACAUGAAAAAAAGAAAAGAAAAAGAAUCACAAUUAUAUUUAACUCAUGCAACAAGUUUCACCUUUUUUUUUGUGAGAAAAAGAUCAAGCCACUAUUAGGGAGUCUUGGGCUUCUAGUUGAAGCCUGUGAAUCAUUAGAAUAAGAAAAUUCAUGUAAUGCUUAUUGCCAAAUCACAAUCUCGUCAGAAUUGAGGUUUUUCAAAAACAAAACAAUUAACAAAUAUUUAUGGCCUGAAACCUUAACCUACCCUAAUAGAAAGGUAAAAGAACAAUGUGCUCAAUGGAUUUCACUUCUUCCCCACACCUCGGUCAAUGAGGAUCCACCUCCUUAAACAUUUUGGCAAUGUUUUGUUUAGUAGUAACACAUUGUGGCAAGACCUCCUAAGGAGAUUUUUGAUAUUUAUUAUCACAUUAAGCUCUCAUGAAUGAUUUAAACCUUUCUAAGACAAAUCAUUGUUAGCAUUUUAUCCGUUUGGGGCCGCAUAUGAGAGAGGUAGAGAAAAGAGUCACUCGUACCCAUAUCAAAUGUUGUAAGAUUCAUCUUCCGAAAAAUGCCACACAAAUUUAUCUCGCUUAGUAGGGGACCUAAUAAGGAUUUUCUCAAUAACCUUAUGUUUAUUUUGGCUAAAACAUUGUUGUAGUAAAUCGCUCUUCCAAAUCCACAAGUCCAGAUCAAUCAGGUCCUUAAACAAAAUAAGGCUUAUCUCAAAGGAGGAAAGGAUGGAAUAUAUUCAAAAAGAUUACAAGUCGAGGACCCAUUGAUCAUGUGAAACCAUAAUGUCCUAGUCACUUUUGAAUUCAAUUUGGUUGCAAGAUUUUUAGUUAAAUUAAUAAUUCAAAAUUUUAGUAGGUAUCUUUCAUGUCUGAUGUACGAUUUUUGAAGACUAAUCUUUUUAGGAUUCGUGGUUACCCCUUCCAACGAUAUUAUUAUAUCUAAGGUUUAAAUAUGAAUUUUUUUCUUAGGAAUACAAUAUGCCUCCCCUUCUCAAUUUUUGUUCAUUGUUAAUUGAUCAUUUAAAUAGGAAUGCAUUUGUUUUAAACCUUGGUAAUUAGUUGGGUCUAGUGAACUUUAGGAGCUUAUUCUAUGCAUGUAACUCCCAACAUCCAUUCUUAAGAAUUCGAUGAUUGAAAUAUUUGGUUUCAAAAUUACUUCAAUUGUAAUUAUUACUUGAUUGUGGUACAAAAUUUUUGUUACAAUGUUUAGAACUAUUUACAACUCCUCCUUAACAUUUAAUAAAAGGAUAAAGGCACUUUAGCACGCUUCAACCCACAUAUCCUUCUAUACUAACAACAAUGUUGAUACUAAAUUAAAACUCAAUUUAACAAUUGUACAUAUUUUUAGGUUAAAUAAAUUUUAAGUACACAUAUUGCUGUUGUGAUGUAAGUAUUUAGGAUAAAUCACUGCAUUGUUAGACAAAUUGACCCAGACUAUAAAUUGUAUAUACAAACAAAAUUAAAGAGCAUUGGUAAAAUGUACAAAAAAAAUUGAGUAACAUUCAAUAUUUAUAAUAAAUAAAACACAAAUAUAAUAUACAAAGCUUUGAUGCCUUGAAUCUUUAGGGCUCUUCAAGCAGCCUUUAAUUUUUGUGAUUGGAUGAGUCUUGGCUGCCGCAAAUUGAAGAAGAAAAAUAUAUAAAAGCAUUUCAGAACAAAUACACACAAAAUAAGCUUCUGCAUGUAAGAAACUUAUAUAAGUUCGUUUCGGGUUUCACAAGUUUAAUCUUUUUAAGUUUGAGAUUUUAAUUUUUGAAUUGCAUCAUUACUAAUAAAAUUAUUUUAAGUAUAAAUUAUUCAGAUUAUUUUGAAUUCAAAUAAAUGUUUUGUUUGAAUCAAUUUAUAUUUGGGCCAAUAAUAAAUGGGUUUAAAUAGCUGAUUUUUUAUGGUCAAAGUGAGUUAAUUAGUUAAAUUUUCGGAUUCAUGUUAGAAUUGACACAUUUAAUUAAAAAUAUUUAAGCAUUAAAAUAAUCAAAAAGUCCCUAAGUUCAACUUACGGACGAAAAUUUAUAUUUUUACUUAGACUUCCCGAUUUUUUCAAAUUCUUAAUUAAGCCUCACAAUAAGUAUUGAAAUUUUCAAAAUUUUCAAAAUUUUCAAAACUUGCCUUUAAUUUUCUCAAAAUUCUUGAUUAAAUCUCUUAAAUUUUAUUUUCGAAAAAAGAAUUUCAUUAAACACAAAAAAUUAAAUAGAUUGAAUCCAACAUCUAGGAGUUACAAAAUUCUCAUAAAUAACAAGAGUUUACAAAAAGACUAGUAAACAAAACUUACUUUUGUUGAUGUAUAGCAUAAUAAGUCUGCAAAGCACCAAGCAAAAGUGCAGUAAUGGCACCCACAAAUGCCAAAAACGUCCAAGGACUCCUAAAAUAAGUAUGAUAACCUUGAGCUGCAUGCUUAAUCCACGUAGUCUUACAAUGAUCAUGUAUUUUCCGUUUAACCCCACUGUAAAUCGGACUAGGAACCAAAUCAGUGUUCAUCUUAUUGAAAAGCUUAGCCACUUCUUCAUCACUCCCCAAUCUAUUGUAUAGUAUGCCGGCGUCUCUCAGGUCUUUAACAUCUUCGGCUUCAUCAAUCAAUAAAUCAAGGAAACACAUAUAUGAAGUGACGGUGAAAUCGUUGUCGAAAUCCGGACACAUUUCGUAAGCUAUUAAGUUCAUGGUUGAAUCAUCGACGGAGAUCGGCGGUAAACAUAAUUUUCCGACGAAUAAGAUACGGUUGAAACUGAUGUCGGUUAAACAACUUGUUUCGCUGGCUUUUAACGAUAUCCCGACUUUUUUAAGCUCUUUUACGUUAUGAAUGGUGUGUGAAUGGCACCAUUUUGUUCCUUCUUCUUUUCUACGUUCUUGUUCAUUUGAACACGGAAAACCCCACCGCCGUGGUUUUUCUUUUUUGAAAAGGAGUCUUACUCGUAGUAGAUGCAAUAAGUGAAUUCGCUCUCCUUGCUUCUACUUCCGCCACCAUUCAUCGGAGCAAAAUCUGUAUCAGUCGAAGCAAACCUAUAAAUUUUUUUGGGGUAAAUUACACUAACAGUCACUCAACUUUGGGGUAGCUAACAAAACAGUCACUCAAGUUUCAGUUCAGUCACUGAACUUCUAAAAAAUAACAAAAUAGACACUAAUGUUAUUGAAAAGUGAUAAAUCAGUCACUCAUUAACAAUUGUCAUCACAGGCUUAAUGUGGUCAAUUAACUAGUUGAUGUGACUAGUUAACUUGCCAUGUUGGACAAGUAGUCAAAGGGUCAAAAAGAAAAAAAGAUGAUUAGUUAAGGGUAAAAAGAAAAAUAAGAGAAAUGGAGAAGAAGAAGAAAAGGAGGAAGAAGGGAAAAUGGAAGUCAAAGGGUCAAAAAGAAAAGAAAAGAUGAUUGGUUAAGGGUAAAAAGGAAAAUAAGAGAAAUGGAAAAGAAGAAGAAAAGAAGAACAGGGUAGGAAGAAGGGAAAAUGGAAGGAGCUUCCAAGCUUCAUACCAACGAUUCCCAAGGGUCAAAAUCUGGGAAUUUGGAUUUUGAUCCUUGGGAAUUACUGUUACGAAGUCCUUCCAUUUUCUCCUCUUCUUCUUUUCUUCUUUUUCUCCAUUUCUUCUCUUAUUCUUCUUCUUUUUUUUGUUCUUCUACUGCCCAAACUUCUUAAAUGGGUUUGUUUAAAUGACAGCUAGCCUACCCUUAAAUGUCAUGUCACUUUUUCGUUACGUCUGUAACGAAAAAUGGUUAAAAAGACUGUUUUGUCAGCUACCCCAAAGUUGAGUGAUUAUUGCUAUAAUUUACCCUAUUUCUUAUUUGAAAUUGUAAAUUUUUAACCAGCUAAAUUUAAGGUUUUCAAAACCCAACUCGUUAAGUUAUCGAUUUAUAAUUCUAAUUGGUCUAAUGAAUUCAUCCGAUUAAUUAAAUUAAUUAUUAAAAAUUUUCCAUUUGAUUGCCCAAUUCAAUUAAUUUUUUUUGGUUCAACCUGUUCAUAUAGAUUCUCAAAUCAAUUGGUCCAAUGACUUCCUUCAGACUAAUACCUUAAUUAAUUUCCAAUCCAAAUCGAUUCAAAUAAUAUUGGCUAAAAUACAAUUUUUAUUAUUUUAUUAAUGCAAAAAUUUUACCAUUUUAAAGAUAUUAAAAUAUAAAAUUUCUAUUUUAAAAAGUUGGAUUUGAAAUCAUAAUUUUUUUUCUAAAGAAAUGUACACUCAACAGGACCAAAGGAAUUGGCAGGGAAAUUUUGUUUUAUGGACCGUUUUCAUCACAAAUGAUCUUAUCAAAUUAAAAGAGGAUAGAUCAUCUUUUUUUUCAUAUCAUAUAUACAUUGGGACUAAACUUCCAAAUAAAAAAUAAUGUGUCUUUUUUUAAUUGAGUGGGACCAUAGAUGAUGUGGUGAAAAUGGUCCAUUAAAUAAUUUAUCACAAGCAAGAGUAAUUCCAAAAAUAGAAAAUUACAUUUUAAUUCUUUAAAAAUUAUUAAAUUAUAAAUUUAUAUAUAAUAAAAUUACACUUUGACCCUCAAAAUGGAAAAAAUAUUUUGUUCAGUCUUUUUAAAAAAAUAUGAACUUAUAAAUCAAUACAUGAAAAAAUUUAAGGAUUCGACAAAACUUAUCGGUCAGGCUAGUUGUUGAGAAAAUUGAACAAGGUAUUGAUCCAGAAUAAGAGAUUAGAUUAGAUGAAUUGAGUCAUCGAAUGGAUUUUCUUUAUAUGUUUAAUAUAUCUUUAAUAUUUUCAAAAACUUAUAUAACUGAAUCGAAUAAACUAAUCAAUCAAAAUUAAGAGUAAUCAAUGUAAAAACCUUUUAACAUUUAUAACCUCGACAAAAUGAUUUUUUUAUUUAUUUUUAAAUUCCUUAAAUUACCUGUCCUCGGCUGGGGUGAUAACAGUGUCGUCGAUGAACCUUAUGAUUGCAUUCAUGAACUGUUCGCCAUCACUCGAGCUAGUAAGCAAUUCAAGAACACGAAAAGGUAUUUGGUUCUCCAACAAUAACAGAUCCGAGUACACAAAUGUAAGCAAAUCGUUUUUAAUAAACUGGCCAUAAAUUUUACAAAUAUCAUCACCGUAACGCAUAUAAACUGCUUGUAAAAUUGCGCAGCCGUCAACGAAGAACAUCCAAGCCAGUUUCUCGUCAUCGUCGCUAUACUUCUCUAAUUCCUGUGGAUCAUAGCAUUUCUUUAAGUCAUCGAUCGCUUUUUUCAUGUUGCUGUACAAGGAAUCCUUAUCGACCUUAAUGUUUUUGACGAAAUGUGCUGCUAAUUUGAGCUUGAGCUCCUUGGAUUCCUGGAGGGUGCGAUCAUCGUGGUGGAGUGGGCCGAUUGAGAUCACUUUCGGCCAGAAAUACUUCUUGAAAUCUUUGUUACGGCGAAGGGUUGAUGGGACUUUUCGGAUCAAUAGAUUGGAUUUGAAUUUGGGUUGGCCGCCCUCGAAAGCUUCGUCUAAUUUUUCGAGAUUCGCUAAUUCGCCACUGCUGAGUUGGACGUCGCCACUGCUGAGAGGGACGUCCGUGCACCGCAUAUCAAUGCUCACGGAAUCGUUGUUGGUGUUGUUGUUGAUGGUUGUUUGAUCAGUGGAAACUGCUCCGACGGCGCCGCCUCCUUCCUCCGUGGACGACAUUUUCAGGGUGAGCGGUUGGAAGUAAUAAACAAGGUGAUUUUGUAAACUGUUCUUGGCUGAGUGAGUGAUGUCGGAGAAAAGGUGGCAAAAUGGCUACGAUGAUGACAAAUAUUUUAUAGCUUACAUAAUAAACAAAUAUGGGAAAUACUUGAGGUGUAAUUUAAAUUUACCCCUUAGUGUUUAUAUUUUUACUAAUAUAAUUUUUAACUUUUAAUUUUUUAAUUAAAUUUAAUUUUCUUUUGAAAGAGUCAAUCUUAAAAAAGAAAAGUUAAAUUAAUGUUUUUUUAACAAAAAUAGUGACAAAUAUAAUAAUUGUCCUUAAGAAGCUAAGACCCUAUGAUUGGGACAUUUACAACACUUAAUAAAUUUCAUACACUUAAAAAUAGCUCCAUGCUUCUUUACAUAUAAUAAUUGCAUUUGUUAUUCUACCUAACUCUUGAAAAAUCUCAAAUUUGCAACCACAUAUUAUUCACAUGCCAACCAACCAAUUUAUUACCCACAUGCCAACCAUUUUUUUUAUUGAAGUUAUUGUACUUAUAACCUUUCACAUAUAACUAUGCUUCUUUAGAUAUGCUAAUUGCAUUUAUUGUUGUACCUCACUCGUGAAAAAUCUCAAACUUGCAACAAAAUAUUAUUCACAUGCCAACCAACCACUUUUUUUAUUGAAGUUAUUAUACUUAUAAGCUUUAUGCUUAUUGUAACACUCUAUGUUUGAUUCGAUCUACAGGACACUAUAGUUAUUGUCAGAGCAACUACAGUCAGAAUUACGAAAAGAUAAUUUGUAUUUAACAUCAAUCAUGAUGCAAUUACAGUAACACAUCAAUUAUGAGCUUUAAUCGAGCUUACGAAAGCUUUUUUGGCAGUUCGAGCAAGAAUUAGGACCAAACAGUAAAGAUUUGAAAAGUUUGGAGCGACUUCGUGACUUCAGCUUUUUCUCAUCGCAACAUGACCAUCUCAGUGUGUCACAUCAUAACGAAAAGCCUAUGCUCAUCACAACGAGACUCUCUGACUUGACAAUGUCACAAUGUCAAGAUUUGUAGUCGUGACGUGGACCCUAUAUUUGGCAAAAAUAUACAAUUUGGUACCUAAUUCAAUGCUCCAACUAAAAUCAUGCAAGAAAAAUACAUUACAUGCCAUUUCUAAAUAACUUAAAACUUACCUAAAACAUGCUAAGUAAGUUCAAACAUAUCAUUUCAAUUCCAUAGCAAUUCAUAUUACCAUUUCAUCAUUUAUAUUCAACUUUUCAAUAACUUACACUAAAUAUCAACAAGUUAUACAAACAUCUACCAUUACCUUUAUCAUGCCAUAAUGAAUCAUUCCAUUUCAAACAAUCAUCACAUUAGUUCUUUUAUUUUUCUUUUUUAGUCAACAUAUGAAAACCAACUUAGAUAGAUCACAUUCCAACUUUCCAAAUGCAUCAAAUAUUUCAUAUUCAUGUACUAACAAAGAUCAUGCCAAGAACCCACAUGCAAAGUCAUUAUAUACCACAUUUAACUCAACAAGACUUUUACACAACCAAAGAUUACUCCAAACGUUUAUAUGCAUGUCGCAAUCCUUGACUCAAAGAUAAUAAAAAAAACCGAAUUGACAAUAGAAUAGUGUAAGCUUCAAACGAUCCAACCGACAUGUUCCACAAUGUAACAACCUAAAAGGAAAAAGAAAACAAUGGGGUAAGCAUAUAAGAUGCUUAGUAACUCAUAUGUAAUCUAAACCUUACCUAGAUUAAUUGAACAUAAACAAUUACUCAAUAAGCUAUCAAAUUUAUUUUUCCAUGGCACUUAGAUAUCGUACAUGUAACAAUAUUUCAAGUCGAAAAUGUUAAAUACAAUGUUGAAUCAUUAUGUCUUCUUUUCGUAAGUUUCACUUAUAGAAAUACAAUAUAGGUUCAAGUACAAAUAUAUGUCUCGAUUAAUCUAGAAAGAACUAGACAAAAUCCACACAUGAUAAACGCAUAUAAUGAGUGUGAGACUCACACAUCACAAUUGAGAAUAAUAUUAUAGAACCAAAAUACUCAACAACCCAAAACCUUUGCGUUAACCAAGAAGCUAAGACCCUAUCAGAGGGAGAAUUUUAUAUCUACAACACUUAUUAAAUUUCAUUAGCUUAAUAAUAUAUAUUCAAAUAUUUAACAUUGUAACCAUGCUUCUUUUCAUAUAGUAAUUGCAUUUGUUAUUCUACCCAACUUAUGAAAAAUCUCAAAUAUAUAUUUUCAUUUUAUUACUUAAAUUAUUAUUACUUACUUUAAUAUUUAAAUUAUCAUUAUAUUACAUGAUUUGUUCCAAAUAUUUAACAUUGUAACGAUGCUUCUUUAAAUAUAGUAAUUGCAUUUGUUAUUCUACCUAACUCAUGAAAAAUCUCAAAUUUGCAACAUGUUAUUCACAUGCCAACCAACCAAUUUAUUAUUCACAUUCCAACUUUCUAAAUGCAUCAAAUAUUUCAUAUUCAUGUACUAACAAAGAUCAUGCCAAGAACCCACAUGCAGAGUCAUUAUAUACCACAUUUAACUCAACAAGACUUUUACACAACCAAAGAUUACUCCAAACGUUUAUAUGCAUGUCGCAAUCCUUGACUCAAAUGAUAAAAAAAACACCAAAUUGACAAUAAAAUAGUGUAAGCUUUGAACGAUCCAAUCGACAUGUUCCACAAUGUAACACCUAAAAGGAAAAAGAAAACAAUGGGGUAAGCAUAUAAGAUGCUUAGUAAACUCAUAUGUAAUCUAAAACUUACCUAGAUUAAUUGAACAUAAACAAUUACUCAAUAAGCUAUCAAAUUUAUUUUUCCAUGGCACGUAGAUAUCGUAUAUGUAACAACAUUUCAAGUCGAAAAUGUUAAAUACAAUGUUGAAUCAUUAUGUCUUCUUUUCUUAAGUUUCACUUAUAGAAAUACAAUAUAGGUUCAAGUACAAAUAUAUGUCUCGAUUAAUCUAGAAAGAACUAGACAAAAUUCACAUAUGAUAUAGGCAUAUAAUGAGUGUGAGACUCACACAUCACAAUUGAGAAUAAUGUUAUAGAAAACCUUUGCGUUAAGCAAGAAGCUAAGACCCUAUCGGAGGGAGAAUUUUAUAUCUACAACACUUCUUAAAUUUCAUUAGCUUAAUAAUAGCUAUUCAAAUAUUUAACAUUGUAACCAUGCUUCUUUUCAUAUAGUAAUUGCAUUUGUUAUUCUACCCAACUUAUGAAAAAUCUCAAAUUUGCAAUUUAUUAUUCACAUGCCAAACAACCAAUUUAUUAUUCCAACCAACCAAUUUAUUAUUCACGUGCCAACCAAUUUGUUUUAUCGAAGUUAUUAUACUUAUAAGCUUUCACAUAUAACCAUGCUUCUUUACAUAUAUUAAUUGCAUUUAUUGUUGUACCUCAUGAAAAUUUUCAAAUUUGCAACAACAUAUUAUUCGCAUGCCAACCAACCACUUUUUUUUAUUGAAGUUAUUAUACUUAUAAGCAUUCACAUUUAACCAUGCUUCUUGUAACACUUUUCAUUGGAUCCAAUCGUUGGGUCCGAUCUACAAGACGCUAUAGUCAUUGUCAAAGCAACUACAGUCGAAAUUACGAUAAGAUAAUUUUCAUUUAAACAUUAAGCAAGAUUCAACUACAGUAAUACAUUAAUUAUGAGUUUUAAUCGAGCUUACAAAAGCUUUUUUGGUAGUUCGAACAAGAAUUAGGACCAAACUAUAAAGAUUUGAAAAGUUUGGAGCGACGUCACAACUUCAGCUUUUCCUCAUCGCAACAUGACCAUCUCAGUAUGUCACAUCAUAUCGAAAAGCCUAUGCUCGUCGUGGCGAGACUCUUUGACUUGGCAAUGUCGCAAUGUCAAAAUUUGUAGCCGUUAUGUAAACCCUAUAUUUGACAAAAAUAUACAAUUUGGUACCUAAAUCAAAGCUCCAACUAAAAUCAUGCAAGAAAAAUACAUUACAUGCCAUUUCUAAAUGACUUAAAACUUACCUAAAACAUGCUAAGUAAGUUCAAACAUAUCAUUUCAAUUCCAUAGAAAUUCAUAAAACUUACCUAAAACAUGCUAAGUAAGUUCAAACAUAUCAUUUCAAUUCCAUAGCAAUUCAUAUUACCAUUUCAUCCAUUGUAUUCAACUUUUCAAUAACUUUAACUAAAUAUCAACAAGUUAUACAAACAUCUACCAUUACCUUUAUCAUGCCAUAAUGAAUCAUUUCAUUUCAAACAAUCAUCACAUUAGUUCUUUAAUUUUUCUUUUUUAGUCAACAUAUGCAAACCAACUUAAAUAGAUCACAUUCCAACUUUCCAAAUGCAUCAAAUAUUUCAUAUUCAUGUACUAACAAAGAUCAUGCCAAGAACCCACAUGCAAAGUCAUUAUAUACCAAAUUUAACUCAACAAGACUUUUACACAACCAAAGAUUACUCCAAAUGUUUAUAUGCAUGUCGCAAUCCUUGACUCAAAUGAUAAAAAAAAACUACCAAUUUGACGAUAAAAUAGUUUAAGCUUAAAACGAUCCAACUGACGUGUUUUUUUUUUUGCUCAAUCAAGAUAUUAUAGCUUUCAGCAUUUGUAGAAAUGCUAGCAUUCUACAAAUACAAGAUAACCCUUUCCCAAGAUCAGCAAACCGAGCACAAUCAAGUUGAGCCGACGUGUUCUGCAAGGUAACAACCUAAAAGAAAAAAAGAAACAACGGGAUACGCAUAUGAUAUGUUUAGUAAGCUCAUAUGGAAACUAAAACUUACCUAGAUCAAUUGAACAUAAAAAAUUACUCAAUAAGCUAUUGAAUUAAUUUUUCCUUGGCACUUAUAUACAUAUAGUACAUGUAACAACAUUUCUGUUAAAGAAAAGUAAUUUGACUUUUUUUCUGAAAAGUUAAUGGCUAAAUUUAGCUCAAAUAAAAAAGAAAAAACAAAAGCCAAUUUGGCAGAAAAUAUAAAUAUUGAGGAUAAAAUUUAUCAUUAUGUCUUUUUUUUUUAAGUAAUUAUUUGUGGUGGGCCAUCAUGUUUGACAAUGAUUUUUAAAUACUGUGUUAAUUGUAUAUAGCACAUCAUGUUUGACAAUAAUUUUUAAAGACUUUUAAACAUCGCGUUAAUUGUUUAUGGCCCAUUGCCCAUAUUGCUUUUAUUAAAUUUUGGGUAAACUUCAAGUUAAUCAUUUAAUUUUUAUAAAAUUUCACUUUGGUGAAAAAAAAAUUGUAUGGGAUGGGAGUCUCAGGAUAAAACAAAAAUUAGGAUAAAUGUAAUGCUGAAAUGAAUAUACUGGGAAUCUUUAAUGUUUAUGGCCAAACCCCACCUCUCCUAUCCUAUACUUCAUCUAUAAUAAUGGUUCUUGGCUUCUUCUAUUCUAUACCUCAAUUAUUUGGAUUAGAUUGAAAAACAAUUGACACUUGAUUUGAUUGUGAAAGAAGUUUUAGUUUAAUGAUAUGAUUGAGUUAAAAUUUAAAUUUAUAAUAUUUAACUUGAGUGUGAGUGAAUUUUUGACUUAAUUCAAAAUUUAAAAUAAUAAGUUCGAGUUUUAUUUAAUUAUGUGUGUAUAUCAUGUAUAAAUUUUAUUUAAAUUUAUUUUGAUUUAAUUCUCAUACUAUAUAUUCUUAAUUAAAUUCGGAAUAUAUUUUAAUUAUCAAUUUAAUUAUACAUUAUAACGAUGGAUUUGGAUAACAAAAUUCAGUUUACAAAAAGACAAAGUAAAGAACACUUACUUCGGUUGAUGUAUGGUAUAAUAAGUCUGCAAAGCACUAAGAGUAAGUGCAGCAAGGGCACCCAAAAAUGCCAAAAACGUCCAAGGCCUCCUAAAAUAAGUAUGAUAACCUUGAGCUGCAUGAUUAAUCCACAUAGUCUUACAAUGAUUAUGUAUUUUCUCUUUAACCCCACUGUAAAUCAUCUGACUAGGAACUAAAUCAGUGUUCAUCUUAUUGAAAAGUUUAGCCACCACUUCAUCACUCCCCAAUCUAUUGUAUAGUAUACCGGCGUCUCUUAGGUCUUUAACAUCUUCGGCUUCAUCGAUCAAUAAAUCAAGGAAACACAUAUAAGAAGUGACGGUGAAAUCGUUGUCGAAAUCCGGACACAUUUCGUAAGCUAUUAAGUUCAUGGUUGAAUCAUCAACGGUGAUUGGCGAUAACCGUAAUUUUCCAAAGAAGAUAUGGUUGAAACUGAUGUCGGUUAAACAACUUGUUUUGCUGCCUUUUAACAGUAUCCCGGCCUUUUUAAGCUCUUUUACGUUACCAAUGGUGUGUGAAUGGUGCCGUUUUGUUCUUGCUUCGUUGCUAGAUCCGUGUUCAGUGAUUGACCACAAACGGCACCACCACGGUUUUCCUUUUCCUACAAGGAGUCUUACUCGUAGUACAUUCAAUAAGUGAAUUCGCUCUCCUUGGUGCAGCUCCCACCACCAUUCACUACACCAAAAUCUGUGUUAGUCGGAAGCCAAGUUAUAAUUUAUCUUUUCAUUUUUUUCUUUUUGUUUGGAUUUGCAAUUGUUAAUUUUCAUGAAGCUAAAAUUAAUAUUUUCAAAAUAGAUAAUUCAACGAUUAAGUUAUUGAUUUAUAAAUUUCAAUUUAUUUGAUUUAAUUAAAUAAAUUAUUAAAAAUUUCGAUUCAAUAACACGGUUUAAAUAAAAAUUUUUACUCUAUUCAUAUAAAUUUUUAAAUCGGCCCGUCUAAUGACUUUCUCCUAAUUGAUGUCUCAAUUAAUUUUCAAUCCAAAUCGAUAUUAGCUAAAAUACAAUUUUUUAUUAUUGUAUUAAUGCAAAAAUCUUACCAUUUUUAAGAUAUUAAACUUUUCCAUUUUGGAAAGUUGGAUUUGAAAUCAUAAUUUUUCAUUUCUAAAUAAUGUACACUCAACAGGAUAAAUGCAAACCGACAGGCAGGGGUCGUUCCCAAGAAAUAAAAAUUUACACUUUAAUCCCUUUAAAAAUUAUUAAAUUAUAAUAAGUCAUCAAAUUAAAAAGAAAAAAAUUUAAGGAUCAGACUAUACUUGUUAAUCAGGUUAGUUAGAUAAAAAAUCGAGUAAAAUUAGAAUUAGACUAAUUGAAUCAAAGAAUCGAAUCACUUUUUUUAUAUUUUUAAUAAUUUCAAAAAAUUAUAUAAUUAAACUGAAUCAACUUAUAAUCCAGAAAAGAGAGUCUAAUAUUUUUAAUAAUUUCAAAGAUUCCAUCACCCAUCUAGUUAUAAAAACCUUUUAACAUUUAUAAACUCCACAAAAAUGAUUCUUUAAUUCCGUAAAUUGGCACAAGAUGCGCCCCAUGGAGGUCUAUCGAUUAGAUGGGGGACAUUUAGCCCACAAGAACUGGCCUGAUUCGGAGAGCUACUAAAGAAGCCUAUCAGAUUAAAGCCUGGUUGGCCCAAUGAUGAAGACAUGACAACUUAGGCAAUUUUGGUAACUAAUCUUAGAAGAUAGAAUAGAAUCAUAUCUUGUAAGAUUAGAUUAGAUUUGAUAUGGCAAAUCUUGUAAAUCCCUAAAAUCAAGGGAUAUAGUGAAUCUCAUCCGUCGAUGUACAUGUAUCUUGAUCGUCGGUUCUGGGGGAGCUCAACUAUAAAUAGAGAGCCUCCCCCUCACUUGUAAAUCAUCCAUUGUAGCUUGAAUUCUUAAGAGUAAUAGAAUUCUUGAGCAUUUACUCAAACACUUUGUGAGCUUUCUUUCUUUAGCUUUCUGUUGUUCUCUUGUGGCUUCUUUUGGCACAAUCGCUUCCGCUAUACAAAUUGGUGCCUUGGAGGAGUUCUAAAAGAAUCCUCUCUUUUGGGAGUUAAGGCUGACUUGGGCAAGUUUGGAUGAACGGAUCGCCUAAGGCCGUACGGAUUGCGAGACGAAAGGUCUAGCCCCGUGACAAGUGGUAUCCGAGCCAAGUUUUGAACCAAGUUAUAUUCGAGUGGUUCGAAGGCACUGUUGGGAUGUCGAAAGAAGUCGUCGGUCAGAGUGAACCAAUGGAGACCCGUGGGAGGGCUAGAAAAGCCAAUCACUCGAGGGAAAUGCUGACAGCUUUGGAGAACCGAGUGGUCAAUCUCGAGGAAUCCGUAGGAAAUGUGAAAGAGACGCUUGAAUUGGUCGAGGGACGCACAGAUGGGUUGGACUCAAUGGAGGAGCAACUCAGAGAUUUUGUGUUGGAUUCUCUUGGUGCAAAUAGGGAAAAGAUAACGGAAUUACUCGAGUCCACUGAGGUAAAGCUAGCAGAGAGGGAUGAAGCUCUCGAGGAUAUGGUGCUAGCCAUGCAAAAAGAAAUGGAGGAGCUUAAGGGGGAGCUCACGAUCUACAAAGCCGCUUUGAGUAAUGGGAUGUUGUCUUCAAGGCCGAAGCAACAAGCAAUGGAUGUGAAUCAAAAUUGGGAUGCUGAUGAUGAUCGUGGAAGGACACAGGAACGACAUCCUCGUGAUAAAUUUAAGGGUAGAUUGAAGUCUUCAAAUAGAGGUAAAACUUGUAACUUCUGCAAAAAGAAAAGACACGUUAAAUCUGAGUACUAUAAGCUACAUAACAAUAUCAAAAGGGGGGCUGUGAAUCAAAAUGGAAAACAACUAGAAAAUUUUGGUAAAGUUGAUGUUGUAGAAAACUACAACGAUGGUGAACUUCUAGUUGCUUCUGCCAACAAUUCUAAAGUUAGCGAGGAGUGGAUCCUUGAUUCGGGCUGCACCUUCCACAUAAGUCCCAAUUGGGAUUGGUUUACAACUUACAAAACAGUGUUUGAAGGUGUUGUUUUAAUGGGAAAUAAUACUUUAUGUUGAAUCAUAGGUGUUGGAAGAAUUAAAGUUAAGAUGUUUGAUGGAGUUGUCAGAACACUUAGUGACGUACGACAUGUUCCAAAAUUUAAGAGAAAUUUAAUUUCGUUGAGUACUCUUGACUCAAAAGGGUACAAAUAUACAGCUAGAAGUGGGGUUUUGAAGAUUUCCACAGGUUCCCUCGUUGUGAUGAAUGGGUAGAGAAAGACUACCAAGUUAUAUGUUUUGCAGGGUUUUACUGUUACUGGUGAUGCAACUGUCGCAUCCUCUUCUUUGUCAAAUGAUGAUAUUACUAAACUAUGGCAUAUGUACCUAGGGCAUAUGAGUAAGAAUGACAUGGUAGAAUUGAGCAAAAGAGGACUUCUUAAUGGGCAAGGAAUUUGCAAACUGAAAUUCUGUGAGCACUGCAUUUUUUGGAAGCAAAAGAGAGUUCGAUUCACUAGAGGAAUCCAUAACAUGAAAGGAAUGUUAGAGUAUAUUCAUUUUGAUUUUUGGGGGCCAUCUAGAGUGCAUUCGAGAGGUGGAGCUAAUUAUAUGCUAACUUUUAUUGAUGAUUUUUCCAGAAAAGUGUGGGUGUUCUACCUGAAGCAGAAAAGCGAUGUGUUUUUCACUUUUGAGUCUUGGAAAACUAUAAUUGAAAAACAGACGAGAAAACAAAUAAAAUACCUCCGCACAGAUAAUGGCUUAGAGUUCUAAUCUGAUGAGUUUAAUAAACUGUGUAAGUCAGAAGGGAUAGUGAGACACUUGACAGUUCGUCAUACUCCACAGUAAAAUGGUGUUGCAAAAUGAAUGAACAAAACUAUCAUGGAGAAGGUUCGAUAUAUGUUGUCAAAUGCCAACUUACCAAAGUCAUUUUGGGCCGAAGCAGCCUCUACUACAUGUUUUUUAAUCAACUGAUCUCCAUCUGUUGCCAUUAAGAAAAAGACUCCACAAUAGGUAUGGUUUGGUAUUCUUGCUAACUAUUCUGAUUUAAAGAUUUUUAGGUGUCCUGCAUAUGCUCAUGUUGAUAAUGGAAAAUUGGAAUCGAGAUUCAUUAAAUGUAUUUUUCUUGGUUAUAAAGCUGGUGUAAAAAGGUAUAAGUUAUGGUGUCCUGAAAAUAGAAAAGUUGUGAUUAGCAAAGAUGUUGUUUUUGAUGAAACUGCUAUGCUACCUAACUUAUCUCUUAAAGACUCUUCCAAUAAAAAAAAAUCAAAAGCAGGUGGAGCAUCAGAUUAAUCCAGAACCCACAACAGAGUCAACUCCUCAAGCCAGUACAAAAAUUCAAAAUAGAGUUGCUUCUUCACCAUAAUACUCAAUCGCCAAAAACAAAACUAGAAGAGAAAUUAAACCUUCAAAGAAGUAUGCCGAGGCUGAUUUAGUUGCUUAUGCUUUAAAUGUGGCUGAAGAUAUAGAUGCAAACUAAGAGCCAUCUAAUUAUUCUGAUGCUUAUGCUUUAAAUGUGACUGAAGAUAUAGAUGCUUUAAAUUUCGGGAGUGGACUUCACAGAUAUGUUUUCUCCAGUUGUGAAGUAUAGGUCUAUUCGAGCUUUUGUUGGUAUUGUGGCAAUGCAUGAUUUGGAGUUUUUACGUGUAAAAACUGCUAAUUUAUUUUCGUCCCCAAAACAUUUUUGGCUUAUACCUUGAAUGUGGAUCAAAAAAGAAAGUCUAGAGACUGAUAAGUGCUAAAAGUAACAUGUUUUAAUCUCAUUUUUAGUGUGUUUUUGGAUAAUUAUUCGAUUUAAAAUGGUGAAAUUUAUGCUCCUAAUCCUUUAAUUUAUGUUUCUAUACUUAGGAAAGGAUUUGGGAGCAAAAGGAACGAAAAUCGAAAAAUUGGAGCAAGUUUCAAGAGACAACUGGUUGGGCCAUUCUACAUGGCCAGGACACACGGCCGUGUGAGCUACACAGGCUUCCACACAGCCAAAUGCCAGACCAUGUGCAAAUCACAAAUCGCACUCCAAACCUACAGGAAAGCACAUUUUUUUAGGUAAGCAUAUUUUAUAGGUUUUUCAGGCAUUCUAAGACUUAUAUAUGAAAAAAAUAAGAAGAUGGGAGGGAACCGCCAUAGAAUAUUGAAGAAACAAAACUCAAAAAACACCAUUAAAGCUGACUCUGAAGCAGAUUUUCAUCAAGAUUGAAGAUCUCCUUUUGAUUUCUUUGAAGUUUAUUAUGAGUUCCUUUAUUUCUUGUGGUUAUCCUGUUUUUAGGAUGUUUUUAUUUGCUAUCAUGAACUAAUUUUCUAAAUACCUAUAGAGAUGAACCCUAGGAUGGAUUCUGUUAUUUGAUUUCUAUUUUUAUGCAAUAAAUACUUGAAUCUUGUUCUAAAUUUUGAGUGUUUAACUAUUGGUUUAAUAUUUCUAGGCUACUAGUCCAUGUUUGAUGUGCUUAAAUCAGAGGAUGGAUAGACCUAUUUAAGAGUAGAUCUAGCGUAAUUGAGUGAAGUUGCAUACAAUCUUAGAAAUAGGAUGGCAUAAAUAUACCAUAUUAGAGUCAAAUCUAAUAGGGGGAUCCAUAGAUCGAAUUAAUGUGAUAAUAGGAGUUUUAAUUAAAAAGAAAUUUCAAUUAAUCAGCCUAGAGUCAGUUGCUCUUAGUCUUGAAGAGAGAUAUUAUAAUAUUUAGGGAUUUCUAUGGAUCAAGCUACUAGUACUUUUACUAUGAAUCUCUUAGAAAAGAGUUGAAUUAAUAUUUUUUAACAAAAUAGUGACUGAAAUAUUAAAUUUUAAACAUGAUAACUCAUAUGACAAUCUACGUGUAUAUGUUUUCUUAUUUUAAAAUUAUUUGUUGACGUGGUAUAUAAGAAAAGUCAUGUUAUGUUAGCAUGAAAUGCACAUGGAUUGUCACACGAGUUGUAACACGAGCACUGUUAAAAAUUUAAUGUUUUAGUCAAUAUUUAUGUUAAAGAAAAGUAAGUUGACUAUUUUUUGAAAGGUUAAUGGCUAAAUUUAACUCAAAAUAAUAAUAAUAAAGAAUAGAGACUAAUUUCACAAAAAAUGUAAAUGUCAAAGGCUAAAUUUAAAAUUCUUAAAUGAUGACAUGACAUAAUCUCAAAGUGUCACGCUAUCACUCUUUGAUAGAAUUCAAGUUCAUGGACUAAAUCAAAAAAAAAUUGUUAAGUUCUGUUAUUAACCAUUUCUUUGUUCUUCAUUUUUUUCCUUUUGCUUUUUAGGUUCCAUAAUAAAAAAAUGGAUGGGAAAUUUCUAAAAUCAUUAGAAACAAGAAAAUAUGAUCUCAAAUCCAAUAAAUUACCCAAUCAAGUUACAGAGACUUAGGACCUGGCUAUGGGUGAAUUCAUCCCCUACAUUUUAGUAGGCACAGGUGGAUUUCAAGAACACAAAUAAUUAAAUUGGCUAAAUUUAUUCAUAUCCACCAAAUUAUUGGAAUUUUCAAAUAUAUUCAAAAAAUUAGAAGAGACAUUGGAUGAAACCACAAACAAAAUCAAAUUGAAAGAAAAGCAAAAUGACAUGGAAGGAGUAAAAGAAAAUAUGACUAAAUUGCCUGAAAAAUUAGCACGUAUGUUAAGCAACAUUAAUGAUAAAACACAUAGGAUACAACAACUACAUAUUUUUCACAUGCCAACCAACCAAUUUAUUUUUGUCCUUUUUGGUGUAAUUAAGGUAAAAUGAAUUUAAUUAUCUUUCAUAGAGUAAAUAAUCUUACCAACCAACCAACAACCAAUUUAUUAUUCACAUGCCAACCAACCUAUCUAUUUUUGUCCUUUUUGGUGUAAUUAAGGUAAAAUAAUCAGAUCCUAAGAGAUUGUUUGCAAGUCAAGUUAAACAAAAUAUAUCUUCUUUCUAGAAGAUUUAGUAUUUAUGAGUAUAAUAUAUUUAGCAUUUAUUAGCAUAAUAUAUUUGACUUUGAUUAGAAUUAGAUUUUUUUCAACCUAUAAAAGAUAUAAUCGAAACUCCUCUUGAAAUCAUUCGAAUUCGACAUAGUGAAUUUUCUUUUCCUCUGCCGGUGGUUUUUUACCCGAACGGGUUUCGACGUAAAAAUUUGUGUGCUUUUUAUUUUAUUUUUCUUUUCUUUGUGAUAUAUUAUCAUUGCUGACGUUCUAUUUUUUACAAAUUGGUAUCCGAGCUUCCAGGUUGUUCAUCUCAAUCAUGGUAAUGGCGUCUUUAAAGUUUGAAAUUUCACUGUUGGAUCGCAACACUAGAUUUGUGUUGUGGCAGAUAAAGAUGCAAGUAGUUCUUGCACAGAUGGACUUAGAGGAAGCCUUGCUGUGGUAGAUAAGAUGCCUUCAACAUUGACGGUGGAAGAGAAGAAGCGCAAGGAUCGAAAGGCGUUAACACAGUUACAUCUGCAUUUGUCUAACGAAAUUUUACAGGAUGUGAUAAAUGAGAAGACCGCCGCUGGAUUAUGGAAGAGGUUGGAACAAAUAUGUAUGUCGAAAACUCUAACUAGCAAGCUGCAUAUGGAGCAGCGUCUUUAUGCUCAUUGUUUGGAGGAAGGUGUAUCUGUGCAUGAACACUUAACAGUGUUUAAAGAAAUUCUCUCAAGCUUGGAGGCCAUGGAGAUUUAGUAUGAUAGGGAAGAUCUAAGGUUGAUUCUACUUUAUUCGUUGACCCCGUCUUAUUCAACCUUUAGAGAUAUGAUUUUAUAUAACCGCUAGUCUCUCACAGUUGAUAAGGUUUAUGAUUCUUUAACCUCGUAUCAUAAGAUUAAGUAUCUUGUUGUUAAAAUCAACUCUUAGGGAGAGGGUCUCAUGGUUCGUGAGAGACACAAUCGGGAUGUUGAUGAUGAUCGUGGAAGGACACAGGAAUGACAUCCUCGUGAUAAAUUUAAGGGUAGAUUGAAGUCUUCAAAUAGAUGUAAAACUUGUAACUUCUGCAAAAAGAAAAGACACGUUAAAUCUGAGUACUAUAAGUUACAUAACAAUAUCAAAAGGGGGGUUGUGAAUCAAAAUGGAAAACAACUAGAAAAUUUUGGUAAAGCUGAUGUUGUAGAAAACUACAACGAUGGUGAACUUCUAGUCGCUUCUGCCAACAAUUCUAAAGUUAGCGAGGAGUGGAUCCUUGAUUCGGGCUGCACCUUCCACAUAAGUCCCAAUUGGGAUUGGUUUACAACUUACGAAACAGUGUUUGAAGGUGUUGUUUUAAUGGGAAAUAAUACUUUAUGUUGAAUCAUAGGUAUUGGAAGAAUUAAAGUUAAGAUGUUUGAUGGAGUUGUCAGAACACUUAGUGACGUACGACAUGUUCCAAAAUUUAAGAGAAAUUUAAUUUCGUUGAGUACUCUUGACUCAAAAGGGUACAAAUACACAGCUAGAAGUGGGGUUUUGAAGAUUUCCACAGGUUCCCUCGUUGUGAUGAAUGGGUAGAGAAAGACUACCAAGUUAUAUGUUUUGCAGGGUUUUACUGUUACUGGUGAUGCAACUGUCGCAUCCUCUUCUUUGUCAAAUGAUGAUAUUACUAAACUAUGGCAUAUGUACCUAGGGCAUAUGAGUAAGAAUGACAUGGUAGAAUUGAGCAAAAGAGGACUUCUUGAUGGGCAAGGAAUUUGCAAACUGAAAUUCUGUGAGCACUGCAUUUUUUGGAAGCAAAAGAGAGUUCGAUUCACUAGAGGAAUCCAUAACAUGAAAAGAACGUUAGAGUAUAUUCAUUUUGAUUUGUGGGGGCCAUCUAGAGUGCCUUCGAGAGGUGGAGCUAAUUAUAUGCUAGUUUUUAUUAAUGAUUUUUCCAGAAAAGUGUGGGCGUUCUACCUGAAGCAGAAAAGCGAUGUAUUUUCGCUUUUGAGUCUUGGAAAACUAUGAUUAAAAAACAAAAGGAAAACAAAUAAAAUACCUCUGCUCAGAUAAUGGUUAGAGUUCUGCUCUGAUGAGUUUAAUAAACUGUGCAAGUCAGAAGGGAUAGUGAGACACUUGACAGUUCGUUAUACUCCACAGUAAAAUGCUGUUGCAGGAUGAAUGAACAAAACUAUCAUGGAGAAGGUUCGAUAUAUGUCGUCAAAUGCCAACUUACCAAAGUCAUUUUGGGCUGAAGCAGCCUCUACUACAUGUUUUUUAAUCAACCGAUCUCCAUCCGUUGCCAUUAAGAAAAAGACUCCACAAUAGGUAUGGUCUGGUAAUCUUGCUAACUAUUCUUAUUUAAAUAUUUUUGGGUGUCCUGUAUAUGCUCAUGUUGAUAAUGAAAAAUUGGAAUCGAGAUUCAUUAAAUUUAUUUUUCUUGGUUAUAAAGCUGGUGUAAAAAGGUAUAAGUUAUGGUGUCCUGAAAAUAGAACAGUUGUGAUUAGCAAAGAUGUUGUUUUUUUAUGAAACUGCUAUGCUACCUAACUUAUCUCUUAAAGACUCUUCCAAUAAAAAAAAUCAAAAACAGGUGGAGCAUCAGAUUAAUUUAGAAUCCACAACAAAGUCGACUCCUCAAGCCAGUACAAAAAUUCAAAAUAGAGUUGCUUCUUCACCAUAAUACUCUAUCGCCAAAAACAAAACUAGAAAAGAAAUUAAACCUCUAAAGAAGUAUGUCGAAGGCUGAUCUAGUUACUUAUUCUUUAAAUGUGACUGAAGAUAUAGAUGCAAACCAAGAGCCAUCUAAUUAUUCUGAUACGAUUAGCUUGAAGACUCAGAAAAGUGGAUGUUUGUUAUGUAAGAGGAGAUGAAAUCACUCCACAAAAAUCAAACAUUGGAUCUUAUGAAACUUUCUAAAAAUAAAAAGGUUGUUCGUUGUAAAUGGGUGUUUAAAAAGAAAGAGGGGACUCUAGGAGUUGAAGAACCCAGAUAUAAAGCAAGGCUUGUUGCAAAGGGUUAUAGUCAAAUUUCGGGAGUGGACUUCACAGAUAUGUUCUCUCCAGUUGUGAAGCAUAGGUCUAUUCGAGCUUUGCUUGGUAUUGUGGCAUUGCAUGAUUUCUUAAGCAGUUAGAUGUAAAAACUGCAUUUUUACAUGGAGAAUUUGAGGAGGAUAUUUACAUGCAACAACCAGAGGGUUUUACAAUCUCAGAAAAAGAGGACUAUGUUUGCUUGCUGAAACAGUCCAUUUACGAUUUGAAACAGUCAUCAAGACAGUGGUAAAAGAGGUUUGAUUCCUUUAUGACUUCUUAUGAUUUUAAAAGAAGUAGCUUUGAUAGUUGUGUUUACUUUAAGAAAAACAGUGAUGGUUCUUUUGUUUAUCUACUCCUUUAUGUUGAUGACAUGUUGAUAGUAGCGAAAGAUAAAUGAGAGAUAAGAAAUGUCAAAUUCUAAUUAAGUGAAGAAUUUGAGAUGAAAUAUUUGGGACUAGCAAAGAAGAUAUUUGGCAUGGAGAUUCUUAGAGAUAGAAAAGCAAGUAAAUUGUACCUAAGUCAGAAGGGGUAUAUUGAGAAAGUUCUUUGCAGAUUCAAUAUGCAGAAUACUAAGCCUGUUAGUACUCUUUUAGCAGCCCAUUUUAGAGUUUUAUCGACUUUGUCUCCACAAUCAGAUGAUGAGAUUGAGUACAUGUCACAUGUUCCAUACUCUAGUGUAAUGGGAUCUCUCAAGUAUGCUAUAGUUUGUCCACGUGUAGAUUUAUCAUAUGCAGUCAGUGCAGUUAGUAGAUACAUGGCGAAUCCCGAUAAAGAACAUUAGAAAGCAGUUCAGUGGAUUUUAAGAUACUUACGAGGUACUACUGAUAUUUGCUUAUAGUUUGGAAGAACUAGAGAUGGAGACAUUGGGUAUGUUGAUACUGAUUUUGCUGGAGACCUUGAUAGAAGAAGAUCUCUCACAGGUUAUGUAUUUACAAUCGAAGGUUGUGCAAUCAGUUGGAAAGCCACUUUGCAACCCACAGUUGCUUUGUCUACCAUUGAAGCUGAGUACAUGACGAUUACUGAUACUUGUAAAGAAGCUAUUUGGUUGAAGGGACUUUUUAGUGAACUCAAUGAAAACCUUCAAAUCAGUACAGUAUUUUGUGACAGUUAAAGUGCCAUCUUCCUUACAAAAGAUCAAAUGUUUCGUGAGAAAACAAAACACAUCGAUGUUCGGUAUUAUUUUGUUCGUGUUAUUAUUGCUCGUGUUGAAAUUGUUGUGACCACAAUUAGUACUCAUGAAAAUCCUACAGAGAUGAUGACUAAGUCAUUUCUUAUAACCAAUUUUGAGCAUUGCUUAGACUUGAUUGGUGUUCAUUGUUGAAAUUAAACCCUUAAGGGGUUUUAUGGAAGAGGUGGAGAACUUGUUCGUUGAGAGUUCGCGAUAAAGAACUUGUUCAUUGAGAAUUCGUGUCAAGGUGGAGAUUGUUAGAGUUUUGUGACCCAAAUUCUAAAAGAUUGCUUGCAAGUCAAGUUAAACAAAAUAUAUCUUCUUUCUAGAAAUUUUAGUAUUUAUGAGUAUAAUAUAUUUAGCAUUUAUUAGCAUAAUAUAUUCGACUUUGAUUAGAAUUAAGUUUUUUUCAACCUAUAAAUAGAUGUAGUUGAAACUCCUCUUGAAAUCAUUCGAAUUCGACAUAAUGAAUUUUCUUCUCCUCUGCCCAUGGUUUUUUUCCCGCAAGGGUUUCCACGUAAAAAUCUGUGUUCUUUAUUUUAUUUCUCUUUUCUUUGUGAUAUAUUGUCAUUGCCAAUGUUUUAUUUUUAACACAUAGAUUAAAUAAUCUUACCAACCAACCAAUUUAUUUUUGUCCUUUUUGGUGGGCUUUCGAGUCUACAAGACAGGUAGCAAUAGUUAUUGAGGAGCUAGUCACGUUUUAAAUAUUUUCUUCUAAGUAAGCACAACAACAUUAAGAAAUUUAUUUUUUAGAGUCUAUAUAAGGAAAAGGGCCUUAGGAUUUUCUAGUGCCACACUCACUUCAACAACAGACACUUCAAAUUUUCAAGCAUACAACAGCAGCAGCAGCCAGCGAACUAAUCAAUUGUUUUUAAGUACUAAUAUUUAGGGAUAAAGUAAUAGUUAAUUAUCUGAAUAUUUUAUAAUAGGGACGAAGUUAUAAAAGAAGUUGAAUUAGAUAUCUUUAUACAAGUUAAAAUACAAUUUAAUCAUAUUGGUUUGUAAUUUUACAUAUUUUAAAGGGAUUAGAUCAAAAUUUUAUCAUUUUGGAGGUUGAGAUGAAAUUUUACCGUGUAUUAACAUGUAAAAUUAUAACUUUUAAAGGCACCCAAAACAUAAAUUUCCAUUUUAGGUGGCCGAAGCCUUGGUUAUUUAUCUACUUUGAUCUUUGAACUUCUUUUUGUCUAAAUUAAUUCGAAAAUUUGAUAGUUUUUCCUAGUUUAGUCCUUGAACCUUGGGUUAUGCUACAUCAUCACUUGUAUUUUUUAUUAAAAAUAAUAAUAAUUUCUUUUUCAUUCUUUUUAGAUUUUAUUUAAGUUUUUUAAAAUUUUCAAAUGAUGACGUGACAAAAUCUUAAAGUGGCAUGCUAUCGCUCUUUAACGGAAUCCAAGUCCAUGGACUAAAUAAAAAAAUUGUUAAGUUCAAAGACUAAAUAUUAUUUUAUCCCUAAUAUUAGUUACCCUGUUUUAGAAGUUGAUUGAAUUUCUUGCUUGCUUACUUUUGUUAUUAACCGUUGCUUUGUUCUUCUUCUUCUUCUUCUUUUUAAUUUUAGGUCCCGUAAUUGAAAAAAGAUGCAUGAGAAAUUUCUAAAAUCAUUAGAAACAAGAAAAUAUGAUCUCAAAUCCAGUGAUUUACCCAUAUCAAGUUACAGAGACUUGGGCCCCGGCUAUGGUGAAUUCAUCCCCUACAUUUUAGCAGGCCAAGGUGGACUUCAAGAACACAAACAAUUAAAUUGGCUAAAUUUAUUCGUAUCCGCCAACUUAUUAGAAUUUUCAAAUAUAUUCAAAAAAUUAGGAGAAACAUUGGAUGAAACCACGACGGAAAUCACAAACAGGAUCAAAUUGAAAGAGAAGGAAAAUGACAUGGAAGGGAUAAAUGAAGAGAUGGCUAAAUUGCCUAAAAAUUUAGCACGUGUGUUAAGCAACAUUGAUGAUAAACCAUAUAGGAUACAACAUAUGGAGUGUAGCUUGGAAAAGAACAUGUAUAAGAUCAAUAAGGAUCAAAUUAAAAUUAUGAAAGAAUUGAGGGACUUGAAAAGGGAAAUAAAAGAGUUAAAGGAGGAUGUGAAAGAAGUUAAAAUAAAAAUUGAAAUUUUUAAAAAUUUCAAAAGUUUUCUUUGAUUUCUUAAAAUUUUUUAUUAAAUCUCUUAAAUUUUAUUUUCAAAAAAAAGAAUUUCAUUAAACACCAAAAAUGAAAUAGAUUGAAUCCAACAUCCAUGAGUUACAAAAUUAUCAUAUAUAACAAGAGCUUACAAAAAGACUAGUGUUACGGAAAAUGGCUUACGGAAAAUGACUUACUUUUCUGAAAAAGCUAAUAUUUUCUAGUGUUUGGAUAAAUCUGUGUAAAAUAUUUUCUUUUGUUUGGAGGUUCUUUAAAAAUAUUUUAUAAAAGUCAUUUUCAAUUAAACAAACAUACAUUUGAGAUUUUUUUUAUUUUUUUAUUUUUUCAUUGUUUAAUUGAGUUUAUUUUAUACCUAUAAUUUUAUAUUGUACAUUGUUUUUACAUAUAUUAAAAAUAUUUUGUUAAAUUUAGGUUCAUUGCAACAAUCAUUUUUUAGUUACAUGACUACCAAUUGAGUUUUUUUGUUUAAAAAUGUUACAUUAACAAAAUUGAUAAAAAAAUUAACAAUGUCAGCAGUUGGACUUGAUUUUCAAAUCUAGAAAGGAGAGGGACUAAAUUCUUGAAAAUAAAAGUACAGAAACUAAAUUGCAAAUUUGUGAAGAGUAUAUAAACUUAUGAUAUAUCUUAACAUUUAUACUACAAAACAAUUAUUAUUAAUAUAUUUAUAAUUGUAAUAAAUAUUUAGUAUUAAAGUAUUAAUAUUGAUAUUUUCAAUAAUAUGUGAAUAAUAUUAUUUAAAAUUACUAUUAAAAUAAAAUUUAAAUAUUAAAUAAUUUAUUAAAAAUAAUAAAUUAUAUUAAUAAUUUAUUAUAUGACUAAAUAUAAAUAAUUAAAUACGUAUUUUAAUAAUAUUAAAAAAUAUAAUAUUUUAUAUUAAUAUUUUAAAUAUUUUAAAAAUAAAAAUAAAAUUUAUUAUCAAUAUAAUAAUAUUAAACUUGAUUUAAGUUAAUUUUUAUAUAAAAGUAAAAUUAUCUAUUGAGGAGCUCUUUUCCGGAAAAUGACUUACGCUUUUCAAGAGGAUAAGUAAUUUUACAAGGAAAAAGGCUUAUUUCCAUUGACCUGUAAGUUAUUUUCCGUUGACCAAGCUGUUUUCUGUGAAACAAACACAGGAAAAUGCAGAAAAUAUUUUCCGUAAAACCUUUUACAUGUAAACAAAUGGACCCUUACUUUGGUUGAUGUAUGGUAUAAUAAGUCUGCAAAGCACCAAGCAAAAGUGCAGUAAUGGCACCCACAAAUGCCAAAAACGUCCGAGGACUCCUAAAUUAAGUAUGAUAACCUUGAGCUGCAUGAUUAAUCCACGUAGUCUUACAAUGAUUAUGUAUUUGCCCUUUAACCCUACUGUAAAUCAUCGGACCAGGAACCAAAUCAGUGUUCAUCAUGUAAAUGAUAUAAUGUCCAAAUUGUCUAGUGUUACUUCACAUGGUUGAUUUCAUUUGUGAAUUAAUGAUUGUGGAUUGACAACAUUGACUAUUCUAUGCACGGGGAGUGUAACACCUCAAACCCGGCCUAGACGUUAUGGUCGAAUCCUGGAGUGUUACAAAGAAGGGUUUUGAAAUCAGUGUUACUUCGAUAAAACUUUGUAUAGUCGUUCGAUAAAUCAUCCAAGUUUUAUAAUCCAUAUUCGUUUAUAUAACUAUUACUGAAAGCGUUAUACAAUUAAUUCAUUUGCCAAAACAUAAUUUACAGCGGAAGUCAUUUUCAUAAAUCGUUUUGACAAACCAAACAGGAUAGAAAACAAUCGAAACCAAAACCAACAGUUAAAAUCAUACAGUCCAGAGAGUCCCAAAAAUGACAAACUCUCAAAUAAAUUCAUAAUUUUAAUUAAAACCGUUAGUUAUUAAGUAAAAAUAGUUCUCAAUCGAGUGGUCAUCGCUGAGCCUCUGUCGUACUGACCUGCCGAAGUUUGUGGAUUACCUGAACAGAAUAGACAAAAAGAUGUGAGUUUUCAUAAACUUGGUGUGUAACCCAACAAAAAUAGUCAUGCAGCAUACACAGAAUCUCAUAUACAGUCAGAUACAGAUUCGGACCUAUGUCCAUGACAGAUACAGAUAGCAGAAUCAGAUAAGAAGAAUCAUACCCCCAUCCUCUACACACCAUCUCCGACUAUCCCAUCACACCAUGUGGGGUUAAAAACACCCACCCAACCCUACACACCAUAUAGAGUCAAUGCGACGCAUAACAGAUAAUAUGCAAUCAAUCUGCUAGAAUAAAGGCAAAGAAUCGCCAUACAAAUCACUUCCUCCACAUAUACAAUUCCCACCCCAAACACAGAUACAGAAUACAGAUGCAAAAAUAUCAGAGUAAACAUGCUUAACAUGCUCGUAUACAAAUGGAUACAUACUUAAACAGUACAGUCCGACAUACAUAUAGUAUCCUAAUCAAAUUAGUCUAUCAGAAUAUCAUAGCACAUAAAUUAGGGUUUUGGUUAGCCCUUACUGACCCUACGGCAGGUCCACAGUCGAUCGGAAUGACACCUGUGACCCUAGGGAAUAUUUCAGAAUUAUGGGCCCACAUGCCUAUAUGGGCCCACACGUCCAGAUUGGCCUUACCUGCAUGGGAACAUUAGAAGGUUCAAAAUACAAUUUUAUUAUUAUAUUAAUUUAUAAUUUCAUAAAUUUUAAAAGGAUUAAAUGAUAAAUUUACUAAUUUAAAAAGACAAUAGGGAUGGUAAAAUCUAAUUGAACCUAUCUGCGUUCGGAUCGGGAUGGAUUUUUUUUAAUUUAAAAAAUUAAAUAGAUUGAAUCGAAAAUCUAGGAGUUACAAAAUUCUCAUAAAUAACAAGAGUUUACAAAAAGAACACUUACUUGGUUGAUGUAUGGUAUAAUAAGCUUGCAAUCCACAUAUACAAUUCCCACCCCAAACAUGAAUAUAGAAUACAGAUGCGGGAAUAUCAGAGUAAACAUGCUUAAAAUGCUCGUAUACAGAUGGAUACAUACUUAAAUAGUGCAAUCAAACAUACAUAGGUCCACAAUCUAUUAGAAUAUCAUAGCACAUGGGUCCACAUGCCCGUGUGGGCCCACACGCCCAGAUUGGCGUUGCCCAUGUGGCCCACAUGGCCUGGCCCAAAACCCACACGGCCGUGUGGGCCUACAUGCCCAACUUGGCCUAGCCCGUGCGACCCACAAGGUCACACUCACACAAUCACACGACCAUGUCUUGUGCGCGGCCAUACCUUCGUCAGUCACAUGGCCGUGUCUCGCACAUGGCCAACCACAUGGCUUGGCUCACGCCCUUGUGGCAUUGACAGUGCCCUUUUUUAGCUUUUGUCGAACCUCAAUUUUUCAUGUUUAAGGUACACACAUGGUUCAUUUUAGAUGCCUAGCAAUCCUGAGCCCUCUGAAACCUAAGAAAUAGCAUCCCAUUGACCAAUUAGCAAUCAAUUUACGAAUCGACACUUAACCCGAAAUAACGCACAUAACUUACCGAAGACACGAAUUGGCACGAGCGCGAUCUAGGCUGUCGAAGUAAAAAUUCAUUGCUCACAACCUUCUCCUACACCACAAAUUUGCAGAAAUCAAACCCCCUAUCUAUGCUACUACGCUACCACGAAAAGAAAAUAAACUGAUAGCUUACCCAAAUCACAUAAAAAUGUCAAGUCCAGAGUGCAACGUGAAGAACAAAAGAUGAAAAAACAAGUUUGAAGGAAAAGAAAACGAACGAAAAAAUCAGAGAUUGAAGAGGAGAAAAAGGAAGAAAUGUAAAAGAAUAAAUAAAUAAAUAAAAAGAGUAGAAACUGACGUCAGAAUUUUUAGAGAGAGAGAACCUAAAUUUUGAAAAAUAAAAAUAAAAUAAGAUAAAAACAAUAUCACAACUCCCCCCACUCAAACCAGCAAAUUCAUUCUGAUAUAAUUAAAUUUACAAACAAUAUUCCAUAAACUUGCCUAAUAGGGAUAAGGCUAAGACCAAAAAAAUAACAGAAUUUUCAAAUGUGAGACUUGAAUACUAGACCUCAAACACAUACCGAAAACACUUAGCCACUAAAGUAAAAACAUAUUUAUAUUAGGAUUUACAGAAACAUAUUUAUAUCAAGAUUUACAGAAAUAGAAAUAAAUUAUUCAUGGCGUUACAGAUGGGUAGUACUCCUUUUUCUACCAUUUCACUACCCAUUGCAUUCAAUUUCUCUGCCCUACUACUCCUCUGCACUGCACUGUCCAAUUGCAUUUAAAGAUAAUGUAUACAUAUAGAUUGUAAAUUUUCUUGGCUGGAAGCUCACUGGAAGCCAAAAUCAAAACAAACUUUUGAUGGUUUAAUUGUUUUUUAGCCCUUGAAUUUCAGGUGCUAUGAGAAAUGAAUUACAACCUCAUCUUGUCAUUAUCCCAAAAUCAAAACAAGCAACUCUUGGUUGAAAGUUGAAACCAAGGGCCAAGUCAAAAUUGUUUUAGGACGAGUCCAAAAUGAACAAUGAUUUUGAAGGUUCAAAAUACAAUUUUAUUAUUAUAUUAAUUUAUAAUUUCAUAAAUUUUAAAAGAUUAAAUGAUAAAUUUACUAAUUUAAGAAGACAAUAGGGAUGGUAAAAUCUAAUUGAACCUAUCUGCGUUCGGAUCGGCAUGGAUUUUUUUAAUUUAAAAAAUUAAAUAGAUUGAAUCGAAAAUCUAGGAGUUACCAAAUUCUCAUAAAUAACAAGAGUUUACAAAAAGAACACUUACUUGGUUGAUGUAUGGUAUAAUAAGCCUGCAAAGCACCGAUAGAAAGUGCAGCAAUGGCACCCACAAAUGCGAAAAACGUCCAACGAGUCCUAAAACAAGUAUGAUAAACUUUAGCUGGAUAUUUACUCCACAUAUUCUCACGAUGAUUAUGUAUUUGCAGUUUAACAUGUCAUGUAAAUCAUCGGACUAGGAACCAAAUCAAUGUUCAUCUUCUUGAUAAGCUUAGCCACUUCUUUAUCACUCCCAAAUCUAUGGUAUAGUAUGCCGGCGCCUCUCAGUUCCUUAACAUCUUCGGCUUCAUCGAUCAAUGAAUCAAGGAAACCCAUAUAUGAAGUGACGGUGAAACUGUUGAAGAAAUCCGGACACAUUUCGUAAGCUAUUAAGUUCACUGUUAAAUCAUCGACGGUGAUCGGCGGUAACCAUAAAUUUCCGAGGAAGAAGAAAGGGCUGAAACUGAUGUCUGUUAAACAACUUGUUUCGCUUGCUUUUAACCUUAUCCCGGCUUUUUUAAGCUCUUUUACGUUCCUUAAGGUGUGUGAAUGGUGCCCUUCUAUUCUUGUUUGGUUGCUGCGAUUUUUCAAGUUCAUGAAAAAUCGAGUGCAAAACCUACAAUGCCGCCUUGGUUUUUCUUUUUCUUUUUUCUUUAUUGAAAGGAGUCUUACUCGUAGUAGAUGCAAUAAGUGAAUUCGCUCUCCUUGCUGCGGCCACCAUUCACUACAGCAAAAUCUGUGUUAGUCGGAAGCCAGCUAAAAUUAAGGUUUUCAACAGUUGAAUCUAUAAGAUCAUUGAUUUAUAAGUUCAAUUUAUCCGAUUUGAAUAAAAAAUUUAAUCCUUUUAAAAAUUAUUAAAUUAUAAUUUUUUAUAUAUAAUAAAAUUAUACUUUGACUCCUUAAAAAAUGAAGAAAAAAAUUGUUUAACUCUUUCGGAAAAUGAUAAAAUCAUAAAUUAAUGUAUAAAGAAAAUUUAAGAAUCAAACUAAAUUUAUCGGUGGGCCUGGUUAAACAGAGAAUCGUGCAAGGUAUUAAUCUAGAAUAAUGAGUUAGACUCAUUGAAUCGAGUGGUCGAAUAGAUUUUUUUAUAUUUUUAAUAUAUCUUUAAUAUUUUUAAAAUUUUAUAUAAUUGAAUCCAAUUAACUAAUCAACCAAAAAUAGACUCUAAUCGAUUCUAUCACCUAUUUUACAUUUAUACACUCCACAAAAUGAUUCUUUUGUACAUUCCUUAAAUUACCUGUCCUGCUGAUGUGAUUGUGGCCCUUUAACAGUGACGUCGAUGAACCUUAUGAUUGCCUUCAUGAACUUUUUGCCAUUAUUGCUCAAGCUUGUAAGCAAUUCAAGAACACGAAAAGGUAUUUGGUUCUCCAACAAUAACAGAUCCGAGUACACCAAUGUCAGCAAAUCGUUUUUAAUAACCAAUUGGCCAUAAACAGCAUAAAAAUCAUCAUUAGUACCGUAAUGCAUAUAAAUUAAUUGUAAAAUUGCGCAGCCGUCAACGAAGAACAUCCAAGCCAGUUUCUCGUUAUCGUUGCCAUACUCCUCUAAUUCCGUUGGAUCAUAGCAUUUCCUCAAGCCAUCGAUCUCUUUCUUCAUGUUUCUGUACAAGGAAUCCUUAUCGACGCCAAUGUUUUUGACGAAAUGUGCUGCUAAUUUGAGCUUGAGCUCCUUGGAUUCAUGGAGGGUGGGAUCAUCGUGGUGGAGUGGGCCGAUUGAGAUCACUUUCGGCUUGAAAUACUUCAUGAAAUCUUCGGUACGGCAAAGGGUUGAUGGUACUUUUCGUAUCAAUGGAUUGGCUGUGAAGUUGGGUUGGCCGCCGUCCAAAGCUUUGUCUAAUGACUGGAGAUUCGCUAAUUCGUCAUUGCUGAGAGGGACGUCCGUGCACCGCAUAUCAAUGCUCACGGAAUCGUUGUUGGUGUUGUUGUUGAUGGUUGUUUGAUCAGUGGAAACUGCUCCGACGGCGCCGCCUCCUUCCUCCGUGGACGACAUUUUCAGGGUGAGCGGUUGGAAGUAAUAAACAAGGUGAUUUUGUAAACUGUGCUUGGCUGAGUGAGUGAUGUUGGAGAAAAGGUGGCAAAAUGGCUACGAUGAUGGCAAAUAUUUUAUAGCUUACAUAAUAAACAUAUAUGGGAAAUACUUGAGGUGUAAUUUAAAUUUACCCCUUAGUGUUUAUAUUUUUACUAAUAUAAUUUUUAACUUUUAAUUUUUUAAUUAAAUUUAAUUUUCUUUUGAAAGAGUCAAUCUUAAAAAAGAAAAGUUAAAUUAAUGUUUUUUUAACAAAAAUAGUGACAAAUAUAAUAAUUGUCCUUAAGAAGUAAGACCCUAUGAUUGGGAGAAUUUUACAUUUUCAACACUUCUUAAAUUUCAUACACUUAAAAAUACCUCCAUGCUUCUUUACGUAUAAUAAUUGCAUUUGUUAUUCUACCUAACUCAUGAAAAAUCUCAAAUUUGCAACAAAAUAUUAUUCACAUGCCAACCAACCACUUUUUUUUUAUUGAAGUUAUUAUACUUAUAAGCUUUAUGCUUCUUGUAACAGAUUCGAUCUACAGGGCACUAUAGUUAUUGUCGGAGCAACUACAGUCAGAAUUACAAUAAGAUAAUUUUUAUUUAAACAUCAAUCAUGAUGCAAUUAAAGUAAUACAUCAAUUAUGAGCUUUAAUCGAGCUUACGAAAACUUUUUUGGCUGUCCGAGCAAGAAUUAGGACCAAACUGCAAAGUAAUUGCAUUUGUUAUUCUACCUAACUCAUGAAAUAUCUCAAAUUUGCCAACCAACCAAUAUAUCAUUCCAACCAACCAAUUUAUUAUUCACAUUCCAACUUUCUAAAUGCAUCAAAUAUUUCAUAUUCAUGUACUAACAAAGAUCAUGCCAAGAACCCACAUGCAGAGUCAUUAUAUACCACAUUUAACUCAACAAGACUUUUACACAACCAAAGAUUACUCCAAACGUUUAUAUGCAUGUCGCAAUCCUUGACUCAAAUGAUAAAAAAAAACACCAAAUUGACAAUAAAAUAGUGUAAGCUUCGAACGAUCCAAUCGACAUGUUCCACAAUGUAACACCUAAAAGGAAAAAGAAAACAAUGGGGUAAGCAUAUAAGAUGCUUAGGAAACUCAUAUGUAAUCUAAAACUUACCUAGAUUAAUUGAACAUAAACAAUUACUCAAUAAGCUAUCAAAUUUAUUUUUCCAUGGCACGUAGAUAUCGUAUAUGUAACAACAUUUCAAGUCAAAAAUGUUAAAUACAAUGUUGAAUCAUUAUGUCUUCUUUUCUUAAGUUUCACUUAUAGAAAUACAAUAUAGGUUCAAGUACAAAUAUAUGUCUCGAUUAAUCUAGAAAGAACUAGACAAAAUUCACAUAUGAUAUAGGCAUAUAAUGAGUGUGAGACUCACACAUCACAAUUGAGAAUAAUGUUAUAGAAAACCUUUGCGUUAAGCAAGAAGCUAAGACCCUAUCGGAGGGAGAAUUUUAUAUCUACAACACUUAUUAAAUUUCAUUAGCUUAAUAAUAGCUAUUCAAAUAUUUAACAUUGUAACCAUGCUUGUUUACAUAUCGUAAGCGCAUUUGUUAUUCUACCCAACUUAUGAAAAAUCUCAAAUUUGCAAUUUAUUAUUCACAUGCCAAACAACCAAUUUAUUAUUCACGUGCCAACCAAUUUGUUUUAUCGAAGUUAUUAUACUUAUAAGCUUUCACAUAUAACCAUGCUUCUUUACAUAUAUUAAUUGCAUUUAUUGUUGUACCUCAUGAAAAUUUUCAAAUUUGCAACAACAUAUUAUUCGCAUGCCAACCAACCACUUUUUUUUUAUUGAAGUUAUUAUACUUAUAAGCAUUCACAUUUAACCAUGCUUCUUGUAACACUUUUCAUUGGAUCCAAUCGUUGGGUCCGAUCUACAAGACGCUAUAGUCAUUGUCAAAGCAACUACAGUCGAAAUUACGAUAAGAUAAUUUUCAUUUAAACAUUAAGCAAGAUUCAACUACAGUAAUACAUUAAUUAUGAGUUUUAAUCGAGCUUACAAAAGCUUUUUUGGUAGUUCGAACAAGAAUUAGGACCAAACUAUAAAGAUUUGAAAAGUUUGGAGCGACGUCACAACUUCAGCUUUUCCUCAUCGCAACAUGACCAUCUCAGUAUGUCACAUCAUAUCGAAAAGCCUAUGCUCGUCGCGGCGAGACUCUUUGACUUGGCAAUGUCGCAAUGUCAAAAUUUGUAGCCGUUAUGUAAACCCUAUAUUUGACAAAAAUAUACAAUUUGGUACCUAAAUCAAAGCUCCAACUAAAAUCAUGCAAGAAAAAUACAUUACAUGCCAUUUCUAAAUGACUUAAAACUUACCUAAAACAUGCUAAGUAAGUUCAAACGUAUCAUUUCAAUUCCAUAGAAAUUCAUAAAACUUACCUAAAACAUGCUAAGUAAGUUCAAACAUAUCAUUUCAAUUCCAUAGCAAUUCAUAUUACCAUUUCAUCCAUUGUAUUCAACUUUUCAAUAACUUUAACUAAAUAUCAACAAGUUAUACAAACAUCUACCAUUACCUUUAUCAUGCCAUAAUGAAUCAUUUCAUUUCAAACAAUCAUCACAUUAGUUCUUUAAUUUUUCUUUUUUAGUCAACAUAUGCAAACCAACUUAAAUAGAUCACAUUCCAGCAUAGUCAACAAGACUUUUACACAACCAAAGAUUACUCCAAAAAUGUUUAUAUGCAUGUCACAAUCCUUCACUGAAAAUGAUAAAAAAAUCUACUAAAUUGACAAUAAAAUAGUUUAAGCUUUGAACGAUCCAACCGACGUGUUCUACAAGGUAACAACCUAAAAGAAACAAAAGAAACAACAGGAUAUACAUAUAAUAUGUUUAGUAAACUCAUAUGGAAACUAAAACUUACCUAGAUCAAUUGAACAUAAAAAAAUUACUCAAUAAGCUAUCGAAUUAAUUUUUCCUUGGCACUUAUAUACAUAUAGUACAUGUAACAACAUUUCAAGUCAAAAGUGUUAGAUACAAUGUUGAAUCAUAAUCCCGUCAACAUUUAAAACAUAAUCACAUAGCAAUCUAUAUAUCAAAUUUCAUCAAUACCAAUUCAUUUUCAAUUCAAGAUUUAAUUCCAUUUUCAACCAUUUAAUCAUCCUCUGAUGGAACUAUAGUAAAAAAGGUGCAUGGGAAUAUUUUGCUGAACUGACUCACACAAGUUGACUUUAUAUUAGAAUUGUUCACACACGUUAACUUUGUAAUUUAUAUUAUGUAAAAUUUAAGAUUUUUAUAUUAUGUAAAUCAAAGCUUAAUUAGUAUAGAAUUUUCAAAAUAAUAUGGCUGUAUAAAGAUAAAAUUCUUGAUAUAAGUCUCAACAAGGGAAAAAUUAAGGAUAGAAAAAUUGUGGUGGAAAGGGGAUCAAUUUCUCCUAAACAGGUGGAGAGCCGGAGAAUGAUAAGUGAAGGAAGAUGGUUGAUGUGAAGGCUAAGAGUAAUUGUUAAAGGUUACUAACAGGGGAAGAUCCCUUUCUCAUGAAGAUGAUUUUUAAACACCAUGUUAAUUGUUUAUGGGCCAUCAUGUUUGACGAUAAUUUUUAAAUACCUUGUUAAUUGUAUAUAGUACAUCAUGUUUGGCAAUGAUUUUUAAAGACUUUUAAACGUCACAUUAAUUGUUUAAUUGUUUAUGGCCCAUUGCCCAUGUUACUUUUAUUAAAUUUUGGGUAAACUACAAUUUAAUCACUUAAUUUUUAUAAAAUUUCAUUUUGGUCAUAAAAAAAUUGUAUGGAAUGAGAGUCUCAGGAUAAAACAAAAAUUAGGAUAAAUGUAAUGCUGAAAUGAAUAUAGUGGGAAUCUUUAAUGUUUAUGGCCAAACCCCACCUCUCCUAUCCUAUACUUCAUCUAUAAUAAUGGUUCUUGGCUUCUUCUAUCCUAUACCUCAAUUAUUUGGAUUAGAUUGAAAAACAAUUGACACUUGAUUUGAUUGUGAAAGAAGUUUUAGUUUAAUGAUAUGAAUGAGUUAAAUUUUAAAUUUAUAAUAUUUAACUUGAGUGUGAAUGAAUUUUUGACUUAAUUGAAAAUUUAAAAUUUUAGCUUCGAGUCUUAUUUAAUUAUGUGAGUAUAUCAUAUAUAAAUUUUGUUUAAAUUUAUUUUGAUUUAAUUCUCAUACUAUAUAAACUUUAUUCUUAAUUAAAUUUAGAUAUAUUCUAAUUAUCAAUUUAAUCAUAUAUUGUAACGAUGAAUUAGGAUUAUAGUUAAUUAUAUAUUGAAACAAAAUAAUGAGUUUAAGGAAUUAAAAGAUAUUAUUAUAUUUUAUAAAAAUUGAAUAGAUUAAUAAUUAAUUCGAGAUUAAAAAAUUGUCUAUCUUUAUUUCGCCCCUCAGUUUAAUUUAUUAUUUUCCCUAAUUUUAAAUCCAAAUAAUAAGGAGAAGAAAAAGAUAAAAGCAAACCUUUUUUACGGUCUGAACUAAACCCCAUGGGGUGUGGAAAAUUGCAAGUUUCCAGAAUAACGAAGUUCAGUUUUCGUCGGUGUUUCUAUGUGACUGUGUUUCUAUGGUAAGGAAUGGUGUAAAAAAGUUUACGGUUUAAGGUUUUGUUAUAUACGGAAGGAAAGCGCCUUUCAAGAUUAUUAGUAGCACUUAUUCUCGUGUUGUGUUUUGUAUUGAGUUGUACCUUUUUUUAGUGUAUGUAUUGUGGACCUGUGGUACAAGUUUAGUUCUUUUGAGUGUCUUGUGAUGUUAAGUAUGUUUUGUUGGGGCUCUUGGCUCCUAUGAUAAUAAAAUAUAUUUCAAGCAUAGUACUUUUUUUAUAUUUAAAAUUUAAUAUUAUACUUUUAUUUUAAGGUAAUCUCUCUACUACAACAAUGUUUAAUAUUAAUAUGAACUCAUGUUGCGAUUUACUAUUACCAACUAAUUGGAAUGCAACAUCUAUUUAAACUUCAACAUGAAACUAAAUUCUUCUAUAUAAACUAGAAAAAUAUCAUUAGUUCUUAAGUAAUUUCACCUCAAUCCAAUGACCAUUGUAUAGUCUCAAUUUUAUUCGGCCCAAACAAAUAAAAAGUCCAUUAACAGUCGCGGCAAGACUCUCUGACUUGGCAAUGUCGCAAUGUCAAGAUUCGUAGCCGUGAUGUGAACCCUAUAUUUGACAAAAAUAUACAAUUUGGUACCUAAUUCAAAGCUCCAACUAAAAUCAUGUAAAUGACUUAAACUUACCUAAAACAUGCAAAGUAAGUUCAAACAUAUCAUUUCAAUUCCAAAGCAAUUCAUAUUACCAUUUCAUCAAUGAAUCAUUCCAUUUCAAACAAUCAUCACAUUAGUUCUUUCAUUUUUUCCAUUUUAGUCAACAUAUGCAAACCAACUUAAAUAGAUCACAUUCCAACUUUCCAAAUACCAAGCUAAGACCCUAUCAGAGGGAGAAUGUUACAGCUACAACACUUCUUAAAUUUCAUUAGCUUAAUAAUAGCUAUUCAAAUAGUUAACAUUGUAACCAUGCUUCUUUACAUGUAGUAAUUGCAUUUGUUAUUCUACCUAGCUUAUGAAAAAUCUCAAAUUUGCAAUUUAUUAUUCACAAGCCAAACAACCAAUUUAUUAUUCCAACCAACCAAUUUAUUAUUCACAUGCCAACCAAUUUGUUUUAUUGAAGUUAUUAUACUUAUAAGCUUUCACAUAUAACCAUGCUUCUUUACAUAUAUUAAUUGCAUUUAUUGUUGUACCUCAUGAAAGAUUUUCAAAUUUGCAACAUAUUAUUUGCAUACCAACCAACCACUUUUUUUUUAUUGAAGUUAUUAUACUUAUAAGCUUUCACAUGUAACCAUGCUUCUUGUAACACAUUUCAUUGGAUCCGAUUGUUGGGUCCGAACUAUAGGAUGCUACAGUCAUUGUCAAAGCAACUACAGUCAGAAUUAUGAUAAGAUAAUUUUCAUUUAAACAUCAAUCACGAUUCAAUUACAGCAAUACAUUAAUUAUGAGCUUUAAUCGAGCUUACGAAAGCUUUUUUGGCAGUCUGAACAAGAAUUAGGACCAAACUGUAAAUUGGCUAAAUUUACUUAUAUCCACCAAAUUAUUAAAAUUUUAAAAUAUAUUCAAAAAAUUAGGACAAACAUUGGAUGAAACCACAAGGGAAAUUACAAACAGGAUCAAAUUGAAAGAAAAGCAAAAUGACAUGGAAGGAGUAAAAGAAGAGAUGGCUAAAUUGCCUGAAAAUUUAGCACCUAUAUUAAGCAACAUUGAUGAUAAAACACAUAGGAUGGAACCUAACUCAUGAAAAAUCUCAAAUUUGCAACCCCAUAUUAUUCACAUGCCAACCAACCAAAUUUUUUUGUCCUUUUUAGGGUCUACAAGACAGGUAGCAACCAUUAUUGAAGAAUUAGUCACGUUUUAAAUAUUUUCUUCUAAGUAAGCACAACGACAUUAAGAAAUUUACUUUUUAGAGUCUGUAUAAGGAAAGGGCCUUAGGAUUUGCUACUGCCACACUCGCUUCAGCAACAAUCGCUUCUAAUUUUCAGUCUGAGCGGUUCGAAGUAAUUAACUAGGUGAUUUUGUAGACUGUUUUUGGCUGAGUGAGUGAUGUUGGAAAAAAGGUGGCAAAAUGGCUACGAUAACGACAAAUGUUUCUAUAGCUUAUAUAAUAAACAUAAGGAAAAUAUUUUUGGUGUAAUAUCAAAUUUCGCUUCUAAUUUUUAUUAUUUUCAAUUUGAUUUUUAUUUUUUAGUAAAAUUUAGCUUUUUACUUUUGAAAGAGUUAAAUUGAUUAUCAAUCCUUAAACUGAAUUAAUAUUUUUCAAAAAUAAUGACUAAAAUAUUAAAUUUUAAACAUGAUAACUCAUAUGACAAUUCACGUGUACAUUUUUUAUUAUUAUUUUAAAAUUAUUUAUUGACAUAGCAUAUAAGAAAAUGAUUAUUAUGUUAGCAUGAAGUGCAUAUGGAUUGUCACACGAGUUGUAACACCAACAACGUAAAAAAUUAAUAUUUUAAUCAAUAUUUCUGUUAAAGAAAAGCAAUUUGACUUUUUUUUUGAAAGGUUCAUAGCUAAAUUUAGCUUAAAUAAUAAUAAUAAUGAUAAAAAAUAAAAGUCAAUUUGACAGAAAAUGUAAAUGUGGAGGACUAAAUUUAUUAUUAUGUCAUUUUUCUAAGUUUCACUUAUAAAAAUACAAUAUAGGUCCAAGUACAAAUAUGUGUCUGGAUUAAUCUAGAAAGAACUAGACAAAAUCUAUACAUGAUAUACGCAUAGAUGAGAGUGAGACCCAUUUUUAUAUCUACAACACUUCUUGAAUUUCAUACUCUUAAUACUAGCUUUUUUGUUGUUUGUUUCGCUUCAUUUGAUCUGUUUUGUUGUAAAAAAACAUAAAGAAAAACAUUCAAAAGUUUAACGUUAUAACAUUCCAAAAGAAAACACAUUCAAUAACUAACAUAUCUUGUAUUCUUGUAUUCUUUGAUCAAAUAGUGCAAGUGUAUUUAUACAGACUUUUGGAGGGUAACUACUGAACUGCUACUAACAACUUUUUAGCAGAAAGUUUAACAACUUAACCACCUAACAGAUUGCAUUUACCUAUGCUCUAAGAUUCUGUAAUGCGAAAUCAUACUUCAAAUUGUAAUUAUUACUUCAUAACAAUACAAGAUUUUCGUUACAAUGCUAGGAUUACUUAUAAACCUCAACCAUUAAAUGAGAGGAUAAAGACACUUUAAUAAGUUCGAAUCUUCGUCCUUUUGUAUUGACAAUAAUACUGAUAUCAAUCGAACUAAAACUCAGUAUAACAAUGGUUAAAUGAAUUUUAAGUACACAUAUUACUCUUACUAUGUAAGUAUUUAGGAUAAAUCACCCUCCAUGGUCAAACAAAUGGACCCAGGCUAUAAUUUGUAUAUAAAAAAAAUUAAAAAGCAUUAGUAAAACAAAUGGACCCAGGCUAUAAUCACCCUCCACUCAUUAACAAUUGUCAUCACAGGCUUAAUGUGGCAUGUUAACUAAUUGAUGUGACUAGUUAACUUGCCACGUUGGACAAGUAGUCAAAGGGUCAAAAAGAAAAAAAGAUGAUUGGUUAAGGGUAAAAAGAAAAAUAAGAGAAAUGAAGAAGAAGAAGAAGAAGAAGAAAAGAAGAACAGGGAAGGAAGAAGGGAAAAUGGAAGUAAAAGGGUCAAAAAGAAAAGAAAAGAUGAUUGGUUAAGGGUAAAAAGAAAAAUAAGAGAAAUCGAGAAGAAGAAAAAAUGAAGAACAGGGGAGGAAGAAGGGAAAAUGGAAGGAGCUUCCAAGCUUCAUACCAACGAUUCCCAAGGGUCAAAAUCUGGGAACUUGGAUUUUGAUCCUUGGGAAUCACUGUUACGAAGUCCUUCCAUUUUCUCCUUUUCUUCUUUUUCUCCAUUUAUUCUCUUAUUCUUCUUUUUUUUUUGUUCUUCUACUGCCCAAACUUCUUAAAUGGGUUUGUUUAAAUGACAGCUAGCCUACCCUUAAAUGCCAUUCACUUUUUCGUUACGUUUUGUUAAAAAGAUUGUUUAAAUGACAGAAAAUGGUUAAAAAGAUUGUUUUGUUAGCUACCCCAAAAUUGAGUGAUUGUUGCUGUAAUUUACCCCAUUUCUUAUUUGAAAUUGUAAAUUUUUAACAAGCUAAAUUUAAGGUUUUCAAAAUUCAACUCAUUAAGUUAUCGAUUUAUAAGUCUAAUUGGUUUGACGAAUUCAUCCGAUUAAUUAAAUUAAUUAUUAAAAAUUUUUGAUUUGAUUGCCCAAUUCAAUUAGUUUUUUUUUGGUUCAACCUGUUCAUAUAGAUUCCCAAGUCGAUUGGUCCAAUGAUUUCCUUCGGACUAAUACCUUAAUUAAUUUCCAAUCCAAAUCGAUUCAAAUAAUAUUAACUAAAAUACAAUUUUUAUUAUUUUAUUAAUGCAAAAAUUUUACCAUUUUAAAGAUAUUAAAAUAUAAAAUUUCUAUUUUAAAAAGUUGGAUUUGAAAUCAUAAUUUUUUUCCUAAAGAAAUGUACACUCAACAGGACCAAAGGAAUUCACAGGGAAAUUUUGUUUUAUGGACAGUCUUCAUCACAAAUGAUCCUAUCAAAUUAAAAGAGGAUAUAUCACCUUUUUUUCAUAUCAUAUAUACAUUGGGACUAAACUUCUAAAUAAAAAAUGAUGUGUCUUUUUUUAAUUGAGUGGGACCAUAGAUGAUGUGGUGAAAAUGGUCCAUUAAAUAAUUUAUCACAAGCAAGAGUAAUUCCAAAAAUAGAAAACUACAUUUUAAUUCUUUAAAAAUUAUUAAAUUAUAAAUUUAUAUAUUAUAAAAUUACACUUUGAUCCUCAAAAUGGAAAAAAUAUUUUGUUCAGUCUUUGACCACACCUAAUAAAAAGGAUUGGUGGUGACUCCAUUUUCGUUUUUUAAAUAAAAAGUCAAUUCCCAAAAAAAAGAUUUCGACAACCAUCACUUGGAUAACUUUGGUUAUCAGCUCAUGACACUUAGAGCUAUACAAUAUAUUUGGUGUUUGGCACAAUAUGGCAUACAUAGUAGUUUUCACUACUAAAAGAUAUGGUGCCUUACUCAUUCUUCUCUUAUCUUCCAAAGUUUUAGGAUUCAUAUCAUUCGAGUGAUGUACACUGUCAAUACUAUUUUUUUUGUAAAAGAGGUCGACUUUUUGUUUAAAAAUGAAAAUGGAGUCACCACCAAUCCUUUUUAUUUAGGUGUGAUAGGAUCACCUCGUAAUUUAAUCAUUUUAAUAAAAGUUUAAAUUUACUAAAAAAAUAAGUAAGUUAGUUUCUAUACAUCAGAUCAAAGAGCAAAUUGAUCAUUUUAUUACAUUUUUAAUCUUUUUCUAUCAUUAAAAAUUGAUUCAUAUACAUAAGUUUGAGGUACAGUGUCACGUCACAUGUUAUGAUUUGGUUAUUCCGUUAGUCACACCAGUUUUUAACAUUACAAAUAGAUGAAAAUUUUAACAGAAAUGACCAAGUUACUUUUUGAUCUAACAUAUAGGGACUAAUUUACUCAUUUUUCAAUAUAGAGAGCAAAAUGUAAUUCAACUCAAUGUACAAGGACUGUUAUUUUUUUUUCCAAUUUCACAUUAUUUUAUCAUAUUAUAUAUAUUGUUAGGAUCGUCCCGAUUAAGCAACGAACAAGUAAAAAUAGUAGAAGAAAUUGAGAAGAUGAACACACAAAUUUAACGUGGAAAAACCCCUCAAAAGAGGAUAAAAAACCACGGGCAAAGAUAAUUUUACUAUAAUGGCAAAAGAAUGAAGAGUACAAAAGAUGGAGAUAAAAACUAAACCCCGAAAACUCGAAAAACAAAGAACCCUCAAACGUAAACACAAAAUUCUCUGAAUGUGUUAUGAGUUCUAAUCUAAUGGGUGUCUCUUUUUAAUUCUAAGAUUGUAAAGGAGCCUAUUUAUAGGCUAAAUUAGUAAGUCAAAUAAACUAUACUAAUAAAUGCUAAAUAUAUUAUACUAAUAAAUACUAAAUCUUCUAGAAAGAAAAUAUAUUUUUGUUUAACUUGACUUGCAAGCAAUCUCUUAGAAUUUGGGUCACACAAUUCUAACAAUCUCCACCUUGACACGAAUUCUUUCAAUGCCAUCUUUGCCAAAACCCGCCACGAGCCUAUCUUGAACUAUGCAGGGAAUUAACUGAGUCGAAUCUAUGCUUAGAAGCUAGAAGACUUCUAGCCUUCGACUUGUGCACUGCCAAAUCAAAACUAACCCGGGUCUGAUUUUCACGAAUACAGUGCCCUAACUUUUCAAAACCUGCAUCCAAAAGAGAACCUCUCUUCAACGAAACGGUCAUACCUUUUUCCCUCCUAUGACCAAGUUGCCUCCGCUUCAAAUGAGUUGACUUUGACUCCGUAACGGACGAGGGACGUCCGAUUUCACCGGUCACUGUAGAACCUUCCAGAAUAUAAAGACUGCCGGUUCUUUUACCUUUUAACAAAACGAGAGCUCCACGAGAUACUUUAAUGUCGCUCGACUCGAUGUUGAUUCUGCAUCCUUUCAAGUCUAAAAUACUCAAGGAGAUGAGAUUCUUUCGUAAAUCGGGUACAUACCUGACAUCUGAGAGUGUCCUAAUCGUCCCAUCGUGUAUCCUAAUUUUAACAGUACCAAUACCGAUUAUUUUACUAGAUGAAUCGUUUCCCAUGUGCACAACUCCACCUUCAACUGAACUGUAUGUGGAGAACCAUUCUCUAUUGGGACACAUGUGGAAAGAACAUCCUGAAUCUAGGAUCCACUCAGACGUAAGCUUGGAGUUAUCGCUCGUUGACACUAACAAGAAAUCAUCACCGCCUUCAUCGACCAAAUUAGCACCAGCUACAUCUUCCUCGUUACUCUCAGCAGCUCUUUUAUUUCGCAGUUUAAAACAAUCUGCUUUGACGUGACCUAACUUUUUGCAAUAGCGACACCUUUUGUCUCGUUUCUUUGAUGCUACCAAAACGGAAGCUUGUCUAUCUGCUUUGCUAUUCAAAUCAAACUCAUUGUCGAGUUUGUCUCUACUCAACAAAUAACCUUUCACAUCUUCAAACGAGAGUUUGUCUCUGCCAUAAAUCAGGGUCUCCCUGAAAGACUUGUAUGAAGAGGGUAAAGAGCACAAUAAUAGCAUAGCUUGAUCUUCAUCGUCAAUAUGAACCUCAACGUUCUUUAAAUCAUUUAAAAGAGUAAUGAAUUGAUUGAUGUGAUCUUUAAGAAGCUCACCUUCGUUCAUGCGAAACGUAAAUAGACGUUGUUUCAACACUAAACGGUUAGCCAGAGACUUAGUCGCAUAAAGAGUUUCUAACCUUUUCCACAAGGCGAAUGAGGUCUUCUCCAUCAAUACCUCCUGCAAUACUGUAUUCGCGAGACACAACUGGAUUGCAGACAAGGCCUUUUCAUCAAGCUCUUCCCAUUUUGUUUGAUUUAGAUUCUCAGGCUUUUUCCCUGUAACAACCUUUUUCAAGCCAUUUUGAACUAGAAUUGCCAUCAUCCGAACUUGCCACAGAUUGAAAUUUGUCUCACCAUCGAACUUCUCAAUUUCAAACCUUGUUGCUGCCAUCUCUGACCGGGCUGAUCUAUGAAAGUUAAACUAUCUCUGAUACCACUUGUUAAGAUCGUCCCGAUUAAGCAACGAACAAGUAAAAAUAGUAGAAGAAAUUGAGAAGAUGAACACACAAAUUUAACGUGGAAAAACCCCUCAAAAGAGGAUAAAAAACCACGGGCAAAGAUAAUUUUACUAUAAUGGCAAAAGAAUGAAGAGUACAAAAGAUGGAGAUAAAAACUAAACCCCGAAAACCCGAAAAACAAAGAACCCUCAAACGUAAACACAAAAUUCUCUGAAUGUGUUAUGAGUUCUAAUCUAAUGGGUGUCUCUUUUUAAUUCUAAGAUUGUAAAGGAGCCUAUUUAUAGGCUAAAUUAGUAAGUCAAAUAAACUAUACUAAUAAAUGCUAAAUAUAUUAUACUAAUAAAUACUAAAUCUUCUAGAAAGAAAAUAUAUUUUUGUUUAACUUGACUUGCAAGCAAUCUCUUAGAAUUUGGGUUACACAAUUCUAACAUAUAUAUAUUAGCAUACGCCUAUCAUGCAAAUGGUAUAAUGUCCAGAUUAUCUGGUCUUUGAUUUCAUUUGUCAAUUAAUGAUUGUGGAUUGACAAUAUUGACCAUUUUAUGCACGGGGACUACUCAUCUACUCCUCUUCUGCCAUUCUCACUACCCAUUUGCAUUCAUUUUCUCUGCCCUACUGCUCCUCUGCAGUGCACUCUCCAAUUGCAUUUAAAGACAAUAUAUACGUAUAGAUUGUAAAUUUUCUUGGCUGGAAGCUCACUGUAAGCCAAAAUCAAAACAAACUUUUGAUGGUUUAAUUGUUUUUUAGCCCUUCAAUUUCAGGUGCUAUGAGAAAUGGAUUACAACCUCAUCUUGUCAUUAUCCCAAAAUCAAAACAAGCAACUCUUGGUUGAAAGUUGAAACCAAGAGCCAAGUCAAAAUUGUUUUAGGAUGAGUCCAAAAUGAAUAAUGAAUUUGAAGGUUCAAAAUAAAAUUUUAUUAUUAUAUUAAUUUAUAAUUUCAUAAAUUUUAAAAGGAUUAAAUAAUAAAUUUACUAAUUUAAGAAGACAAUAGGGAUGAUCAAAUCUAAUUGAACCUAUCAGCGAUCGGAUCGGGAUGGAUUUUUUAAAUUUAAAAAAUUAAAUAGAUUGAAUCGAAAAUCUAGGAGUUACAAAAUUCUCAUAAAUAACAAGAGUUUACAAAAAGAACACUUACUUUGGUUGAUGUAUGGUAUAAUAAGUCUGCAAAGCACCGAUAAAAAGUGCAGCAAUGGCACCCACAAAUGCGAAAAACGUCCAACGAGUCCUAAAAAAAGUACGGUAAACUUGAGCUGGAUAUCUAAUCCACAGAUUGUUUUGAUGAUCAUGUAUUUUCCGUUUAACCCCACUGUAAAUCAUCGGACUAGGAACCAAACCAGUGUUCAUCUUGUUGAAAAGCUUAGCCACUUCUUUAUCACUCCCCAAUCUAUUGUAUAAUAUGCCGACGUCUCUCAGUUCCUUAACAUCUUCGGCUUCAUCGAUCAAUGAACCAAGGAAACACAUAUAUGAAGUGACGGCGAAAUCGUUCUGGAAAUCCGGACACAUUUCGUAAGCUAUUAAGUUCAUGGUUGAAUCAUCGACGGAGAUCGGCGGUAAACAUAAUUUUCCGACGAAUAAGAUACGGUUGAAACUGAUGUCGGUUAAAUAACUUGUUUCGCUUGCUUCUAACCAUAUCCCGGUGUUUUUAAGCUCUUUUACGUUAUGAAUGGUGUGUGAAUGGCACCGUUUUGUUCUUUCUUCUUUUCUAUCUUCGUGUUCAAUGCAAAACGGAAAACACCACCGCCGUAGUUUUUCUAUUUUGAAAAGGAGUCUUUUAUGAAUUCCCCACCCCCGUGGUUUUUCUUUUUUGAAAAGGAGUCUUACUCGUAGUAGAUGCAAUAAGUGAAUUGGCGUUCCUUCUUGCUGCGGCCACCAGUCACUAGAGCCAAAUCUGUGUUAGUCAGGAGCCAGCUAAAAUCAAGGUUUUCAAUGGUUGAAUCAAAUCAUUAUUAUUUUAAUAAAAAAUUAUUUAAAUUAUUAAAUUACAUUUUAAACCUUUUAAAAAUUAUUAAAUUAUAAAUUUAUAUACAAUAAAAUUAUACUUUGACUCCUCAAAAUGAAUAAAAAAUUGUUCAAACACUUUUGAAAAAUGAUGAAAUUAUAAAUUAAUACAUAAAAAAAAUCUAAGAAUCAAACCAAACUUGUGGAUCGGCCUAAUUAGAUAGAGAAUCGAGCAAGGUACUGAUCCAGAAUAAUAAGUUAAAUCCAUUGAAUCCAAUCAUCGAAUCGAUUUUUUAUAUAUUUUUAAUAUUUUUAAAAAUUUAUAUAUAUAAUUAAACUGAAUGAACUUAUCAACUAGAAAUGAGAGUCUAAUAGAUUCCAUCACCCAUCUAGUUAUAAAAACCUUUUAACUUUUAUAAACUCCACAAAAAUGGUUAAAAAGACUGUUUUGCCAGCUACCCCAAAGUUGAGUGAUUGUUGCUGUAAUUUACCCCAUUUCUUAUUUGAAAUUGUAAAUUUUUAACAAGCUAAAUUUAAGGUUUUCAAAAUUCAACUCGUUAAGUUAUCGAUUUAUAAGUCUAAUUGGUUUGACGAAUUCAUCCGAUUAAUUAAAUCAAUUAUUAAAAAUUUUCGAUUUGAUUGCCCAAUUCAAUUAGUUUUUUUUUUGGUUCAACCUGUUCAUAUAGAUUCCCAAGUCGAUUGGUCCAAUGAUUUCCUUCGGACUAAUACCUUAAUUAAUUUCCAAUCCAAAUCGAUUCAAAUAAUAUUGGCUAAAAUACAAUUUUUAUUAUUUUAUUAAUGCAAAAAUUUUACCAUUUUAAAGAUAUUAAAAUAUAAAAUUUCUAUUUUAAAAAGUUGGAUUUGAAAUCAUAAUUUUUUUUCUAAAGAAAUGUACACUCAACAGGACCAAAGGAAUUGGCAGGGAAAUUUUGUUUUAUGGACCGUUUUCAUCACAAAUGAUCUUAUCAAAUUAAAAGAGGAUAGAUCAUCUUUUUUUUCAUAUCAUAUAUACAUUGGGACUAAACUUCCAAAUAAAAAAUAAUGUGUCUUUUUUUAAUUGAGUGGGACCAUAGAUGAUGUGGUGAAAAUGGUCCAUUAAAUAAUUUAUCACAAGCAAGAGUAAUUCCAAAAAUAGAAAAUUACAUUUUAAUUCUUUAAAAAUUAUUAAAUUAUAAAUUUAUAUAUUAUAAAAUUACACUUUGAUCCUCAAAAUGGAAAAAAUAUUUUGUUCAGUCUUUUUUUUUUAAAAAAAUAUGAACUUAUAAAUCAAUACAUGAAAAAAUUUAAGCGUCAGGCUAGUUGGAAAGAAAAGAUGAUUGGUUAAGGGUAAAAAGGAAAAUAAGAGAAAUGGAAAAGAAGAAGAAAAGAAGAACAGGGGAGGAAGAAGGGAAAAUGGAAGGAGCUUCCAAGCUUCAUACCAACGAUUCCCAAGGGUCAAAAUCUGGGAAUUUGGAUUUUGAUCCUUGGGAAUUACUGUUACGAAGUCCUUCCAUUUUCUCCUCUUCUUCUUUUCUUCUUUUUCUCCAUUUCUUCUCUUAUUCUUCUUCUUUUUUUUUGUUCUUCUACUGCCCAAACUUCUUAAAUGGGUUUGUUUAAAUGACAGCUAGCCUACCCUUAAAUGUCAUGUCACUUUUUCGUUACGUCUGUAACGAAAAAUGGUUAAAAAGACUGUUUUGUCAGCUACCCCAAAGUUGAGUGAUUAUUGCUAUAAUUUACCCUAUUUCUUAUUUGAAAUUGUAAAUUUUUAACCAGCUAAAUUUAAGGUUUUCAAAACCCAACUCGUUAAGUUAUCGAUUUAUAAUUCUAAUUGGUCUAAUGAAUUCAUCCGAUUAAUUAAAUUAAUUAUUAAAAAUUUUCCAUUUGAUUGCCCAAUUCAAUUAAUUUUUUUUGGUUCAACCUGUUCAUAUAGAUUCCCAAAUCAAUUGGUCCAAUGACUUCCUUCAGACUAAUACCUUAAUUAAUUUCCAAUCCAAAUCGAUUCAAAUAAUAUUGGCUAAAAUACAAUUUUUAUUAUUUUAUUAAUGCAAAAAUUUUACCAUUUUAAAGAUAUUAAAAUAUAAAAUUUCUAUUUUAAAAAGUUGGAUUUGAAAUCAUAAUUUUUUUUCUAAAGAAAUGUACACUCAACAGGACCAAAGGAAUUGGCAGGGAAAUUUUGUUUUAUGGACCGUUUUCAUCACAAAUGAUCUUAUCAAAUUAAAAGAGGAUAGAUCAUCUUUUUUUUCAUAUCAUAUAUACAUUGGGACUAAACUUCCAAAUAAAAAAUAAUGUGUCUUUUUUUAAUUGAGUGGGACCAUAGAUGAUGUGGUGAAAAUGGUCCAUUAAAUAAUUUAUCACAAGCAAGAGUAAUUCCAAAAAUAGAAAAUUACAUUUUAAUUCUUUAAAAAUUAUUAAAUUAUAAAUUUAUAUAUAAUAAAAUUACACUUUGACCCUCAAAAUGGAAAAAAUAUUUUGUUCAAUCUUUUUAAAAAAAUAUGAACUUAUAAAUCAAUACAUGAAAAAAUUUAAGGAUUCGACAAAACUUAUCGGUCAGGCUAGUUGUUGAGAAAAUUGAACAAGAUAUUGAUCCAGAAUAAGAGAUUAGAUUAGAUGAAUUGAGUCAUCGAAUGGAUUUUCUUUAUAUGUUUAAUAUAUCUUUAAUAUUUUCAAAAACUUAUAUAACUGAAUCGAAUAAACUAAUCAAUCAAAAUUAAGAGUAAUCAAUGUAAAAACCUUUUAACAUUUAUAACCUCGACAAAAUGAUUUUUUUAUUUAUUUUUAAAUUCCUUAAAUUACCUGUCCUCGGCUGGGGUGAUAACAGUGUCGUCGAUGAACCUUUUGACUGCAUUCAUGAACUUUUCGCCAUCACUCGAGCUUGUAAGCAAUUCAAGAACACGAAAAGGUAUUUGGUUCUCCAACAAUAACAGAUCCGAGUACACAAAUGUCAGCAAAUCGUUUUUAAUAAACAACCGGUCAUAUUCAGAAGAAAUAUCAUCACCGUAACGCAUAUAAACUGCUUGUAAAAUUGCGCAGCCGUCAACGAAGAACAUCCAAGCCAGUUCCUCGUCAUCGUCGCUAUAGUUCGCUAAUUCCUGUGGAUCAUAGCAUUUCUUUAAGUCAUCGAUCUCUGCCUUCAUGUUGCUGUACUCCUCAUUGUCGUCAAUGUUUCUGACGAAAUGUGCUGCUAAUUUGAGCUUGAGAUCAUUGGAUUCUUGGAGGGUGCCAUCAUCGUGGUGGAGUGGGCCGAUUGAGAUCACUUUCGGCUUGAAAUACUUCUUGAAAUCUUCGUUACGGCUAAGGGUUGAUGGGACUUUUCGGAUCAAUGGAUUGCAUGUGCCGUUGGAAGCUUUGACUAAUGACGCGAGAUUCGCUAAUUCGCCCUUCCAGCGUAGCAAGUCAAUACGAAUGCUCACGAAAUCGUUGUUGUUGGUGAUUGUUUGAUCAGUGGAAACUGCUCCGACGGCGCCGCCUCCUUCCUCCGUGGACGGCAUUUUCAGGCUGAGCGGUUGGAAGUAAUAAAGAAGGUGAUUUUGUAAACUGUUUUUGGCUGAGUGAGUGAUGUUGGAGAAAAGGUGGCAAAAUGGCUACGAUGAUGACAAAUAUUUUAUAGCCUACAUGAUAAACAUAUAUGGGAAAUACUUAAGGUGUAAUUCAAAUUUACCCCUUAGUGUUUAUAUUUUUAUUAAUAUAAUUUUAAUUUUUUAAUUAAAUUUAAUUCUCUUUUGAAAGAGUCAAUGAUAAAAAAGAAAAGUUAAAUUAAUAUUUUUUAACAAAAAUAGUAAUAAAUAUUAAAAUUAAGAAUAAUAUUAUAGAACCUAAAUACUCAACACAACCCAAAACCUUCGCCUUAACCAAGAAACUAAUACUUCCUAAAUUUCAUUAGCUUAAUAAUAGCUAUUCAAAUAUAUUUUUUCAUUGUAUUACUUAAAUUAUUAUUACUUACUUUAACAUUUAAAUUAUCAUUAUAUUACAUGAUUAGUUCCAAAUAUUUAACAUUGUAACUAUGCUUCUUUAAAUAUAGUAAUUGCAUUUGUUAUUCACAUGUUAUUCACAUGCCAACCAACCAAUUUAUUAUUCACAUUCCUAACUUUCUAAAUGCAUCAAAUAUUUCAUAUUCAUGUACUAACAAAGAUCAUGCCAAGAACCCACAUGCAGAGUCAUUAUAUACCACAUUUAACUCAACAAGACUUUUACAUAACCAAAGAUUACUCCAAACGUUUAUACGCAUGUCGCAAUCCUUGACUCAAAUGAUAAAAAAAAAAACACCAAAUUGACAAUAAAAUAAUGUAAGCUUCGAACGAUCCAAUCGACAUGUUCCACAAUGUAACACCUAAAAGGAAAAAGAAAACAAUGGGGUAAGCAUAUAAGAUGCUUAGUAAACUCAUAUGUAAUCUAAAACUUACCUAGAUUAAUUGAACAUAAAAAUUACUGAAUAAUCUAUCAAAUUUAUUUUUCCAUGGCACGUAGAUAUCGUAUAUGUAACAACAUUUCAAGUCGAAAAUGUUAAAUACAAUGUUGAAUCAUUAUGUCUUCUUUUCUUAAGUUUCACUUAUAGAAAUAUAAUAUAGGUUCAAGUACAAAUAUAUGUCUCGAUUAAUCUAGAAAGAAUUAGACAAAAUUCACAUAUGAUAUACGCAUAUAAUGAGUGUGAGACUCACACAUCACAAUUGAGAAUAAUGUUAUAGAACCUAAAUACUCAACAACCCAAAACCUUUGCGUUAAGCAAGAAGCUAAGACCCUAUCGGAGGGAGAAUUUUAUAUCUACAACACUUCUUAAAUUUCAUUAGCUUAACAAUAGCUAUUCAAAUAUUUAACAUUGUAACCAUGCUUCUUUACAUAUAGUAAUUGCAUUUGUUAUUCUACCCAACUUAUGAAAAAUCUCAAAUUUGCAAUUUAUUAUUCACAUGCCAACCAACCAAUUUAUUAUUCACGUGCCAACCAAUUUGUUUUAUCGAAGUUAUUAUACUUAUAAGCUUUCACAUAUAACCAUGCUUCUUUACAUAUAUUAAUUGCAUUUAUUGUUGUACCUCAUGAAAAUUUUCAAAUUUGCAACAACAUAUUAUUCGCAUGCCAACCAACCUCUUUUUUUUUAUUGAAGUUAUUAUACUUAUAAGCAUUCACAUUUAACCAUGCUUCUUGUAACACUUUUCAUUGGACCCAAUCGUUGGGUCCGAUCUACAAGACUCUACAGUCAUUGUCAAAGCAACUACAGUCGAAAUUACGAUAAGAUAAUUUUCAUUUAAACAUCAAGCAAGAUUCAACUACAGUAAUACAUUAAUUAUGAGUUUUAAUCGAGCUUACAAAAGCUUUUUUGGUAGUCCGAACAAGAAUUAGGACCAAACUAUAAAGAUUUGAAAAGUUUGGAGCGACGUCGCAACUUCAGCUUUUCCUCAUCGCAACAUGACCAUCUCAGUAUGUCACAUCAUAUCGAAAAGCCUAUGCUCAUCGCAGCGAGACUCUCUGACUUGGCAAUGUCGCAAUGUCAAGAUUCGUAGCCGUGAUGUGAACUCUAUAUUUGACAAAAAUAUACAAUUUGGUACCUAAUUCAAAGCUCCAACUAAAAUCAUGCAAGAAAAAUACAUUACGUGCCAUUUCUAAAUGACUUAAAACUUACCUUAAACAUGCUAAGUAAGUUUAAACAUAUCAUUUCAAUUCCAUAGCAAUUCAUAUUACCAUUUCAUCAAUUGUAUUCAACUUUUCAAUAACUUGUAACCAUGCUUCUUUACAUAUAGUAAUUGCAUUUGUUAUUCUACCUAAUUUAUGAAAAAUCUCAAAUUCACAAUUUAUUAUUCACAAGCCAAACAACCAAUUUAUUAUUCCAACCAACCAAUUUAUUAUUCACAUGCCAACCAAUUUGCUUUAUUGAAGUUAUUAUACUUAUAAGCUUUCACAUAUAACCAUGCUUCUUUACAUAUAUUAAUUGCAUUUAUUGUUGUACCUCAUGAAAAUUUUCAAAUUUGCAACAACAUAUUAUUCGCAUGCCAACCAACCUCUUUUUUUUUAUUAUUGAAGUUAUUAUACUUAAAAGCUUUCACAUGUAACCAUGCUUCUUGUAACACUUUUCAUUGGAUCCGAUCAUUGGGUCCGAUCUACAGAACGCUACAGUCAUUAUCAAAGCAACUACAGUCAGAAUUACGAUAAGAUAAUUUUUAUUUAAACGUCAAUCACGAUUCAAUUACAGUAAUACAUUAAUUAUGAGCUUUAAUCGAGCUUACGAAAACUUUUUUGGCAGUCCGAACAAGAAUUAGGACCAAACUGUAAAGAUUUGAAAAGUUUAGAGCGAUACUGCGACUUCAGCUUUUCCUCAUCGCAACAUGACCAUCUCAGUAUGUCACAUCAUAUCAAAAAGCCUAUGCUCGUCGCGGCGAGACUCUCUGACUUGGCAAUGUCGCAAUGUCAAGAUUCGUAGCCGUGAUGUGAACCCUAUAUUUGACAAAAAUAAACAAUUUGGUAUCUAAUUCAAAGCUCCAACUAGAAUUAUGCAAGAAAAAUACAUUACGUGCCAUUUCUAAAUGACUUAAAACUUACCUUAAACAUGCUAAGUAAGUUUAAACAUAUCAUUUCAAUUCCAUAGCAAUUCAUAUUACCAUUUCAUCAAUUGUAUUCAACUUUUCAAUAACUUAAACUAAAUAUCAACAAGUUAUACAAACAUCUACCAUUACCUUUAUCAUGCCAUAAUGAAUCAUUCCAUUUCAAACAAUCAUCACAUUAGUUCUUUCAUUUUUCUUUUUUAGUCAUCAUAUGCAAACCAACUUAAAUAGAUCACAUUCCAACUUUCUAAAUGCAUCAAAUAUUUCAUAGCAAAGAUCAUGCCAAGAACCCACAUGCAAAGUCAUUAUAUACCACAUUAAACUCAACAAAACUUUUACACAACCAAAGUCUACUACAAAUGUUUAUAUACAUGUCGCAAUCCUUGACUCAAAAUGAUAAAAAAUAAACUACCAAAUUGAUGAGAAAAUAGUUUAAGCUUAGAACAAUCCAACCGACGUGUUCUGCAAGGUAACAACCUAAAAGAAAAAAAGAAACAACGGGAUAAGCAUAUGAUAUGCUUAGUAAGCUCAUAUGGAAACUAAAACUUACCUAGAUCCAUUGAACAUAAAAAAUUACUCAAUAAGCUAUUGAAUUAAUUUUUCCUUGGCACUUAUAUACAUAUAGUACAUGUAACAACAUUGCAAGUCAAAAGUGUUAGAUACAAUGUUGAAUCAUAAUCCCAUCAACCUUUAAAACAUAAUCACAUAGCAAUCUACAUAUCAAAUUUCAUCAAUUUAUUUUUCAAUUCAAGAUUUAAUUCCAUUUCCAACCAUUUAAUCAUCCUCUGAUAAAACUAUAGUAAAAAAGACCUAGGUACAUGGGACUAUUUUGCUGACACUUUAACGAACUUUCUCACACAAGUUGAUUUUAUAUUAGAAUUGUUCACACAAGUUGACUUUGUAAUAAUUGCUCACACAAGCUAACUUUAUAUAAUGGAAUUGUUCACACAUCCUGACUUUGUAAAAUGCUCACACAAGCUGACUUUGUAAUACUUCCAUACAACUAAUAUUUAUGAUUCAAUUAAAUUCAAGACAAUUGUGCUAAAUUCUAACAAUUAUAUAUAUAUAUAUAUCCUUUUUUUCGGGAUCAUUCCAAAAAAAACCGUUUUUAAUUUUUGGUGCGGAACAAAAAAAAAGUGAAUUGAAUUUAAAGUUGGAUCGAGUGAAUAAAUGGAUAGAGCUCCACGGCCCCAAUUAUAGGGAAACAAAAAGUAACAAGCUUCUGUUCUCAAUUUGAAUAAUUACCUAAUCUAAUUAAACUUUAAAAAAAAAAUUAGUGCCUAAUGUGGUAAAGGUUUUUCUCAUGAGUAAAUUAUCGGUUUUUUUUUUGAGUCCUAAUUAUUAUUAUUAGGCAUUCCCUUUAUGGGUUAGCCAUGAAUGUGUAGAAGAAGCAGUAUAUUGAUAAAGAAAAUAACUUUUUUUCUAAAAUCAAAAGAGCGAUUGGGUUGAAAAAAUAAAGGAUUUCUAACCGUCAUAUAUGUUGAUUCAAAUAUAAUUCAUACCAAAAUAAAAUUGAUUAUUAAGUUAAAAUAAAAUUUAGGAUGUGAAAGAAGUUCAAAAAAAAAAUUAAUGCAAAAGAAAGAUAAGGGUAUUUUUUUUAGGUCAUGGAUGUAACAACGAAGCUCGGUUAUUGUUGGUGUUGUAUGGAAGAAUCGAAGAUGUAGUGAAUGAGUUUUUAGGGUUUUAAAGUUUAACAUUGAAAGAUUGUUGUUUGUGGGUAUGUGACUGUUUUCGAUGUAAGGAAUGGUAUAAAAAAAUUACGAUUUAGGGUUUUAUUAUAUAAAUAAAGAAAGCGCCUUUUAAGAUUGUUAGAGGCACCUAUCUUUGUUUUUAGUGUAUGUAUCAUGGUCCUGAUGAUGCGGUACAAGUUUAGUUCUUUUGAGUGUGUCUUGUGAUGUGAAGUCUGUUUUGUUGGGGCUCUUGGCUCCUAUGUUUCAAUGAUAAUAAAAUAUACGUCAAACAAAAUUCUCACAAAAAACAGAGUUUACAAAACGACUAGUAAACAACACUUACUUUGGUUGAUGUAUGGCAUAAUAAGUCUGCAAAGCACCAAGCAAAAGUGCAGUAAUGGCACCCACAAAUGCCAAAAACGUCCAAGGACUCCUAAAAUAAGUAUGAUAAGCUAGAGCUGCAUGCUUAAUCCGCAUAUUCUUACAAUGAUUAUGUAUUUUCCGUUUAACCCCACCGUAAAUCAUCGGACUAGGAACCAAAUCAGUGUUCAUCUUAUUGAAAAGGUUAGCCACUUCUUCAUCACUCCCCAAUCCGUUGUAUAGUAUGCCGGUGCCACUCAGGUCUUUAACAUCUUCGGCUUCAUCGAUCAAUAAAUCAAGGAAACACAUAUAUGAAGUGACAGUGAAAUCGUUUUUGAAAUCCGGGCACAUUUCGUAAGCUAUCAAGUUCAUGGUUGAAUCAUUGACGGCGAUUGGCGGUAAACAUAAUUUUCCAACGAAGAUACGGUUGAAACAGAUUCGUAGUAGAUUCAGUAGGUGAAUUGGACUUGCAGCUUCCACCAUUACCAUUUUCUAGAGCUAAAUCUGUGUCAAGUCAUCGAUUUAUAAGUUUAAUUGAUCCGAUGUAUUCAUAUUUGUUGAUUAAAUAAAUCAUUAAAAAUUUUGAUUUUAUUAUUUAGUUCAAUAAGUUUUUUUUUUUUUUUACAAUUCAACCUGAUUCUUAAGUCAAUCGAUCUAAUGACUUUCUUUAAACUCAUACCUCAAUUAAUUUUCAAUCCAAUAUAAUCCAAACAACAUUUCGUAAAAUAUAAUUUUAUUUUACCAUUUUGAAAAGUUGGAUUUGAAAAUGCACACUCAACAGGAUCAAUACAAAGGGACAGGCGAGGUCGUUCUCAAAAAUAGAAAAUUAUAUUUUCAUCCUUUUUAAAUUAUUAAAUUAUAAAUUUAUAUAAUAAAAUUACACUUUAACCUUUUAAAAUGAAAAAAAAAAUUGUUCAACCUUUUUAAAACUGAUGAAAUUAUAAAUUAAUAAAUGAAAAAAAAAGAGAAUGAGACGAAACUUGUUGAUCAAGCUAGUUGGAUAGAGAAUUAAGUAAAGGUGCUCAUGGGUAAGGUUGAACCCAAUAAAAGAUUUAUGCCUCAGCUUGGCCCACUCGUUUUAAUUUUUUUAAAUUUUUUUAAAUUUUUUUAAUAUAAUUUUUAAAUAUAUAUGAUACAUUAAAAAUACUAAAAAACAUUAAAAUAAAUAUUUCCCAACAAACUAAUUUUUUUUUAAAAAUAUGUAUACUUAAAUAACAUUAAAGUAGACACUGUAAAAUGGUAAUAAAAUAGGAAGAAAAUGACAAGAAACUAGCAUUAAAACAAUAAAAAAAUAACAUAUUUUUUUGUCCUUUUGUGAUUCGGGCUAGGGUUGGGCCAAAAAUGUCUUACCCGAGACUCGGCCUAUUUUCAAAACUAGAUUUUUUUUUGCCCAAGUCAAUUUUUUAGGUCUAUAUUUUUACUUAAACCCUUAUAUUUCUCGGACGAGCCAAAUGACCCAAUCUAUGAGUAAGUCUAGAAUCAAGCAAGAUACUGGUCCAGAAGAAAAGGAUAGACAAAUUGAAUCGAAUAGUAAAAUCGAUUUUUUUUAUAUUUUUAAUAUAACUUUAAUAUUUUUUAAGAUUCUAUAUAAUUUAAACGAAUGAACUAUUCAACCGAAAAUGAGGAUCUAAUCGAUUCCAUCACCUAGUUAUAAAAAUCUUUAACACUUAUAAACUCCACAAAAUAUUCUUUUUAAAAUUCCUUAAAUUACCUGUCCCGCUGAUGUGAUUGUGGCUCUUUUAUCUCGGCUGGGUUGACAACAGUGUCGUCGAUGAACCUUUUGAUUGAAUCCAUGAACUUUUUGCCAUCCCCCGAGCUUGUAAGCAAUUCAGGAACACGAAAAGGUGAUUGGUUUUCCAACAAGAACAGAUCCGAGUACACAAAUGUCAGCAAAUCGUUUUUAAUGAAAUUCGUUCGACUUACGAUCAUAAUCUUGGCCGUAACGCAUAUAAACUGCUUGUAAAAUUGCGCAGCCGUCAAUUCCUUUGGAUCAUAGCUUUUCUUCAAGCCAUCCGGCUCUGUCUUCAUGUUGUUGUACAAGGUAUCAUUAUCGAUGCCAAUUUUUUUAACGAAAUUUGCUGCUAAAUUGAGCUUGAGCUUCUCGGACUCGUGGAGGGUGGGAUCAUCGUGGUGGAGUGGGCCAAUUGAGAUCACUUUCGGCUUGAAAUAUUUCCGGAAAUCUUCGUCACGGCGAAGGGUUGCUGGGACUCUUUUGUCAAUAGUUUGGCUUUGGGGUCGAGAUGGUCCCCUUCGAAAGCUUCGUCUAAUGACCAGCAAUUCCGUGAUUCGCCAUUGCUGUGAGUGAAGUCUGUACCCGGUAUUGGAAUGAUCGUCUCUAGGGGAUUGUUGUUCGUGUUGUUAUUGAUGACUGUUUGAUCAGUGGAAACUACUCCACCGGGAGCUCUGACGGCGCCGCCUCCUUCUGUAACACCCCUAUACCAUGUUUGACUUAAGGAACCUAAUAUAAGAAUAUUACAUUUGAUGCCAAAGUAAUUCUUGGCUAAUUACUAUUAUAUUUGAACAUAAAAACAGACAAAUAAUAAAUUUAAAUAAUUUAUAUUUAAAUCCAUUACUACUACUUGGGACAUAAUUUUUUUUAAGUACAUGCCAUUCUAUUCAAAAUUUUAAAACAUACCCGUUGUUGCUUGAAGAUGUGAUGAGAUGAAAGCUUACAAUCUCAAAUUCGACUCUCAAAAAUUUAUGUACCUAAUUUGCGCAAGGAAACAAAUCGUACAAUGAGUAUACACCCAGUGUUAUUACUAUAAUUCAAAUACUUAAGGUAAAAACAAUAUAUAUACACAUUAAAUCUUACCACUAUUUUACCUUCAAUAAAUCAUUCAUGCAUUUAAACUUUAAAUUUAUUCUAAUAAUAUGUAUCUUAAAUAGCUUUUCUUUAUUUUAAUUUAUAUAUCUACUUAUUAUAUCAAUAUUCAUUUCAUGCAUUUCAUCAAUAACCAUUUCAUAAAACUAUUAUUUCAUAUAUUUCAUUUCUAUAUCCUAAUUCAAUAAUUUAUUCUAUUCCAUAUCUAAAACCUUACAACAUUAGUCUUUCAAUAAUUAUUUAAACCAACAUUUUUCAAUAAAAAUAAUUAUAAUUAAUUCAUAAGAUUAUAUCCAACUAACUCAUACACUAUUUCAUUAUUUCCUAUUCAUUCUAUUUUCACUUCUUAUUUCGAUAUCUCAAUUUCAAUUCACAUUUCAAUUCAUAAUUUCACUUUCUCAUACUUUCAAUAGCUCAAUCCAUCAAUUCAUUUGAUUUUUUCAUUUCAUUUAUUCAACUGAUUUCAAAAUCAAUAAUUCGAUAUUUUAGCAAAUUCAUGAACCUUAUGUUCAUGCUUCAAAUCUCGCAUCUUAAUGCCGUUCACAAUUCAACUCAUAAUUUCUUUCUCAUAUCUCUAAAAGUACGAUCAAUCAAAUUUAUUUAAUUUUCUCAUUUCAGUUAUUCACCUUAUUAACAAACCCGGACUUUGACGGAUACACGAAUUCCAACCCAAACACACCAGUACGGCAUAUUGUGCCUAAAACGGUACAUAGUACCUGAUCAGUAUACGACACAUAAGUGCCUGAAAUGACACACGAGGUGCCUAAUAUGACACACGAGGUGCCUGAAAUACGCAAAGCCGAUAUAUCCCGGACUCUUAUAAAUCCUAUGGCAUGCCAAUUAUAUCCGACUCAGCCCGACUAGAUAAUAGGGUAUUUCAAUUCUCAAUUCACUUUCAUUUCCAAUUCAAUAUCACUUUUCAAUUACAAUUUCUCAUUCAAAUCAAUAUACAAUUCAAUUGUACAUACACAUUCAUCAUUCAAUUCAAUUCUCAUUCAUUUCAAAAUCAAUUUUUCACUUUCUAAUCAAUAAACAAUUCAAUACCAAUACAUAUUUCAGAUAAUCACAUAUAAUCAUAUUUCGAUUCAAUUCAAACCACUUUUCAAUCAAUACACAAUUCACAUAUUCACACAUAUUCAUAAAUUAAUUCACUUUUAUUUAAUUCAUAUUUUUAAUUCAUUUUCCAAUCAAAUUCAAAUCACUAAUUACUUUUCAAUCAAUAUACAUUUCAAAUACUCACAUAUUUUCUUCAUUCAAUUCAAUUUGAUUCAAUUAAAAUCACUUUUAGUUUCCAAUCAAUAUAAUUUCAAAUAUUCACAUAAUUCGUAAUUCAAUUACUUAAAUCACUUUUAAUUUCCAAUUUGUUCACAUUCAAUUUCAAUAGCCAUAAACAUUUUUGAAUCAAUUUCAUUCAAAUCAAUAUCAUCAUUUCAAUUGCUUACCUAAUUUUAUUUGCCAUGCAUUUUAAUUCAAAUAUAACAAUUAAUAAUAAAUAGAUUUGAAUUAUAGUAGUACAAACCCGGAUUUGUUCGAUUACUCCUCGAUAACGUUUCCUUUCUUUUCGGUGCCGAUGCCUCGAUUUCUUUGGUAACUACAAAAAUAAUAAUAAUAAUUUACACUUAUUAAUAACAGCACUAAUUUAUAAUAAUGAUUGAAUUUCUAUUCAAUUUAUAUCCUAAUUCCAAUUUAAUCCUAAUUAACUCAUUUACUUUUAUAAUUCAAUUCAUACUUCAUUUCGAUUCAAUUUCCUUCCAUAUUUCACUUAACUAUCUAAUGUUCAUAAUAAAAUUAUAAUUUAAAAUUUCUUUCAAUUUAGUCCUUUCAACACAAAACUUAUAGCUUCUUUUACAAUUCAAUCCCUUACCAAAUAUAACUUGAAAUUCAUUCAAUUAAAUCCCUAAUUCAUCUUUUUGUUCAACAUGAACUAUACUUAUAAACCUAUGAACUUUCAAAGUAUCAACUUAAUUUCAUCAAAACCUUGUUCUAAAGCUUGUAAAACAUCAAAAUUAAGUAAAAAUGACUUAAUUGACUUACCUAUUAAAGUUUUAACCUUCAAACCCUAGUUUUUCCCCAUUUUCUUUUCUUUCCCUUUUCUUUCUUCUUGUUUUCGAAUGGCUUCUGCUAUUCUUUCUUUUGCUUUCUUUCUUUAUUUCAUUUCAUUUAUAUAUAUAUAUAUAAUAUUAGUUAAUAAUGAUAAUAAUGAUAAUAAUAAUUAUAAUAAAUAUCUUUUAAUAACACAUAUUUACAUUACAUUUGUCACCACUUAAUUUGUUUAUCGUACACAAAAAUCUUAUAAUAUAAUUAUUUAAUUAAUAACUAUCUUUUACUUAAUUUUCAAGUAAAUAAAUAAAUAUAAUACAAAUGUAUAUAUUUACAUUAUUUCAAUUGUCACUAUCCAAUUUUUUUAUUAGUUAUCUAAUAAAUAUCUUUUACUUAGUAAUAAUAAAUAAUAAAUAUCUAUUUACUAAUUAAAUAUAAGUAUUACAAAUGUACAUAUAUUUUUUUUACAAGUGUACAAUAUCAUCACCACCCAUUUGGCAAAAUUUUGAUUUAUUCAUAUAAUAUAAUAUAAUAUUUUUAAUUUAUAACUAAUAUAAAUUGCCAUAUAAUAAAAUAAUUAUAUACAUAAUAAUUUAAUAAUAAUUAAACAAUAAAAAUUUUAGAUUUUUAUCAACAUUUGCCGCCUCAUUUAUGGUGAAUGGUAUAUUUUCCAUUUUGGUCCCCCUUUCUUUUUAUUAAUCUAAUUUAGCCCUUAAUAUUUAUAAUUUUACCAAUUUGAUUUUUAUUCUUUUUAGUUAAAUUUAAUUCUCUACCUAGUGUCAAAUUUGACUAUUGAUCUUUUAGAAAAUUGUCGAAUUAAUGUUUUGUUCUUUGCUUUCAAUUUGGUUCUGUUCUUAAGCAAAUUUCUGCUUUGUUUCUUCUCCAAGUCACGAGUCUUGUUGUUCAAGUCAUAGCUGAACUAGCUUGCUUGUUGUUCAUAACACCAACAACCUGUUCUCGGCUGGGUUGAUAACAGUAUCAUCGAUGAACCUCCGGAUUGCAUUCAUGAACAUUUUGCCAUCACCCAAGCUUGUAAGCAAUUCAAGAACACGAAAAGGUAAUUGAUUUUCCAACAAGAACAGAUCCGAGUACAAAAAUGUCAGUAAAUCAUUUUUAAUUAACAAAUUACCAUCAUCAUCAUCAUUAUCGUAACGCAUGUCAACUGCUUGUAAAUUUGCGCAGCCGUCAACGAUGAACAUCCAAGCCAGUUCCUCGUUAUCGUCUCUAUACUUCUCUAAUUCCUGUGGAUCAUAGCAUUCCUUCAAGCUAUCCAUCUCUUUCUUAAUUUUUCUGUACAAGGAUUUCUUAUCGACGCCAAUUUUUUUGACGAAAUGUGCUGCUAAUUUGAGGUUGAGCCCCUUGGAUUCACGGAGGGUGAGAUCAUCGUGGUGGAGUGGGCCGAUUGAGAUCACUUUCAGCUUGAAAUACUUCUUGAAAUCUUCGUUACGGAGAAGGGUUGAUGGGACUUUUUGUAUUAAUGGUUUGUAUCUAAGGGUGGGUUGGCCACCAAAAGCUUUGUCUAAUGACUGGAGCUUCGCUACUUCGCCAUCGCUGAGAGGGACGUCGGUGAACCACAUAUCAAUUCCCACGUAAUCGUUGUUGGUGUUGUUGUCGAUGAUUGUUUGAUUAGUGGAAACUGCUCCGGCGGCGCUGCCUCCUUCCUCCAUGGACGACAUUUUCAGGCUGACCGGCUCGAAGUAAUUAACAAGGUGAUUUUGAAAACUUGUUUUGGCUGAUUGAGUGAUGUUGGAAAAAAGGUGGCAAAAUGGCUACGAUGAUAACAAAUCUUCUAUAGCUUACAUAAAGAGGCGAAUAUAGGGGAAUGUAAAAUUGUUAUUUAGGCCCUUAAUAUUUUUUAAAAUUUUAAAUUAGUAAAAGUGAAAUUACAUUUUGGCCUUAUAAAAUUAUAAAAAUUCAAUUUAAUCUUUUAAAAAUUAUAAAGAUAUAGACUACAAAAAAUUAAAAUCUCAUUCGAUCCACCCUAAAAAAUUAUUCGGGCUUCGCCACUGCUUACAUAAUAAACAUAUGGAAAAUACUUUUGGUGUAAUUCAAAUUUACCCCUUAUAGUCAAUUUAAUUUUCAUUUUUUUAAUUUAAUUUUCUAUCUUUUGGAAGAGUUGAAUUUAACUAUCAAUUUAAAUUAAUAUUUUUUAACGAAAAUAGUGACUAAAAUAUUAAAAUAUUAAACAUGACAACUCAAACGGCAAUCCACAUCUAUAUGUUUUUUUUAUUUAUUUCUUAUUUUUAAAUUAUUUAUUGAUGUGACAUAUAAUAAAAGUAUUGUUAUAUUAGCAUGAAGUACACAUGGAAGGCCACACGAGUUGUGACACCAAUAUCGUUAAAAAUUAAUAUUUUAGUUAGCAUAUCUGUUAAAGAAAAGCAAAUGAACUCUUUUUUCAAAGGUUAAUGGCUAAAUUUAGCUCAAAUGAAAAAAAAAAAAGGCCAAUUUGAUAAAAAAGGUAAAUGUCAAGAGUUAAGUUUAACAUUUAUACAAGUACAAAUAUAUGUCUGGAUUAAUCUAGAAAGAACAAGACAAACUCUACAGGUGAUAUACAAAUGUGAUGAGAGUGGAACCUGCACAUCACAAUUGAGAAUAAUAUUAUAGAACCUAAAUACUCAAAAACCUAAAACCUUCCCCUUAACCAAGAAGCUAAGACGCCAUGGAUAAUUUUAUAUCUACAACACUUAUGAAUUUCAUAUGCUUAAUAAUAGUUUACAAAAAGACAAGUAAAGAACACUUACUUCGGUUGAUGUAUGGUAUAAUAAGUCUGCAAAGCACUAAGAGUAAGUGCAGCAAUGGCACCCAAAAAUGCUAAAAACGUCCAAGGACUCCUAAAAUAAGUAUGAUAACCUUGAGCUGCAUGAUUAAUCCACAUAGUCUUACAAUGAUUAUGUAUUUUCUCUUUAACCCCACUGUAAAUUGUCGGACUAGGAACCAAAUCAGUGUUCAUCUUAUUGAAAAGCUUAGCCAUUUCUUCAUCACUGCCCAAUCCAUUGUAUAGUAUGCCGGAGUCUCUAAGGUCUUUAACAUCUUCGGCUUCAUCGAUCAAUAAAUCAAGGAAACACAUAUAUGAAGUGACGGUGAAAUCGUUGUCGAAAUCCGGACACAUUUCGUAAGCUAUUAAGUUCAUGGUUGAAUCAUCGACGGAGAUCGGCGGUAACCGUAAUUUUCCGAAGAAGAAGAUAUGGUUGAAACUGAUGUCGGUUAAAUUACUUGUUUCGCUGGCUUCUAACCAUAUCCCGGCCUUUUUAAGCUCUUUUACGUUACCAAUGGUGCGUGAAUGGUACCGUUUUGUUCUUUUUCUUCUUGCUGCUGCUUUGCCAAAUCCGUGUCGAGUGAAUUCCCAAAGAAAACACCAGCACCGUAUUCGUACUUUUCUGAGAAGGAGUCUUUCUCGUAGUAGAUGCAAUAAGUGAAUUCGCUCUCCUUCUUUUUGCUGCUUCCACCACCAUUCCCUACACCAAAAUCUGUGUUAGUCGGAAGCCAAGCUACAAUUUCUCUUUUCUCUUUUCUUUUUUUCUUUUUUGUUGUUAAUACAAAAAUAUUAAAAAUCAAUCUAUACUUGUUAAUCAAGUUGGUUGAAUAAAAAAUUAAAUAAAAUUGAAGUUAUACCAAUUGAAUUAAAGAAUGGAAUAAAUUUCUUUUUAUAUUUUUAAUAUUUUUAAAAAUUUAUAUAAUUAAACUGAAUUAACUAAUCAAAUGGAAAAGAGAGUCUAAUAGAUUCCAUCACCUAUGUAGUUAUAAAAACCUUUUAACAUUUAUAAACUCCACAAAAAUGAUUCUUUAUUUAAUUCCCUAAAUUACCUGUCCUCGCCUGGGUUGAUAACAGUUUCGUCGAUGAACCUUUGGAUUGCAUUCAUGAACUUUUUGCCAUCCCCCGAGCUUGUAAGCAAUUCAAGAACACGAAAAGGUAAUUGGUUUUCCAACAAGAACAGAUCCGAGUACACAAAUGUCAGCAAAUCGUCUUUAAUAAACAAUUUACCAUCAUCAUCAUCAUCAUCAUCAUCACCGUAACGCCUGUAAACUGCUUGUAAAAUUGCGCAGCCGUCAACGAAGAAAAUCCAAGCCAGUUUCUCGUUAUCGUUGCUAUAGUUCUCUAAUCCCUUUGGAUCAUAGCAUUUCUUUAACUCAUCGAUCUCUGUCUUCAUGUUGUUGUACAAGGUAUCCUUAUCGACGCCAAUUUUUUUGACGAAAAGUGCUGCUAAUUUGAGCUUGAGCUUCUCGGAUUUAUGGAAGGUGGGAUCAUCGUGGUGGAGUGGGCCGAUUGAGAUCACUUUCGGCUUGAAAUACUUACUGAAAUCUUCGUGACGACCAAGGGUUGAUGGGACUCUUUGUAUCAAUGGUUUGGCACGGAGGUCGAUUUCGUCGCCGUCGAAAGCUUCGUCUAAUGACCGGAGAUUCACUACUUCGCCAACGCUGAGAGGGACGUCCAUAUCAAUGCUCACGGAAUCGUUGUUGUCGGUGAUUGUUUGAUCAGUGGGAGCUGCUCCGACGGCGCCGCCUCCUUCCUCCGUGGAGGACAUUUUCAGGCUGAGCGGUUGGAAGUAAUAAACAAGGUGAUUUUGUAAACUGUUUUUGGCAGAGUGAGUGAUGUUGGAGAAAAGGUAGCAAAGUGGAUAAGAUGAUGACAAAUAUUUUGUAGCUUACAUGAUAAACAUAUAUGGGAAAUACUUAAGGCGUUAGUGUUUAUAUUUUUACUAAUAUAAACAAUGAUAAAAAAGAAAAGUUAAAUAGUGACAAAUACUAAAAUUGAGAAUAAUAUUAUGGAACCUAAAUACUCAACACUACUCAAAACCUUCGCCUUUAACCAAGAAACUAAGACCCUAUCUGAGGGAGAAUUUUAUAUCUACAACACUUCCUAAAUUUCAUUAGCUUAAUAAUAGCUAUUCAAAUAUAUUUUUUCAUUUUAUUACUGACUUUAAUAUUUAAAUUAUCAUUAUAUUGCAUGAUUUAUUCCAAAUAUUUACAUAUAGUAAUUGCAUUUGUAAUUCUACCUAACUAUGAAAAAUCUCAAAUUUGCAACAUGUUAUUCACAUGCCAACCAACCAAUAUAUUAUUCCUACCAACCAAUUUAUCAUUCACAUUCCAACUUUCUAAAUCCAUCAAAUAUUUCAUAUUCAUGUACUAACAAAGAUCAUGCCAAGAACCCACAUGCAAAGUCAUUGUAUAGUACCACAUUUAACUCAAUCGGACUUUUACACAACUAAAGAUUACUCCAAACGUUUAUAUGCAUGUCACAAUCCUUCACUCAAAAUGAUAAAAAAAACUAUUAAAUUGACGAUAAAAUAGUUUAAGCUUCGACCGAUUCAACCGACGUGUUCUAGCAUAUAAUAUGUUUAGUAAGCUCAUAUGGAAACUAAAACUUACCUAGAUCAAUUGAACAUAAAAAAUUACUCAAUAAGCUAUCGAAUUAAUUUUUCCCUGACACUUAUAUACAUAUAGUACAUCUAAUAAAAUUUCUGUUAAAGAAAAGCAAUUUGACUCUUUUUCUAAAAAGUUAAUAACUAAAUUUAGCUCAAAUAAAAAAAAAGAAUAAAAGUCAAUUUGAUAAAAAAUAUAAAUAUUAAAAAUUAAAUUUAUCAUUAUAUCUUUUUUAAGUAAUUAUUUGUGGUGAGCCAUCAUGUCUGACGAUGAUUUUUAAAUACUGUAUUAAUUAUAUAUAGCACAUCAUAUUUCACUAUAAUUUCUAUAGACUUUUUAAACAUGGGGUUAAUUGUUUAUGGCCCAUUGCCCAUGUUGCUUUUAUUAAAUUUUGGGUGAACUUCUCAUUUUGGUCAAAAAAAAAUUGUAUUCUCAGUAUAAAACAAAAAACUAAUCUUUAAUGUUUAUGGCCAAACCCCACCUCUCCUAUCCUAUAAUAAUGGUUCUUGGCUUCUUCUAUCCUACACCUCAAUUAUUUGGAUUAGAUUGAAAAACAAUUGACACUUGAUUUGAUUGUGAAAUAAAGUUAAAUUUUAAAUUUAUAAUAUUUAAUUUGAGUGUGAAUGAAUUUUUGACUUAAUUGAAAAUUUAAAAUUUUAAGUUCGAGUCGUAUUUAAUUAUGUGUGUAUAUCGUGUAUAAAUUUUGUUCAAAUUUAUUUUGAUUUAAUUUUCAUACUAUAUAUUCUUAAUUAAAUUCGGAAUAUAUUUUGAUUAUCAAUUUAACCAUACAUUGUAACGAUGGAUUAAAAUUAUAGUUAAUUAUAUAUUGAAACUAAAUAAUUAGUUUAAGGAAUUAAAAGAUAUUAUUAUAUUUUAUAAAAUUUGAAUAGAUUCAUAAUUAAUUCGAGAUUAAAAAAUGGGAGAAGAAAAGCUAAAACCAAACCUUUUUUACGGUUGGAACUAAACCCCAUGCGGUGUGGAAAAUUGCAAGUUUCCAGAAUAUACCUACACUUACUAAUUAUAAUAAAUAUCUUUUACUUAGUAAUAAUAAAUAAUAAAUAUAUAUUUACUAAUUAAAUAUAAAUAUUACAAAUGUACAUAUAUUUUGUUUACAAUUGUACAAUAUCAUCACCAUCCAUUUGGCAAAUUUGAUUUGUUCAUAUAAUGUUAAUUUAUAACUAAUAUAAAUUACCGUAUAAUAAAAUAAUUAUGUACAUUAUAAUUUAAUAAUAAUUAAACAAUAAAAAUCUUAGAUUUUUUAUCAACAUUUGCCGCCUCAUUUAUGGUGAAUGGUAUAUCUCCCAUUUUGGUCCCCCUUUCUUUUUAUUAAUUCUUUUUCCUAAUUUCUCCUAAUUAAGCUAAAUUCACUUAAUUAAAUCCUAAUUAAACACACAACUAGCCUCACAAAUAUUCUUAAUAAAACAUUUACAAACUCGGUUUACUAAGACAGAAGCCCUAUAACUCACUUUUUCGGUGCCCGUGAAUUUUGGGCCAUUACACAUUCUUCCGUGGAUAACAUUUUUAGGCUGAGCGGUUCGAAGUAAUUACCAAGGUGAUUUUGUAAACUGUUUUUGGCUAAGUGAGUGAUGUUGGUGAAAAGGUGGCAAAAUGGCUACAAUGUUUCUAUAGCUUAUAUAUAAUGAACAUACGGAAAAUAUUUUUGUGUAAUAUCAAAUUUAGCCCUUAAUAUUUAUAAUUUUACCAAUUUGAUUCUUAUUCUUUUUAGUUAAAUUUAAUUCUCUACCUUUUGAAAGUGUCAAAUUUUCUUGGCUGGAAGCUCACUGCAUGGAAGCCAAAAUCAAAACAAACUUUUGAUGGUUUAAUUGUUUUUGAGCCCUUCAAUUUCAGGUGCUAUGAGAAAUGGAUUACAACCUCAUCUUGUCGUUAUCCCAAAAUCAAAACAAGCAACUCUUGGUUGAAAGUUGAAACCAAGGGCCAAGUCAAAAUUGUUUUAGGAUGAGUCCAAAAUGAAUAAUGAAUUUGAAGGUUCAAAAUAAAAUUUUAUUAAUAUAUAAAUUUAUAAUUUCAUAAAUUUUAAAAGGAUUAAAUGAUAAAUUUACUAAUUUAAGAAGACAAUAGGGAUGGUCAAAUAUUCUAAUUGAACCUAUCUGCGAUCGGAUCGGGAUGGAUUUUUUUAAUUAAAAAAAUUAAAUAGAUUGAAUCGAAAUUCUAGGAGUUACAAAAUUCUCAUAAAUAACAAGAGUUUACAAAAAGUACACUUACUUUGGUUGAUGUAUGGUAUAAUAAGCCUGCAAAGCACCGAUAAAAAGUGCACCAAUGGCACCCACAAAUGCGAAAAACGUCCAACGAGUCCUAAAAAAAGUACGGUAAACUUGAGCUGGAUAUGUAAUCCACAUAUUGUUAUGAUGAUCAUGUAUUUGCAGUUUAACAUGUCUGUAAAUCAUCAGACUAGGAACCAAAUCCAUGUUCAUCUUCUUGAUAAGCUUAGCCACUUCUUUAUCACUCCCAAAUCCAUGGUAUAGUAUGCCUGCGUCUCUCAGUUCCUUAACAUCUUCGGCUUCAUCGAUCAAUGAAUCAAGGAAACCCAUAUAUGAAGUGACGGUGAAAUUGUUGUAGAAAUCCGGACAAUUUCGUAAGCUAUUAAGUUCAUGGUUGAAUCAUCGACGGUGAGAGGCGGUAACCGUAAUUUUCCGACGAAGAAGUAAUGGUUGAAACUGAUGUCGGUUAAACAACUUGUUUCGCUUGCUUCUAACCAUAUCCCGGCGUUUUUAAGCUCUUUUACGUUACGAAACGGGUGUGAAUGGUGAGGUUUUAUUCUUGUAUGGUUUCUGCGAUUUGUGAAGGAUAUGCAAAACCUAGAAGGCCAUGGUUUUUCUUUUUUGAAAAGGAGUCUUACUCGUAGUAGAUGCAAUAAGUGAAUUGGCUCUUUAUUUUUUUCUUGCAGCUGCUGCCACCAUUCACUAGAGCAAAAUCUGUGUUAGUCGGGAGCAAGCUAAAAUUAAGGUUUUCAAUGGUUGAAUCAAAUCAUUAUUAUUUAAUAAAAAAUUAUUUAAAUUAUUAAAUUACAUUUUAAUCCUUUUAAAAAUUAUUAAAUUAUAAAUUUGUAUACAAUAAAAUUAUAUUUUGACUCCUCAAAAUGAAUAAAAAAUUGUUUAAACACUUUUAAAAAAUGAUGACAUCAUAAAUUAAUGCAAAAAAAAAAUCUAAGAAUUAAACCAAACUUGUCUAUCGGCCUAAUUAAACAGAGAAUCAAGCAAGGUACUAAUCCAGAAUAAUAAAUUAAAUCCAUUGAAUCUAAUCAUCAAAUCGAUUUUUUUUAUAUUUUUAAUAUAUCUUUAAUAUUUUUAAAAUUUUAUAUAAUUGAAUCGAAUAAACUAAUCAACCAAAAAUGAGACUCUAAUGGAUUGUAUCACCUAUAUAUGUAGUUGUAAAAAUCCUUUUAACAUUUAUAAACUCCACAAAUUGAUUCAUUUAUAAAUUCCUUAAAUUACCUGUCCUGCUGAUGUGAUUGUGGGUCUUUAACAGUGCCGUUGAUGAACCUUAUGAUUGCCUCCAUGAAUUUUGUGCCAUCCUUCGAUCUUGUAAGCAAUUCAAGAACACGAAAAGGUAAUUGGUUUUCCAACAAGAACAGAUCCGAGUACACAAAUGUUAGCAAUUCGUUUUUAAUAGAAAAUUCGUUCGACGUACGACAACGAUCUUGGCCGUAAAGCAUAUAAACUGCUUGUAAAAUUGCGCAGCCGUCAACGAAGAACAUCCAAGCCAGUUUCUCGUUAUCGUUGCUAUAGUUCUCUAAUCCCUUUGGAUCAUAGCAUUUCUUUAAGCCAUCGAUCUCUGUCUUCAUGUUGUUGUACAAGGUAUCCUUAUCGACGCCAAUUUUUUUAACGAAAAGUGCUGCUAAUUUGAGCUUGAGCUUCUCGGAUUUAUGGAGGGUGGCAUCAUCGUGGUAGAAUGGGCCGAUUGAGAUCACUUUCGGCUUGAAAUACUUACUGAAAUCUUCGUGACGACCAAGGGUUGAUGGGACUCUUUGUAUCAAUGGUUUGGCACCGAGGUCGAUUUCGUCGCCGUCGAAAGCUUCGUCUAAUGACCGGAGAUUCACUACUUCGCCAACGCUGAGAGGGACGUCCAUAUCAAUGCUCACGGAAUCGUUGUUGUCGGUGAUUGUUUGAUCAGUGGAAACUGCUCCGACGGCGCCGCCUCCUUCCUCCGUGGAAGACAUUUUCAGGCUGAGCGGUUGGAAGUAAUAAAGAAGGUGAUUUUGUAAACUGCUUUUGGCUGAGUGAGUGAUGUUGGAGAAAAGGUGGCAAAGUGGAUAAGAUGAUGACAAAUGUUUUAUAGCUUACAUGAUAAACAUAUAUGGGAAAUACUUAAGGUGUAAUUCAAAUUUACCCUUAGUGUUUAUAUUUUUACUAUAAUUUUAAUUUUUUAAUUAAAUUUAUUUCUCUUUUGAAAGAGUCAAUGAUAAAAAAAGAAAAGAAAAGUUAAAUUAAUGUUUUUUAACAAAAAUAGUAACAAAUAUUAAAAUUGUGAAUAACAUUAUAGAACUUAAAUACUCAACGCAACUCAAGAAACUAAUGGUGGGUCUGGAUGGGCAGUGCGGUGCGGUGCGUUUAGCCUACUUUUUGUCUCAUACUACAGUGUUGCUACAGUAUCUAAUCUCACCGCCACCACUGUUUUUACACUAACCACAGGUAAACGCACCGUCCAUCCAAACUCACCCUAAGACCCUAUCAAAGGGAGAAUUUUAUAUCUACAACACUUCCUAAAUUUCAUUAGCUUAAUAAUAGCUAUUCAAUUUUUUUUUUCAUUUUUUUACUUAAAUUAUUUUUACUUACUUUAUAUUAGAUAAAUUAUUCCAAAUAUUUAAUAUUUUACAUAUAAUAAUUGCAUUUGUUAUUCUACCUAACUCAUGAAAAAUCUCAAUUUUGCAACAUCACAUGCCAACCAACCAAUUUAUUAUUCACAUUCCAACUUUCUAAAUGCAUCAAAUAUUUCAUAUUCAUGUACUAACAAAGAUCAUGCCAAGAACCCACAUGCAAAGUCAUUGUAUAGUACCACAUUUAACUCAAUCGGACUUUUACACAACUAAAGAUUACUCCAAACGUUUAUAUGCAUGUCACAAUCCUUCACUCAAAAUGAUAAAAAAAAAACUAUUAAAUUGACGAUAAAAUAGUUUAAGCUUCGACCGAUCCAACCGACGUGUUCUAGCAUAUAAUAUGUUUAGUAAGCUCAUAUGGAAACUAAAACUUACCUAGAUCAAUUGAACAUAAAAAAUUACUCAAUAAGCUAUCGAAUUAAUUUUUCCUUAGCACUUAUAUAUAUAUAAUACAUGUAACAACAUUUCAAGUCAAAAGUGUUAGAUACAAUGUUGAAUCAUAAUCCUGUCAACAUUUAAAACAUAAUCACAUAGCAAUCUAUAUACCAAAUUUCAUCAAUACCAGUUCAUUUUCAAUUCAAGAUUUAAUUCCAUUUCCAACCAUUUAAUCAUCCUCUGAUGGAACUACAGUAAAAAAGACCUAGGUACAUGGGAAUAUUUUGCUGACACUGUAACGAACUUACUCACAAAAGUUGACUUUAUAUUGGAAUUGUUCACACAAGUUAACUUUGUAAUUUAUAUAAUGUAAAAUUUAAGAUUUUUAUAUUAUGUAAAUCAAAGCUUAAUAUUGCAUAACUAAUUAGUUUUGAGUUUUCAAAAUAAUAUGGCUUUAUAAAGAUAUAGAAUUCUUGAUAUAAGUCUUAACAAGGGAAAAUUUAAGGAUAGGAAAAUUGUGGUGGAAAGGGGGUCAAUUUCUCCUAAACAGGUGGAGAGCUGGAGAAGGGUAAGAGAAGGAAGAUGGUUGAUGUGAAGGCUAAGAGUAAUUGUUAAAGGUUGCUAACAGGGAGGAUCCCUUUCUCAUGAAGAUGAUUUUUAAACACCGUGUUAAUUGUUUAUGGGCCAUCAUGUUUGACGAUAAUUUUUAAAUACUGUGUUAAUUGUAUAUAGCACAUCAUGUUUGACAAUAAAUUUUAAAGACUUUUAAACGUCGCAUUAAUUGUUUAUGGCCCAUUGCCCAUGUUGCUUUUAUUAAAUUUUGGGUAAACUAUAAGUUAAUCACUUAAUUUUUAUAAAAUUUCAUUUUGGUAAAAGAAAAUCUCAGGAUAAAACAAAAAUUAGGAUAAAUGUAAUGUUGAAAUGAAUAUAGUGGGAAUCUUUAAUGUUUAUGGCCAAACCCCACCUCUCCUAUCCUAUACUUCAUCUAUCAUAAUGAUUCUUGGCUUCUUCUACAAUUGCCUUCACAAAAUGAAGCUGACAUUUGAGGUUGUCCUUCAUUUACUUUUGUUUUCUUCCUAUGAUAUAAAUGCAAGUAGAAUAUAAAUUAUACAUUUGUAAUUCCUCAAUUAUUUGGAUUAAAUUGAAAAACAAUCUCAAUUAUUUGGAUUAGAUUGAAAAAUAAUUGACACUUGAUUUGAUUGUGAAAGAAGUUUUAGUUUAAUGAAAUGAAUGAGUUAAAUUUUAAAUUUAUAAUAUUUAACUUGAGUGUGAAUGAAUUUUUGACUUAAUUGAAAAUUGAAAAUUUUAUAAAUUUUGUUUAAAUUUAUUUUGAUUUAAUUCUCAUAUUGUAUAUUCUUAAUUAAAUUCGGAAUAUAUCAAUUUAGUCAUACAUUGUAACGAUGGAUUCGAAUUAUAGUUAAUUAUAUAUUGAAACUAAAAAUCUUAGAUUUUUAUCAACAUUUGCCGCCUCAUUUAUGGUGAAUGGUAUAUUUCCCAUUUGGUCCCCCUUUCUUUUUAUUAAUCUAUAAUUCUACUUCUACCCCCAUUCAAUUUAGCCCUUUUUCCUAAUUUCUCUUAAUUAAGCUAAAUUCACUUAAUUAAAGCCUAAUUAAACACACAACUAGCCUCACAAAUAUUCUUAAUAAAUACUUACGAACUCGGUUCACUAAGACGGAGGCCCUAUAACUCACUUUUCUAGUGCCCGUGAAUUUUGGAUCAUUACACCUUCUUCCGUGGACGACAUUUUUAGGCUGAGCGGUUCGAAGUAAUUAACAAGGUGAUUUUGUAAACUGUUUUUGGCUGAGUGAGUGAUGUUGGUGAAAAGGUGGCAAAAUGGCUACAAUGUUUCUAUAGCUUAUAAAAUGAACAUACGGAAAAUCUUUAAUUAAGAUUUAAAUGUAUAAAAGUAUAAAUUAUAAUAGUAAAAUUGUACUUUAAUCUUAUAAAUCGCAAUACUUUAAUUUAGUUAUUUAAAAAAUUAGAAAUAUAUUAGUUAAUAUAAUGAUAAAAUUACGUUUUAACUUUAUCAAAAUUUAUAACUUAAUUUCAAUCCAAAUUCUUACUUCACCCUUAUUUCUGCACUAAUAAAAGUUAUAAUCUGUGUUAAAUAUCGGAUUAGUAUAUGGAUGAUAUUAAAAAUAUAUAUAAAAAUAUAAAAUCUCUAAAAGCUUAAUCAACACACAUUCAGGUGUACGCUUUUAUUAAACUUUGAUUUUUUUAGUACGAGAUUAUCUGGAUUCUUUAAAAUAAUGUUAUGGAUAAGUUUUUGUUUAAUGUAUUGAUUGGUUUUUUUUUUCCUUUUAGAUUUGAUGAAUGAUAGAUUUUUGUUUGUGAAGUUUAUCUAUGAAUAUUUAUAUAAUUAUUAAUAAUUUUAUAUUUAAAAUUUAUUUAAUAUUUUAAAAUUUUAUCGAUAAUUUUGAAAGGAUAUAUAAAAACAAAUCGAUAUUGAUAUGUAUCAAUUUCUGUAGAAAAACGGUGCGUCCAUCAGUGCAAUACUAACUACCUUGGAUAAGAAAACAUUUAAUCCUUAAAUUUGGCAACUUUUCUCAACUUAGUCAUUAAACUUUUUUUUUAUCUACACUAGUCUUCUAACUUGACAACUUUUCUAAAUUUUGAUGCAUGUGAUGACAUCGCAUUCUGAUUUUGUAUCAUAGGGGUGUUCGAAUUUCGAUUAAAAUUGAAUUAACUGACCGAACCAAUCUAAUUCAGUUAAUCAGUCAGUUAAUCAAUCUAGUUCUAUCAGAGGUCGGUUAAAAGUUUUUUGGAAUUUCGGUUAACGGUUAAUUCGAUUCGAAAUUAGGUAAUUAACUGAAUUACCCAAACUUAAUAAAUUAGACUUGUAGGCUAGGAAGCACAGACACGGCUCAUCCCUCCUCGUACCGGUAUCGUACGUGUGUCCGACACAGACACUCGACGGACAUGCCUAGAUACGUAUGGAACAAGCUGGAAUAUGCCAAAAAUUUUUUUUUUUAUUGCCAUAUCUUGCUGUAUCCGUGUCCUUAUUUUCUAAAAAUUACCAUGUUGCUGUGUCUGUAUCAUGUCGUACCCGUAUUGCGUGUCUGUAUCCAUGCUCCAUAGCUUGUAGGUAAGGGCCGAACAAAGAAUCCAGUAAGGCAGUAGUCUAGAAUAAGGAGUUAGACCAAUUGAAUCGAGUUAAUGAAUUGAUUUUCUUUAUAUUUUUAAUAUAUCUUUAAUAUUUUUAAAAUUUUAUAUGAUUUAACCGAGUGGUUAAUCAAUAAAAAUUGAGAGUCUAAUAGAUUUAAAAAAAAAAACCUUUUUAACAUAUAUAAACUCCAAAAAAAUAUUCUUUUUUAAAUUCCUUAAAUUACCUGUCCUGCUGAUGUGAUUCUGGCUUUUUAACAGUAUUGUUGGUGAACCCUACGGUUGCCUCCAUGAACUUUUUGUCAUCGUUCGAUCUUGUAAGCAAUUCAAGAACACGAAAAGGUAAUUGGUUUUCCAACAAGAACAGAUCCGAGUACUCAAAUGUCAGCAGUUCGUUUUUAAUAGACAAUUCGUUCGACAUAUGCUCAUAAUCUUGGCCAUCAACAUCAUCAUUACCGUAACGAUAUAAACUGCUUGUAAAAUUGUGCAGCCGUCAACGAGGAACAUCCAAGCCAGAUUCUCGUUAUCGUUGGUAUACUUAUCUAAUUCCUUUGGAUCAUAGCAUUUCUUCAAGUCAUCGAUCUCUGUCUUAAUGUUGUUGUACAAGGUUCCCCUAUCGACGCCAAUGUUUUUGACGAAAAGUGUUGUUAAUUUGCACUUGAGCUUCUUGGAUUCAUGGAGGGUGGGAUCAGCGUGGUGAGUGGACCGAUUGAGAUCACUUUCGGCUUGAAAUACUUCCUGAAAUCUUCGUGACGGCCAAGGGUUGAUGGGAGUCUUCGUAUCAAUGGUUUGGCUUUGGGGUCGAGUUGUUUGCCGUCGAAAGCUUCGUCUAAUGACCGGAGAUUCUCUAAUUCGCCAUUGCUGAGAGUGAGCUCCGUACCCGGCAUUGGAAUGAUCGUCUCUUGGGGAUUGUUGGUGGUGGUGUUUUUGGUGAUUGUUUGAUCAGUGGAAACUGCUCCGCCGGGAGCUCCGACGGCGCGGCCUCCUUUCUCCGUGGACGACAUUUUCAGGCUGAGCGGUUCGAAAAAAGGUGAUUUGGGAAACUGUUUUUGGCUGAAUGAGUGAUGUUGGAAAAAAGGUGGCAAAAUGGCUACGAUGACGACAAGUGUUUCUAUAGCUUAUAUAAUAAACGUAUGGAAAAUAUUUUGGUGUAAUAUUAAAUUUAACCCUUAAUAUUUAUAUUUUUUUAAUUUGAUUCUUAUUCUUUUUAAUUAAAUUUAAUUCUCUACCUUUUGAAAGAGCCAAAUUUGAUUACCAAUCUUUUAGAAAAGAGUUGAAUCAAUAUUUUUUAAUGAAAACAGUGAUUAAAAUAUUAAAUUUGUAAACAUGACAACUCAUAUGGUAAUCCAUGUGUACAUAUUUUUUAUUUUUUAUUUUUAAAUAAUUUGUUGACGUGUGACAUAUAAGAAAAGCAGUGCUAUGUUAGCACGAAGUGCACAUGGAUUGCCACACGAGUUGUAACACCAACACCGUUAAAAAUUUAAUAUUUUAGUUAAUAUUUUUGUUAAAGAAAAACAAUUUAACUCUUUUUUGAAAGGUUAAUGACUAAAUUUAGCUCAAAUAAUAAUAAUAAAAGAACAGAGGCCAAUUUGACAGAAAAAUGUAAAUAUCGAGGACUAAAGGCCAAUUUGAUAGAAAAAUGUAAAUAUCGAGGACUAAAUUUAUCAUUAUGUCAUUCUUUUUAAGGUUAACUUAUAUGAAUACAAUAUAAGUUCAAGUACAAAUAUAUGUAUGGAUUAAUCUAGAAAGAACUAGACAAAAUCCACACAUGAUAUACGCAUAUGAUGAGAGUAAAACUCACACAUCACAAUUAAGAAUAAUAUUAUAAAACCUAAAUACUCAGAGACUUAAAACCUUCGCAUUAACCAAAAAGUGAAGACCCCAUCAUAUGGAGAAUUUUAUAUCUACAUACGACAAUAUUUCUCGGAUUUCAUACGCUUAAUACUAGCUCUUCAAAUAUAUUCAUUUUUCAUUUUAUUACUUAAAAGUUAUUUUGAUUUACUUUAUAUUGAUUUCAAUCAUAUUGAUCCGUAGAUAUUGUUUCAAUAAGAAAUCGAAUUUUUUUUUUUUAAAUGAGAUGAUUUUGUUGUGGGUUUUUUAAAAUAGUGUUACGGAUAACUUUUUUGUUUAAUGUUUUGGUUGGCUUUUUUUUUUCUUUUUUUCGAAUUUUUGAAUGAUGAAUUUUGCAUGUAAAGAUUAUUGAUGAAUAUUUAUAUUUAUUUAAUUUCAUUCAUUUAAUGUUUUUAAAUCUUUUUUAUAUAUUAAAUAUUUUAGAAAUUUAUCGAUAAUUUCGAAAAGAUAUACAAAAACAGGCCAGUACUAAUAUGUAUCCGUUUUUGUAAAAAAAAUGUGCGUCCAUUAGUGUAGUACUAACUACCUUAGAUAAAAAACUGUUUAGUCCUUAAAUUUGGUAACUUUCCUCAACUUAGCACUUAAGCUUUUAUUUUAUCUACAUUAGUCUUCUAACUUUGACAGCUUUUCUCAAUUUCGAUGCAUGUGAUGACACAACACUAUGAUAUUGAGAUGCUAUCAUCUAAAAAUUAUAUUUUUAAUAAAAAUUAGGUGUUAACAUGGGAGAAAUAUUAUUAUAAUAACCAAAAAUGAGAAAAGUUGUCAAUUUUCAUGAUUGAUGUGGACAGUGGUGAAGAUAAGGGGCUGGUAGGGGCAGAAAUUUUUUUUUCAUUUACGUCCUUUUAUAAUUUAUAAAAUUUUAAAUUAUUAGUGGUAAAAUUAUAUUUUGUCACCCAAAAAUAAAAAAAAAUUAAUUUAAUCCUUUAAAAUGAUAAAGUUAUAGACUAUUAAAAUGGUAAAAUUACAUUUUUAUUAUCAUAAAAAUAUACAACUUAAUUCCGGCCCCUCCCAAAAAAAAUUUUGGCUUCGCCCCUGAAUGUGGACCAAAAAAGAAAGUCUAGAGACCAAAUUGAAAAAUUUUGUCAAAUUUAAGGAUUAAAUGUUGUCUUAUUAUUUUAUUUAACAAAAAGUGUGCUAUAUACACCAAAGUCUCGUAAUUGAAUAAUAAAAUUUUGAUGUUUUUAAGUAAAUCUUGAAUUUAAAUCUUAUGAAUAAAGAAAAUAAUACUAAAUAAAUUUUACUAUCUACUUACGAAUUCAACUCAAUUUCAAAUUUAACUACCAAAUAUCAAAGCUCUUAUAAAAAAAAAAAGGUAUUGUAAACUUUGUUGUAGUGUAUUUUAUUUUGAUCCAAAAUAGUGAAAAGGAAAUGCAUCCUAAAUUUAUUCAAACCAAAUUAUUAACUUUAAGUGUAAAUUGGGUAAGUGUAACAUAAUUGUUCUCUUUUUUUUUUUUAAUUUAGUCCUUUUCCUAAAUACAACAUAUAUUUUAUAAUAGAUAAUUGAAUUAAUUAAACCAUCAGUUCAUCGCUCAGUUCAACCUAAUGACGGAACGUAAGAGGAGAUUCCCUUCAAAAUUUUAGAAAAUUAUCACUAAAUUCUUCAAAAUAAUUUACAUUUUUACUUUUUACUUAGGACUCCUAAUUUUUUAAAAAUCCUAAUUAAGCCUCGCAAAAAGUGUUGAAAUUUUCAAAAAUUUCAAAACUUCUCGUUAAUUUUUUUUAAAAAUUUUGAUUAAGCCUCUUAAAUUUUAUUUUUUUUAAAAAAUCUCAUUAAACACUAAAAAUUAAUUUAAAUAGAUUGAAUCGAAAAUCCAGAAUUACAAAAUUCUCAUAAAUAACCAGAGUUUACAAUGAGAAUAGUAAACAACAAUUACUUUGGUUGAUGUAUGGUAUAAUAAGUCUGCAAAGCAGCAAUAAAAAGCCAGCAAUGGCACCCACAAAUGCGAAAAACGUCCAACGAGUCCUAAAAUAAGCAUGAUAAGCUUGAGCUAGAUAUUGAAUCCACAUAUUCUUACAAUGAUUAUGUAUUUUCUGUUUAACAUAACUGUAACUAGGAACCAAAUCAGUGUUCAUAUUCUUGAUAAGCUUAGCCACUUCUUCAUCACUCCUCAAUCUAUUGUAUAGUAUACCGGCGUCUCUCAGUUCCUUAACAUCUUCGACUUCAUCGAUCAAUGAAUCAAGGACACCCAAAUAUGAAGUGACGGUGAAAUCGUUUUUGAAAUCCAGACACAUUUCGUAAGCUAUUAAGUUCAUGGUUGAAUCAUCGACGGUGAUCGGCGGAAACCAUAAUUUCCCGACAAAGAACACAUGGUUGAAAUUUAUGUCGGUUAAACAACUUGCUUCGCUUGCUUUUAACCAUAUCCCGGCCUUUUUAAGCUCUUUUACGUUACGAAAGGUGUGUGAAUGGUGCAGUUUUGUUCUUGUUUGGCUGCUGCGAUUUAACGUGCACAUGAAACGAGUGCAAAACCUAUAAUGCCGCCAUGGUUUUUCUUUUUUUCCUUUUUUGAAAAGAAGUCUUUCUCGUAGUAGAUUCAAUAGGUGAAUUCGCUGCAGCCUCCAUUCACUAGAGUAAAAACUGUGUUAGUCGGAAGCCAAGCUACAAUUUCUUUUCUUUAUUUUAUUUUAUUUGGAAUUGUAAAUUUUUAUCAAAACUAAAAUUAAGGUUUUUAAAAUGGAUAGUAAAACCAGUCAAAACAUCUAUUUAUAAGUUUAAUUUAUCCGAUCAAUUCAUCCAAUUUGAUUAAAUAAAUUAUUUCAAAUUUCAAUUCGAUUGUCCGGCUUAAUUAAUUUAUUUUCCCGAUUCAACCUGUUCAUAUAGGUUCCCAAAUCAAUUAGUCUAAUAACUUUCUUUGGACUGAUACCUCAAUUAAAUUCCAAUCCAAUCCGAUUCAAACAACUUUAGCUAAAAUACAAUUUUUAUUAUUGUAUUAAUGCAAAAAUUUUACCAUUUUUAAAGAUAUAAUUUUUCCUUUUUGAAAAGGUGGAUUUGAACUAAUAAUUUGUUGGCUUAAGCGUCUAAAAUCCCUCGUUUGAAAAAGCAAUUAAACCUUCUUCUUCUUUUUUCAUUCAUUUGGGUGCUUGAACUUUUAAAAUACAUCAAAAAGGUCCUUAAACCUUUUUUUAAAUAAAAAAAAGCAAUUAAGCCUCUACUUUUUUUUGCACACAAUUGGGUACUUUGACUUUCAAAAUGCAUCAAAAAGACCCUCAAAUUUUUUCAAAAAAAAAAAGUUAAGCCCCUGCUUUUUAUUAAAAAUUAGAAAAAAUUUAUAAAAAGUUAAAAUUAAUAAAAGCUAUAAAUCUUGUCGAAACCGAUUUUUUGAAAAAAACAAAAUUUUUAGGUUGUCGACUUAAAAAAAAGAAAAUUGGGAGUCGCCACCAAUCUUUUAUUGAGGUGUGAUUGGAUCACCUAAAACGACUUUGGUUUACGAAUUUUAGAAAAACGGGUUCGGAAGUCGGUUACGUAUGAGGAAGGAUUAGCACCCUCAUUACGCCCAAAAAUUGGUACCUCGUUAAUUAAUUAAUGUCUUAAGGUCAAAAAUUUUAAAAAUAUAAUCUUUAAAAACUUAAAACGUUGCAUAUUAAGACCCUUUUCAAUUCAGAGAAGCAAAAAUGCUACACCCAAUACGUUAGGGAACAACAUUCUAAUUUCCCCCAAAAUGAAUUAGGUCAGAAUAUUUAUACAAUAAAACUUUAAAAGAACAUCCACUCAUCCAAGAUUUAAGAAAUCACACCCAAUACGUUAGGGCACGAUUCCUUUAGAAUCCCAAACUCGGAAUAUUUCCUUUACUUUAAAAGAACAUCCACUUAUCCAAGAUUUAAGAAAUCACACCCAAUACGUUAGGGCACAAUUCCUUUAGAAUCUCAAACUCGGAAUAUUUCCUUCAUGAUUUUUUUUUAAAAAAAUCUUCAUUUCGAGAAAUCAAUGCGUCACAUCCAAUACGUUAGGACACAACGUGUUGAAUUCCCAAUAAUGAGUUUUUAUUUUUUUGAUUGAAGAGAAAUGCUCGAUUGUCGGAUUUAACAAAAAAAAUCAGAACCCAAUACGUUAGGGCUCAAUUCCCUUGAAAAUCCUAAAUACGAAUAUUAUCUCAAUUUAAAAAAAUUUCUAUCUUUAAAUUUGAGUAAAAAAAUGAUGUAACAUGAUUUUAUACAUACAAAUGCUAUAAUAAUAAUAACAAUAAUAAAUACAUCAUCGACAUAAAAAUAAUAUAAACAAAUGAAUAAACAAAAUAAUAAAAAAAGGUAAUCCAUGACAUGCAAAAUAUUAAAUGUAAACACAAUCAUACAAUGGAUGGGAUAGCAUUUACAAAUAUACAUAUAAUUUACAAAUAAAAUUUUGGGUUAUAGAAUUUAUAUAUAAAUACAAUACAUAAUAUACUUAUGCAAAUAAAGAAAAAAUAUAAUUAUACGUACAUAUAUAAAAUAAUAAAAAAUAGGUAUAUUUUAAAAAAAGAAAAAGUGAGUAUUUAAUCAUUAAAAAACGUAAAUAUAUACAUAUAAAUAUGAAAAUAUUCAUUAAAAAAUAUAGGAUAAUAUUCGUUUUAAAAAAUAUAUAUACAUGUACAUAUAAAAGGAAUAUACAUGGAUAAAAAAAUUAAAUAAUGAGUACAUUAUCAAAAUUAAUUUUUUUAAAAAAAUAAAUAUACAUAUAUAUACAUAUAUAAAUGUGAGAAAAAUAUAAGUUAAAAAUAUGUGCAUAAAAUAUACAUGUAUAGAUUUUUAAAAAAAUAAAAAUAAAAAAUGAUUAUGUUAUUAAUUAAUAAAAUAAAUGAAAAGAACAAAAAAGGAAAAGAAAAACUAAAUUGAAUUGCAAUAAAAAAAACUGGGGUAAAUCCGCAAAUAAAUAAAAGUAAAAGGAUUAAUUUGAACGCGUGAAUUACAUAGAGGGGCUAGAAGGGAAAUUUUCCCUUCUCCUCUAAAACGACGCCGUUCAACUUAGACCCAAUUGAAAUAAAAAUAAAUAAAAGGGUAAAUCAAGAAAAAUAAAAAAAACUUAAUUACAAAAACAUUAAAAGGCGGAAGGGCUAAAUAAAAUAAAUAAAAUUCGCAGUGGUAUCACCUUCUCCCUCUUUAAAUUCAUAAAUAAGUAAAAUAAUCGAAAAAAAAAUAUAGUAAGCCACCUUUAAAAAAUUGCCAAUCGUUCUCUUUUUUAUUCCUCUUCCUCCUUUUUUUACAUUACAUUCAGUGGCUUUAUAUAGCCAUUCUAAAAAAAUCAUAUAAAGAAGAAACAAAUCUCUUUUAUUUGAUUUGUGAAUCUUUGAUUUCAUUUCCUUUUUUGCUCUUGCUUGAUAUGCUUGAUUUGAUUUUGCAAUCCUUGAUUUUCUUUCCUUUCUUGUUUGUUUCCUUGUAGGUGAAGAUCGAUGACGCUCGUGACUGCGGCGCAAAGUCUUCUUAGAAACCCUAGGGUUUCUGCAAAUGAUUUGAGUCACUGAAUUUGGGCCAUUUUCGAAAUUGGGCCACCGUUUUAAAUUGGUUUUGGGCCUUAUGGCCUGUUUGUAAUUUUAGGCCUUUUACCCGGGCCAAAAUCGGGUAUUACAGCUGCCCCUCUUUGCUCGUUGUCGUGUAACAAGAACAGAGCAAAGACUCAACACAACCCAAGAAAUUAAGACCCAAUAGGUUGUAAAUGAAUGAUGAAAUCAAUAGUUUGAAAUGAUGUGUAUUUGUAGUUUUAAUUUCUAUAUUAAGAAUAUGCAUGUUAGACUUUUUUAUGAAAAAUGCAAUAGAAUUUAUAUUUAGGUAAAGAGUUACAAAGAAUUUGUUACUAAAGUAAAAAUUAGAACAGUUAGAGAUUAUCGAUUAGAUAGGGAAACAUAUGGAUUUGAUGAUUAUUUUAGUUUUUAUAUUUUCAAAUGAAUAAUUGGAUGUAUUAGUUGAGAUGUACUAAAUGAUUUAAAUACAAUUUAUAAAUUUUGCUAAAAAACUUUAUUUGAUCAUGUUUUUUUUUUCCUAUCAUGCAAAUGGUAUGAUGUCCAGAUUAUCUGGUCUUUGACUUCAUUUGUCAAUUAAUGAUUGUGGAUUGACAACAUUGACCAUUCUAUGCACGGGGACUACUCAUGAUCUACACAUUUUCUGCCAUUCUCACUACCCAUUGCCAUUCAUUCUCACUACCUAAAUACUCAACACAACCCAAGAAAUUAAGACCCUAUCAGAGGGAGAAUUUUAUAUCUACAACACUUCCUAAAUUUCAUUAAGUUAAUAAUAGCUAUUCAAUUUUUUUUUCAUUUUUUUUACUUAAAUUAUUUUUACUUACUUUAGCAUUUAAAUUAGAUAAAUUAUUCCAAAUAUUUAACAUUGUAACCAUGCUGCUGUACAUAUAGUAAUUGCAUUUGUAAUUCUACCUAACUCAUGAAAAAUCUCAAAUUCGCAACAUGUUAUUCACAUGCCAACCAAAUCUACAAUUUGCCUCCAAGUAAUUAACAAGCUGAUUUUGUAAACUGCUUUUGUCUGAUUUGAGUGAUGUUGGAAAAAAGGUCGCAAUCUUCUAUGAAAGCUUUAAACGCGUGGCAAUUUUCAUCUCUUAUUUUAUUUUGUGUGGUACUUGUAGAUCAGAGUGUUGAUUAUAUCACUGCCUGACACAACACGUACGUGGAGGACAACGAUUUGAGGGGAAAUAGAGAGAUUAUCUUACGAAUAGCAGAACCGGAUAUUGUCGUAUUUGAUUAUAAAAAGGUGUCGGGGCUUUUUUUAUAAAAUAACUUGAAAUUUUUAUUAAUUAUAAAAAUGAUAUUUUGUUUAUCAUGUACGUAAAUAAUAAAUAGUAAAAAUGAUUGGCGUGACCUUUUUAUCACGUUAGCUAAUCAUUAACUAUUAAAAUUAAAAAAUUACUUUUUUAAUGAACCUAUUUCGCGUCACAUGCGGUAGAAAAUCAUCUAAGAAAGGCAUGCACUAAUCAAUUGUUUUUAAGUACUAAUAUUUAGGGAUAAGGUAAUAUUUAAUUAUCUGAAUAUUUUAUAAUAGGGACGAAAUUAUAAAAAAGUUUAAAAGUUGAAGUUGAAUUAUGUAUUUUUAUAUAAGUUAAAAUACAAUUUAAUCAUAUUAGUUUGUAAUUUUACAUAUUUUAAAGAGAUUAGAUUAAAAUUUUAUCAUUUUGAAGGAUGAGAUGCAAUUUUAUUUUAUGUAUUAAGAUGUAGAAUUAUAAUCUUUAAAGGCACCCAAAACAUAAUUUUUUCCUAAAUCAAUUGAACAUAAAAAAUUACUCAAUAAUCUAUGGAAUUAAUUUUUUCUUGGCACUUAUAUGCAUAUGGUACAUGUAACAACAUUUCUAUUAAAGAAAAGCAACUUGAACCUGCACUAUAGGGAAGCAACAGAAAUUUAUUGUGACAAUCAAUUUGCUGUUACAAUCGCAUAGAAUCUAGUGUUCCAUGGGAGAACAAAACACUUCAAGAUUAAGUUCCAUUUUGUUAGGGAGAUGGAGCAAGCUCGAGAAGUAGAGCUGACUCAUUGCAAUUCUAAAGAACAAUUGGUAAACAUCUUGACAAAGCCCCUUAGUGUGUCAAAGUUCGAUAAAUUAAGGAAGCAAAUAGGAGUUUACAGCAUGGAAGACAAAGAGGAGUGUUGAAGUUGGCCUCCAAGCAGCUCAUGCAGCAAGGAGCAGCACAUCCAGUCUGAGCCAAGCUUGCAGCAGCUGAAGCACGAUGCUACUGUUAAGUUUCAUUUUCAUUUUGUUACUCUAAUGAUCAUUUUGUAAUCAAGUUAGAUUUGAACUUAGUAACUCCUUCUUAAUGUAAUUAGGUGUUGAUUGGCUGAAAAUUCAGCAAAGCAACAUGUACAAGUUAAUUUAGCAAGUUUCAAUGUAAUUUAGUGGUGUUAGGUAGUUGUUUAGGUGAAAUCUUGUUUGUAUUGACCAGUUUGUCUGGUAUAUGUAAUGGCUUAAUGCCUUUGUUCAUAGUAGUUAAUGAAAAUCAAUUAGUUUUCAUCCAUAUACUCUCCAUUUUUCUUUGCUUUCAAUUCGGUUAUGUUCUCAAGCAAAUUUCUGCUUUGUUUCUUCUCCAAGGCACGAGUCUUGCUGUUCAAGUCACAGCUGAACUAGCUUGCUUGUUGUUCAUAAAACCAAUAACCUGUUCUCGGCUGCGUUGAUAACAAUAUCAUCGAUGAACCUCCGGAUUGCAUUCAUGAACAUUGUGCCAUCACCCAAGCUUGUAAGCAAUUCAAGAACACGAAAAGGUAAUUGGUUUUCCAACAAGAGCAGAUACGAGUACAGAAAUGUCAGCAAAUCAUUUUUAGUUAACAAAUUACCAUCAUUAUCGUAACGCAUGUAAACUGCUUGUAAAAUUGCGCAACCGUCAACGAUGAACAUCCAAGCCAGUUCCUCGUUAUCGUCUCUAUACUUCUCUAAUUCCUGUGGAUCAUAGCAUUCCUUCAAGCCAUCCAUCUCUUUCUUAAUUUUGCUGUACAAGGAUUUCUUAUCGACGCCAAUUUUUUUGACGAAAUGUGCUGCUAAUUUGAGCUUGAGCCCCUUGGAUUCACGUAGGGUGAGAUCAUCGUGGUGGAGUGGGCCGAUUGAGAUCACUUUUGGCUUGAAAUACUUCUUGAAAUCUUCGUUACGGAGAAGGGUUGAUGGGACUUUUCGUAUUAAUGGUUUGUAUCUGAGGGUGGGUUGGCCGCCGCCGAAAGCUUUGUCUAAUGACUGGAGCUUCGCUACUUCGCCAUCGCUGAGAGGGACGUCCGUGAACCGCAUAUCAAUUCCCACGUAAUCGUUGUUGGUGUUGUUGUCGAUGAUUGUUUGAUCAGUGGAAACUGCUCCGGCGGCGCCGCCUCCUUCCUCACUGGACGACAUUUUCAGGCUGACCGGCUCGAAGUAAUUAACAAGGUGAUUUUGAAACCGGGUUUUGGCUGAUUGAGUGAUGUUGGAAAAAAGGUGGCAAAAUGGCUACGAUGAUGACAAAUGUUUCUAUAGCUUACAUAAAGAGGCGAAUAUAGGGGAAUGUAAAAUUGUUAUUUAGGCCCUUAACGUUUUUUUAAAAUUUCAAAUUAGUAAAGGUAAAAUUACAUUUUAGCCUCAUAAAAUUAUAAAAAUUUAAUUUAAUCUUUAAAAAUUAUAAAGAUAUAGACUACAAAAUAUUAAAAUUUCAUUCGAUCCACCCUAAAAAAAUAUUCUGGCUUCGCCCCUACUUACAUAAUAAACAUAUGGAAAAUACUAAUUCAAAUUUACCCCCUUAUAGUCAAUUUAAUUUUCAUUUUUUAAUUUAAUUUUUUAUGUUUUGGAAGAGUCGAAUUUAACGAUCAAUUUAAAUUAAUAUUUUUUAACGAAAAUAGUGACUAAAAUGUUAAAAUAUUAAACAUCACAACUCAUACGCAAUCCACAUCUAUAUUUUUUUAUUUAUUUCUUAUUUUUAAAUUAUUUAUUAACGUGACAUAUAAUAAAAGUCUUGUUAUAUUAGCAUGAAGUACAUAUGAAUUGCCACACGAGUUGUGACACCAAUAUUAUUAAAAAAUUAAUAUUUUAGUUAGCAUAUCUAUUAAAGAAAAGCAAAUUACCUCUUUUUUGAAAGGUUAAUAGCUAAAUUUAGCUCAAAUGAAAAAUAAAUAAAGGCCAAUUUGAUAAAAAAAGGUAUAUGUCAAGAGUUAAGUUUAUCAUUUAUACAAAUACAAAUAUAUGUCUGGAUUAAUCUAGAAAGAACAAGACAAACUCUACACGUGAUAUACAAAUGUGAUGAGAGUGAAACCUACACAUCACAAUUGAGAAUAAUAUUAUAGAACCUAAAUACUCAAAAACCUAAAACCUUCCCCUUAACCAAGAAGCUAAGACGCUAUGGAUAAUUUUAUAUCUACAACACUUAAUCAAUUUCAUAUGCAAAGAACACUUACUUUGGUUGAUGUAUGGUAUAAUAAGUCUGCAAAGCACUAAGAGUAAGUGCAGCAAUGGCACCCAAAAAUGCCAAAAACGUCCAAGGACUCCUAAAAUAAGUAUGAUAACCUUGAGCUGCAUGAUUAAUCCACAUAGUCUUACAAUGAUUAUGUAUUUUCUCUUUAACCCCACUGUAAAUUGUCGGACUAGGAACCAAAUCAGUGUUCAUCUUAUUGAAAAGCUUAGCCAUUUCUUCAUCACUGCCCAAUCCAUUGUAUAGUAUGCCGGAGUCUCUAAGGUCUUUGACAUCUUCAGCUUCAUCGAUCAAUAAAUCAAGGAAACACAUAUAUGAAGUGACGGUGAAAUCGUUGUCGAAAUCCGGACACAUUUCGUAAGCUAUUAAGUUCAUGGUUGAAUCAUCGACGGAGAUCGGCGGUAACCGUAAUUUUCCGAAGAAGAAGAUAUGGUUGAAACUGAUGUCGGUUAAAUUACUUGUGUCGCUGGCUUCAAACCAUAUCCCGGCCUUUUUAAGCUCUUUUACGUUACCAAUGGUGCGUGAAUGGUACCGUUUUGUUGUUUUUGUUCUUGCUGCUGAUUUGCCAAAUCCGUGUCGAUUGAAUUCCCAAAGAAAACACCAGCACCGUAUUCGUACUUUUCUGAGAAGGAGUCUUUCUCGUAGUAGAUGUAAUAAGUGAAUUCGCUCUCCUUCUUUUUGCUGCUUCCACCACCAUUCCCUACACCAAAAUCUGUGUUAGUCGGAAGCCAAGCUACAAUUUCUCUUUUCUCUUUUCUUUUUUUCUUUUUUGUUGUUGGAUUUGGAAUUGUUAAUUUAUAUGAAGCUAAAAUUAAGAUUUUCAAAAUAAAUAAUCCAACGAUUAAGUUAUUCAAUUUACUUAAUUUAAUUGAAUAAAUUAUUAAAAACUUCGAUUCGAUAAUACGGUUUAAUUAAAUUUUUUUACCCUGUUUAUAUAAAGUUUUAAAUCGGUUAAUCUACUCCGAAUUGAUAAUUCAAUUAAUUUUCAAUCCAAACCAAUUCAAACAAUAUUAACUAAAAUACAAUUUUUAUUGUUGUAUUAAUGCAAAAAUCUUACCAGUUUUAAAACAUUAAACUUUUCCAUUCUGAAAAGUUGGAUUUGAAAUCAUAAUUUUUAAUUUCUAAAAAUGAACACUCAAGGAUAAAUGUAAAACGACAGGCAGGGGUCGUUCCCAAGAAAUGAAAAUUUACACUUUAAUCUCUUUUAAAUUUAUUAAAUUAUAAUAAGUCCUCAAAUUAAAAAAUAAUAAUUGUUCAAUUUUUUUAAAAAAAUAAAAUCAUAAAUUAAUACAAAAAAAUUAAAAAUCAAUCAGGUUGAAUAAAAAAUUAAAUAAAAUUGAAGUUACACCAAUUGAAUUAAAGAAUCAAAUAAAUUUCUUUUUAUAUUUUUAAUAUUUUUAAAAAAUUAUAUAAUUAAAUUGAAUAAACUAAUCAACCAGAAAUGAGAGUUUAAUAGAUUCCAUCACUCAUCUAGUUAUAAAAACCUUUUAACAUUUAUUUAAUUCCCUAAAUUACCUGUCCUCGCCUGGGAUGAUAACAGUUUCGUCGAUGAACCUUUGGAUUGCAUUCAUGAACUUUUCGCCAUUUUUUCUCGGCCUUGUAAGCAAUUCAAGAACACGAAAAGGUAAUUGGUUUUCCAACAAGAACAGAUCCGAGUACACAAAUGUCAGCAAAUCGUCUUUAAUAAACAAUUUACCAUCAUUAUCAUCACCAUUAUCAUCAUCACCGUAACGCCUGUAAACUGCUUGUAAAAUUGCGCAGCCGUCAACGAAGAACAUCCAAGCCAGUUUCUCGUUAUCGUUGCUAUACUUCUCUAAUCCCUUUGGAUCAUAGCAUUUCUUUAAGUCAUCAAUCUCUUUCUUCAUGUUGUUGUACAACGUAUCCUUAUCGACGCCAAUUUUUUUGACGAAAAGUGCUGCUAAUUUGAGCUUGAGCUUCUCGGAUUUCCGGAGGGUGGGAUCAUCGUGGUGGAGUGGGCCGAUUGAGAUCACUUUCGGCUUGAAAUACUUCCUGAAAUCUUGGUGACGACCAAGGGUUGAUGGGACUCUUUGUAUCAAUGGUUUGGCACCGAGGUUGAUUUCGUCGCCGUCGAAAGCUUCGUCUAAUAACCGGAGAUUCGCUACUUCUCCAUCUCUAAGAGGGACGUCCAUAUCAAUGCUCACGGAAUCGUUGUUGUCGGUGAUUGCUUGAUCAGUGGAAACUGCUCCGACGGCGCCGCCUCCUUCCUCCGUGGAGAACAUUUUCAGGCUGAGUGGUUGGUAGUAAUAAACAAGGUGAUUUUGUAAACUGCUUUUGGCUGAGUGAGUGAUGUUGGAGAAAAGGUGGCAAAGUGGAUACGAUGAUGGGAAAUAUUUUAUAGCUUACACGAUACACAUAUAUAUAUGGGAAAUACUUAAGGUGUAAUUCAAAUUUACCCUGUUUAUAUUUUUACUAAUAUAAUUUUAAUUUUUUAAUUAAAUUUAAUUCUCUUUUGAAAGAGUCAAUGAUAAAAAAGAAAUUAGGAAAUUAGGAAAAUGUGUAUAUAGAUGUACAUAUAUAAAAAAAUUGCAAAAAUAUAUUUACAAUAAUUUUGAAGGGCGUACGUGUAUAUCAAUAUCUAUUUAUGUAUAUAUAUAUAUAUAUUAUAAAAUAUAAAAAAUAUAUAAAUAUAAUAGAAAUAUAAAUGUAUAUACGUAUAUAUGUAUAUAAAAGCUAAAAAAUAAAUAAUAACAAUAUAUAUAAAAAUAUGUAUAUGUAUUAGAGAAAUAUUUAAUAUAUAUAUAUCUAUUAGCAUACAUAUGCUUAUAUAUGUAAGUAUAAUUAUAAUACUAUAUAAUAUAAUAAUAAUAAUAAUAAUAAUAACAAAAACUAAAAAAUAAACUACAACAAAAAAACCUUAAAAAGGACCAUUAAGGAUUAAACUGAGAGCUAAACGAAGUUAAAAGGCCAAAUUUAAAAAUAGAAAACACCAGGAAGGACCAAAUUGAUACGCGCGCCAUGAGAGGAGGACUUAAAAAGUAAUUUUCCCAAGUCACUCAAGCACUGCGCAGUGAUAUGGAUUAAAUCGUCACGCAAGCGAAAUAUUUGGGCUGAACUUAAAAGAAAAAAACUUGAUUAAACACAUCGCAAAAUGGGGAGGGCUAGAUGCGCAAUUUCCCCACUCAGGGCCAGAACGCGCGGAUCCCCCCUCCGAGUCGGGUCGACACGCUGGUCAUGGCACCCUAAACGGCGCCGUUUCGUCUUGUUUUAAAAACUCCUAAAUCUGACUUUCUUUGAUUUGAAACUGGAAAGAAAAAAAAAACCCUAGGGGUUUUGUUUUCUCCCCCGCGCCGCUUCCAAUCGAUCCGGCCGAUUCGAAUCUCGGCCCCAAAUCUGGCUCCGAUUAAGACGAAGCAGACAUGGUUUUCAAUGGCACAACCACGUAGGUAAUAUUCCUUUUUUUAUUUUUUUUGUUUAACACACAAAAAUCGGUAAAUAAAUUAAGCAAACAAAGAAGAGAAAACAAAACUAAGAAGAACGUCACCUCUUUUAUUUCACUCUUUUUUCGAUUUUCAGUAUUCCCCCCCCCCCCACUAUUUACAUAUUGAAGUUGGCCUUUUAUAGCCGAAAUGGAAAUGAAAACAUGAACAAAAUCAAAAAGAAAAAUUGUUGCCCGAUUUUUGCUAUUUUGUUUUGUUCUCUUUGUUGUGUUUUUGUUGCUGUAGGUAAUGCGUGCGGGGAAGGCGCGAGAUUCGCGGCGACGAGGAGCGCGAUGUGUGGGCGCGACGCACGGGAGUAGUUGCAGCACCAGUUACUGCGGCGCUGAAGCAGAAGCUUAUUUAAGGUUUGUGCAAUUUUGAUGUUUUUUGGGCUAGGGUCUGAAAAUUAGUUGUUGGGCGGCCUGUUAAUGGUUUGGGCCCGGGCAUUAUUGGGUUUUUAUAGCUGCCCCUCUUUGCUCAUUGUCGUGUAACGGAAAUAGAGCAAAGACUAAAAGCCCAAUUGUGCUCGGUCUUACUGAGCCUCGACUUCUUCAAUACUUUUCCUUCAAGUAGCCUCAUUCCCUCCUACUGCAUCUUCAGAGGUAUAGGAACUAGUGCUUCAAUCUACUCCGCUACAAUGUCAGAGAGAUAGAAUUCAUACUUUGUAGCUUCUCAAAAGAACAAAAGUUGUCAUCUUUUAUCUGUUUCACUGCAACUUCAGGGAGAUAAGACUUAUAGCUUCACCUUGUUCUGCUACUCCAUUGCAACUUCAAGGAGAUAGGAUUGGUUUUUUUUUCUGUCUGCUCCACUGCAACUUUAGGGAGAUAAGACUGAAUAUGAUCUACUCUCUGCAACUUCAGAGAGAUAAGAUCUGCUGUAUUUGAUCUACUUCACGCCAAUACAUGAAGACAAAAUCUAUUUUUUUUGACCUACUUCGCCACCUGUAUGGGAAGACAAGAUCUACCAUCUUUGACCUGCUUCACGCCAAUACAUGAAGACAAUAUCUGCUUUCUUCGGUCUACUUCGCCACCUGUAUGGGAAGACAAGAUCUGUUUUCCUCAAUCUACUUCAUGCCAAUACAUGAAGAUAAGAUCUGUUUUCUUUGACCUACUUCGCCACCUGUAUGGGAAGACAAGAUCUACCAUCUUUGACCUACUUCACGCCAAUACAUGAAGACAAGAUUUGCUUUCUUCCAACCUGCUCCACUAUUGUUCAGGGAGAUAAGGCCUUAUGAUUUCAUUGAUCUGCUCUCUGUGGAACAUGACCUGUAUGAUUCAUUUUAUGAGCCUAAUUAUGCCUAAUGAUUAGGAUGUCAUGAUCAGAAUGAAUCAAAUGCUCCUAACUAGACAUGUAUGAAUGACAUUUGAAUGAGUGCAGAAUGUCAUGAGAAUGAUAUUUUAACGCUUGAGUUAUUAUUACUCCAAGUUUAUUAACGUUAUCGCCAAUAUGCUCUAGCGCCUUAUUGCUCGGCUGGCGUCUCUAAAAAAAACUUGACCAGAUUGCCCCCACUAUAAACCUUCAAGUUUGAUCAACUGGGAUGCAAAAUUUGUACCAUUUUUCUCCUGUUGUAACCUAAGAGUAAAAGAUUUGACUUUUUCUCGAUCCUCUGUUAUCACAAUUCAAAGAUACAUGAUGUGAAACUUUUUGGUCUAUUACAUCAUUCUGAGGGUGUUGUACCAAAUGCUCAUGCACAAAUGAAGAAAUUUCUUCUCUAAGAAUAACUUCUUCUUAUUAUUCGGUGAUUACUUGAGUGACCUCAUUGAAGCUUUGUCACCAACACGACAUCUUCCCAUUUUGUUCAAUCAAUACUUCAGACAAGAAAAUUCAAAGGGAUAAUAUUAAUUUAGACUCUUCUUUAUCAAGUUUCCAACCUUUGAACCUGGUGCCUUCUAAAUAAUAGUCAUGUUUGAGGUUCCUAUAUUAUUUAAAAGCUUCUAGAGUAAUAAGCAAAACUUCCUUUGUGAAAUUUUUACUAGUCCAUUCAUCAUUAUUCUAAUGCAACAUGAUUGCAAAAGGAUCAUAAUAAUGGAUAAGAAUAGAGUUGGUCCUGAGCAUAGCUCGAAAUGAAUAAAUUAUCAAAAAUAAAGAUGGAUAGCAAAGAAAUUGAUUUAGGAAUGCGUAUCUUGGAAAUGAAGGAAGUGUUCCAAGAAUAACAAAAAUAGUAUAAGGAUGAGGUGCCCCAGAUAUCGCAGCUUGAACUUCUCUGUACAAACUUUUUGAAGACCAUUCUGAGUUUAACAUGUGUUUAGGAAAUCUAUAGUACUUUGUCGAUGCCCCCAAGAUGUCGCCUACCCCUUCCUGUUGAUUCAGGUAUAGCAAGACCACUGCAUGCCCCACUCUAAUCAGUAUUUGAGCUACUCUGAUAGCUUCUAGUGUCAUUUUGAUCAAUAUUCGAGCUACCCUUUUCGGGUUUUUAACUCAAAUCCCCUUUAGUUUAAGGUGCCCUUUGCGGGUUUUCACCUUAGCCUCUCCAUUUUAUUUUUUUCAUUCUUCAUUUUAUCAUUUUUUUUACGACUCAAAGUGCCCUUUGCGGGUUUUUACAUUGGUCAUCUCCUUCUUUAAGUAGAUUAUUUCCUGACUGAACUUGAGUUUACAGGACUUUGGAGGUUUAUCAUUUCACUCAAAAUCAAAACUCCUUUGGAAAAGACCUUCUUUAUAACAUAAGGUUCUUACCAAUUUGGCAUCCGUUAUUUUUUUUGUAGGGUGAGGAUCUUCUUCAGCAUUAGGCCACCAUCGUGGAAUUCUCUGGGACAAACCUUUUGCUAUUGGCUCGCAUCGUUCAUUUCUUGGUACAUCUGACCAUGAUGAAUAGUUUCUAGCCUUUUUCUUCAAUUAGGUUCGACCAAACGUAUCGGGAUUGGAUCUUCAUCCUACUUCAGCUCAGUCAAAAUCCAAAGAGAAAGAAUUUCAACUUCAAUGAAAAAAAUCGUGAAAAACUGAAAAGAGUGGCAUUGCCCCGAUUGAGUUUUCUCUGCACCAUUCAUGAUAUUCACCUUGAACAUACCGCAAAUUUAUGAUAUUGUGCUAUUGUUCAGAUUACAAUGACAGUGCUUAAAUUGGGCACAUCCUCGUAUGACCAUGCGAAGACAUCUUUGAACUCUUGAAGUAACUCAAUAACAUCUUGCUUUGUUUCUUCGGUCAUGCAUGUUCCCUCAAGGUCACAUUCUCCAUUGUCCCCUUAUGAGGUAAAUUUGUUUCUCUUAUUACUUUACCACCCUCAACAAGUCAGGAGAUAUGCUACAAUCUAUGACAUCUUCAAAGUCAUGAGAUCCCUCUAAACACAUGUCUCCCUUAACAAGAGAUUCAGAGUCCGUAGCAGUGCCAAUCAUGUCAUUGAUAUCCAGAGACCUAUUAUAAGUGCCAAAGAAUGUACAUAAUAUGAAUGAAUAAAAGAAUGGUUUGGCAGAAAAAUCUAAAAGAAUGAACGAAUCGUAAAGAAUGAAAGAACAUUUGCUCAAAAAUGAUUGCAAUAAUGUAUUUCAUUAAAAUAAUCAUGUUCGGACAUGAGCCAAUUUCACAAAGACGUUCUUAUUUCUUUUAGGCUAAAAGCAACAAGGGUGUUCUGAAUAUUACUCUAAUAGACCCUAAAUACUGUAGGGGUUUCCUCUGCAGUCCCAUUAUUUAUAACACCUCUCAGGCGAAUAUCUAACCAGAACCCUUUUAAUUGCGUCUGCACACAUGGCAUCGAUGUGCAAAUUUCUUACCACUUCUCUAUGCAUUGCAUUCCCUCCAUUAUCAAUCAUGAUUGGGUAAUGGAUUUUCUGCACUUGAUGAGUCACCAAACUUGACAACACCCAUGUCGAUGAGUCUUGCAACUUGCUUCUUGAAGGAAGUGCAAUUCUCAAUCGAGUGUCCCGUAAUUCCCGCAUGGUAUUCACAUUGUGUGUUCGCAUCAUACCAUUUGGGAUACAGAGGUUGUAGAGGCUUCACAGGAAAAGGAGAAACAACACGGGCAUCAAACAAAUUUUGAUACAGUUCCCUAUACGGUAUUGGGAUUGGUGUAAACUGGAACUUCUUAGUCUUUAUACCAGAAUCCUGCCUUGAUGAAUUUUUUUGAUUAGUAACCACCUUUCUUGGCUGACUCAUAGUAACUGAUUUAAAGUAACCCGUGUUGUUCACCUCAUUUUCUCUUCUCCUUGAGGCUGACCUCCUGUUACUCUCCUCUGCAUCGAUUUUUUCGCUCCUUAUAGCAUUUUUUAUCAUUUCACCGUUCAUAACUAUGUCAGAAAAGCUUUUUGUAGCACUUCCUAACAUAUGUGUGAUGAAUGGAACUUUUAAUGUAUUUAUAAAGAGCAUUGUCACUUCUCUUUCCAAGAGCAGUGGCUGAACUUGGACGGCAACUUUCCUCCAUCUCUGUGUGUACUGCCUAAAGCUUUCACUCAGCUUCUUCUCCAUGUUUUGAAGGGUGAUUCUAUUAAGAGUCAUGUUUUUCACAUGACUAUAUUGUUUCAUGAACGACUGUGCCAAAUCCCUCCAUGAACCAAUCGUGGUACAACUCAGUUGAUUGUACCACUUGGAUGCUGCCCCUACUAGGCUAUCCUGGAAACAGUGUACCAAAAGCUGGUCAUUGCUAACAUAUCCGACCAUGCGCCUGCAGAACAUGGUGAUAUGAGCUUCUAGGCAACUUGUCCCAUUGUACUUCUCAAAUUCUGGCAUCUUAAACUUGUGAGGAAAUACUAAAUCUGGGACCAAACUCAACUCUUUGGCGUCGAUUCCCCGAUAAUUUUCAGUGACCUCCAUCGCCUUGAACUUCUCCUCAAGCCAUUUGCACCUUUCUUCUAACUGUUUUGGUAACUCCUCCUUUAUUCUUUCCCUCUCGGCACUUCAUCAAAGUCAGAAUGACAGAGUUAAUAGGGUUGUUGCCGAGGUUAAAGCCCGAUCCGACUUGAAAGUUUGAAGCACUGGCUUGGAAUUGCUGAGGCCUGAUUGUAACAGUAGGUUUGUGCGAAUAUUCAGCUUGAGUUCGGGAAUAUAGUGGAGUAAAGCCUGGAGGAUGGAUAGUUUCAUCCUCAUUACCCUCUUCGAUAUCGGUCAUGGGACCCUUUCCCUUAUCACCUCCUUCAGUCAACAGUUGGGUUAGUUUUGCCAUCAUACUGUCCUGGGAUUUUUGUAUCUUUUCUGACAUAUCCUAUUGCAUCUUGUCCAACCGCUCUUGAAUUUUUAGCUGAAGUCUGUCUUCCAUCUCCUUCUGGUACUGUUCGAGCUUUUCCAAUCUCUGUCCAUAUCUUUAACGUUUGCUCGAGUGUCGUAACGGUGUUUGGUUGGUUGGUUGGUUUCCAGGUUAACUGAGCAAUGAUUUUAUCAAUUAGGCUGUUUUAGUGGAUUUUAAUGCAUACGAUGUCAUGUAAUGCAAAUGCAUGAAAUGAAGGCCUAAAGAGAUGUUAACUUUGAUUCUAUUACAUUUAAAAAACUUUACUAGAAGACAAAUUUCUUUACAUAAAACAGAUAUAUAUAUAUAUACGGCUUUGCCCUCAUAUUCCAGUCGAAGACAUCUUCUCCUUCAUCUGGAUGCUAGGAUAAACCUUGCGAAUUCUUCAAAAUGGACGUCUCUUCUAUCUCUUUUUGCUUGAUCCUGGUUGAUAUCCAUCAUCUACCCAUCUUUGUAAUGCUCCUCGGCUUCUUUUAGAUUGUCGAAAACUCUUGAAUAAUCAGCUUGAAUCCUCAGGCCAUAGAGUAAAGUCACGAACUCUUCUGUCGCUCUUCUUGUGUUUCUCAGAAUAUAUUCAGGCAACCGUAUUAUUUUCCAUUUUAUUAAGAAAUCCGUAUUCCAUUACAAGCUUUCUAAGUUAGUAAUCGAAUGUGAGUCAACACCUCUUUUCUAUAAUGAAAUGCUAUGAAGUCAAAAAAUGUCAUGCAGUCAAAACAAAACACAACAAGUUAGCAUCAGGUAUAAACAUUAAAUCCAAUACAAUCAAGAAAUAACAAAAACUCCUAGUCAGGUAUCUACUAAGGUUUAGAGUACUUCUACGUAGGGUAAGUUCCUAAAGCUCACUAUAUAAGGUUUAGUUUCUAGAGUAAGGGUACCCGAACCAGCAGAUUCCUCGAUCCUCAACCAUUAUAGGCUCAUGUGGAUCGAGUCCAGUUCAGGGGGAUACAUUUCCCUAUGGCUGCACGGAGAUGAAAUCUCACGAAGACAUAGGUACGGAUGUAUCCCGGAAGCGGUCCAUUACCCUGCACGGAGGUGAAAACCUCACAAAUGACUAGUUUCUCGCUCAAACUUAAGGGGUAAAAUGCAAAAUGCAAAUGCAAUGUUGCCAACAUACCAUGAUGAAAAAAAUCAAUAAGUACGAAGGGAACUCAUGAAUUUUAAAAACUUUUGAUUUUUGACACAAAGACAAAUAUAAUCAGUUUAUGGCUAGACUCUCUAACGUCCCCAGUGGAGUCGUCAAGCUGUCGAAACCGUCUUCUUGAAAACAAAAAUUUAGUUGUCGACUUUAAAAAGAAAACUGGAGUCGCCACCGAUCCUUUAUUAAGGUGUGAGCGGCCCACCUUAAAAAUUAUUUUGGUCUACAAGCUUUAAGAAAACAAGUUCGGGAGUCAGUUAUGCACGAGGAAGGGUUAGCACCCUCGUAACGCCCAAAAUCGGUACCAAAUCGAUUAUUUAAUGUCUUAGUGUCGUGGACUAGAAAGAAGUUAAAAAAAAACCAAAUGAUGAAAUCAGAAAAGGAUAAUCAAUUGUUCAAGACAUGUAAAGAAAUCGAUUCCCAAUACGUUAGGGUACAAUUUCUCAAAAUUCCCGAACUUUGAAUAUCACUUUUAUUUUAUGCGAAAAUAUUCAUUUUGAGAAAGUAACAUGCCACACCCAAUACGUUAGGACACGACAAGUUAAGUUCCAAAAAAUUAUUUUUAUACUCAUGCAUUUUGAAUAAAAAAUAUUCUCGAUUAUUUAAAAUUAACAAAGAAAAUCGGAACCCAAUACGUUAGGGCUCAAUUUUCUCAGAAUUCCAAAUACCGAAUUGUGCCUUUUAUUCGAAAAUUCUUACGAGAAGUCAAAAUAUCAUGACCAGUAAGUUAGGACCUGACAUUUUUGGAUUCCCGAGAACAAGCUUUUAUUUGAAAUUUGCAUGAAUUUAUUUCAAAAUGAAUACCUGGUUUUCUAAAUUCACCAAGAAAUAAUCGCAAUCCAGUAAGUUAGGAUACGGUUUUUCUCGAGAAUCAUGAAUGCCAGAUAUUUUGGAAUUUUAUAAAAUAUGAUGAUUUUAAUGCUUUGACAGAACCAAAAUAUAUUUUCUUUAAAAAGUGUAGAAAAAUGCUAAUGUAUCACAUAAAAUCAAUAUUUUAAUUUUAAAUUAUAUGCAAAUAUGUAUUUUCAAAAUAUAAGUAUGAUACAUAAAUAAAUUUUGAAAACAUGUAUAUACACAUAUUAAAACAAGUAUAUAUAAGUAUACAUAUAUAAAAUAAAAUAAUGAAUGAUAUAUGUAUAUCAAAAUAAAAAUUAUUAAAAUUUCUAAAAAAAAAUCAUGUAUGUAUAUACGUAAUGAAAAUUGUAAAAAUAAAAAUAAAAAAUAUGCAAAUGCGUAUAUAUUUACAAAAAAAAAAAUAUAAGUAUACAUGCUUUAGUAAAACAGAAAUAAUAAUAGUAUAUGAAGAAAUUAGGAAAAUGUGUAUAUAGAUGUAUAUAUAUAUAAAAAAAUUGUAAAAGUAUAUUUACAAUAAUUUUGAAGGGCGUACGUGUAUGUCAAUAUCUAUUUAUGCAUAUAUAUAUAUAUAUAUAUUAUAAAAAAUGAAAAAAUAUAUAAAUAUAAUAGAAAUAUAAAUGUAUAUACGUAUAUAUGUACAUAAAAGCUAAAAAAGAAAUAAUAACAAUAUAUAUAUAUAAAUAUGUAUAUGUAUUAGAGAAAUAUUUAAUAUAUAUAUAUCUAUUAGCAUACAUAUGCGUAUAUAUGUAAGUAUAAUUAUAAUACUAUAUAAUAUAAUAAUAAUAAUAGAAAUAAUAAUAAUAAUAACAAAAACUAAAAAAUAAACUACAAUAAGAACCUUAAAAAGGACCAUUAAGGAUUAAACUGAGAGCUAAACGAAGUUAAAAGGCCAAAUUUAAAAAUAGAAAACACCAGGAAGGACCAAAUUAAUACGCACGCCAUGAGAGGAGGACUUAAAAAGAAAUUUUCCCAAGUCACUCAAGCACUGCGCAGUGAUAUGGAUUAAAUCAUCAUGCGAGCGAAAUAUUUGGGCCGAAUUUAAAAGAAAAAAACUUGAUUAAACACAUCGCAAAAUGGGGAGGGCUAGAUGCGAAAUUUCCCCACUCAGGGCCAGAACGCGCGGAUCCCCCCUCCGGGUCGGGUCGACGCGCGGGUCAUGGCACCCUAAACGGCGCCGUUUCGUCUUGUUUUAAAAACUCCUAAAUCUGACUUUCUUUGAUUUGAAACUGGAAAGAAAAAAAAAACCCUAGGGGUUUUGUUUUCUCCCCCGAGCCGCUUCCAGUCGAUCCGGCCGAUCCGAAUCUCGGCCCCAAAUCCGGCUCCGAUUAAGACGAAGCAGACAUGGUUUUCAAUGGCGCAACCACGUAGGUAAUAUUCCUUUUUUUUAUUUUUUUUUGUUUAACACACAAAAAUCGGUAAAUAAAUUAAGCAAACAAAGAAGAGAAAACAAAACUAAGAAGAACGUUACCUCUUUUAUUUCACUCUUUUUUCGAUUUUCAGUAUUCCCCCCCCCCCCUAUUUACAUAUUGAAGUUGGCCUUUUAUAGCCAAAAUGGAAAUGAAAAGUUCUCUUUGUUGUGUUUUUGUUGCUGCAGGUAAUGCGUGCGGGGAAGGCGCGAGAUUCGUGGCGACGAGGAGCGCGAUGUGCGGGCGCGACGCGCGGGAGUAGUUGCAGCACCAGUUACUGCGGCGCUGAAGCAGAAGCUUGUUUAGGGUUUCUGCAAUUUUGAUGUUUUUUGGGCUAGGGUCUGAAAAUUAGUUGUUGAGCCUGUUAAUGGUUUGGGCCCGGGCAUUAUUGGGUUUUUACAAUUCCUCAAUUAUUUGGAUUAGAUUUAGAUUGAAAAACAAUCGACACUUGAUUUGAUUGUUUAAAUUUAUAAUAUUUAACUUGAGUGUGAAUGAAUUUUUUACUUAAUUAAAAUUUUAAAAUAGUAAGCUCGAGUCUUUUUUUUAAUUAUGUUUAUAUCAUGUAUAAAUUUUGUUCAAAUUUAUUUUGAUUUAAUUCUCAUACUAUAUAUUCUUAAUUAAAUUCGGAAUAUAUUCUGUUUAUCAAUUUAAUUAUACAUCGUAACAAUGGAUUUGGAUUAUAGUUAAUUAUAUAUUGAAACUAAAUAAUUAGUUUAAGGAAUUAAAAGAGAGAUUAUUAUAUUUUAUAAAAUUUGAAUAGAUUAAUAAUUAAUUCGAGAUUAAAAAAUUGUCUAUCUUUAUUUCCCCCGAGUUUAAUUUAUUAUUUUCCCUAAUUUUAAAUCCAAAUAAUUAGGAGAAGAAAAAGCUAAAACCAAACCUUUUUUACGGUUUGAACUAAACCCCAUGCGGUCUGGAAAAUUGCAAGUUUCCAGAAUACCUACUCUUACUAAUUAUAAGAAAAUUUAUAAACUGCUUUCCAUUUUAGAGGACGAAGGCCUUGCCUACCCCUCCUUCGUAAUUUUUUCUUUUGUCUAAAUUAAUCUUGAAAUUUGAUAGGUUUUUUUUGUUCUUUUAGUCAUUUAACAUUGGUUAAUGGUACAUCAUUACUUGGAUUUGUUUUAAAUAAAUUCUUUCUAUCCUUUUUAGAUUUUAUGUAAGUUGUUUGAAAUUUCCAAAUAAUGACAUGAUUGUUUAAUAUAAUUCAAGUUCAAGAACUAGAUUAAAAAAACUGUUAAGUUCAAUUCAAAGACUAAAAUAUUAAUUUAUCCCUAAUAUUCGUUACCCUGUUUUAAAAUUUCAUUGAAUUUCUUGCCCGCCUACUUUUGUUAUUGACCGUUGCUUUGUUCUUCGUUUUUUAAUUUGAAGUCCCAUAAUUGAAAAAAAAAAUUGGAUGAGAAAUAUCUAAAAUCAUUAGAAUCAUGAAAAAUAUAAUCUCAAAUCCAACGAAUUACCCAUAUCAAGUUACAGAGACUUAGGCCUGGCUAUGGUGAAUUCAUCCCCUACAUUUUAGCAGUCCCAGGUAAACAACACUUACUUUGGUUGGUGUAUGGUAUAAUGAGUCUGCAAAGAAGACACAAAAAAUGCAGCAAUGGCACCCACAAGUGCGAAAAACGUCCAACGAGUCCUAAAACAAGUAUGAUAAGCUUGAGCUGGAUAUUGAAUCCACAUAUUCUUACAAUGAUUAACCUCACUGUAAGUCGUCUGACUACGAACCACAUCAGUGUUCAUCUUCUUGAUAAGCUUAGCCACUUCUUCAUCACUCCCCAAUCUAUUGUAUAGUAUGCCAGCGCCUCUCAGUUCCUUAACAUCUUCGGCUUCAUGGAUCAAUGAAUCAAGGAAAUCCAUAUAUGAAGUCACGGUGAAAUCGUUUUUGAAAUCCGCACAUUUCGUAAGCUAUUAAGUUCAUGGUUGAAUCAUCGAAGGUGAUCGGCGGUAACCGUAAUUUGCCGACGAAGAAGAUAUGGUUGAAACUGAUGUCGGAUAAACAACUUGUUUUGCUUGCUUUGAAACAUAUACCGGCCUUUUUAAGCUCUUUUACAUUACGAAAGGUGUGUGAAUGGUGCGGUUUUGUUCUUGUUUGGCUGCUGCGAUUUAACGUGCACAUGAAAAAUCGAGUGCAAAACCUAAAAUACCGCCAUGGUUUUUCCUUUUUUCUUUUUCGAAAAGGAGUCUUACUCGUAGUAGAUUCAAUAGGUGAAUUCGCUCUCCUUUUUGCUGCUGCCACCAUUCACUAGAGCAAAAUCUGUGUUAGUCGGGAGCCAAGCUAUAUAUAUAUAGGAUUUGGAAUUGUAAAUUUUUAUCAUAACUAAAGUUAAAAGAUUUCAAAAUCGAUAGUCCAACCGGAUAAGUUUAAUUGGUACAAUCAAUUCAUCUAAUUUGAUUAAAUAAAUCAUUAAAAAUAUUAGUUCAAUUACUUGAUUUAAUUAAUUCUUUUUCCAGGUUCGACAUGUUUAUAUAGGUUCUCAAAUCAAAUAGUCUAAUGAUUUUAUUCAAAUUGAUACUUCAAUUUAUUUCCAAUCUAAUCCUAUUUAAACAACAUCAACUAAAAUAUAAUUUGUAUUAUUGUAUUAAUGCAAAAAUUUUACCAUUUUUAAAGAUGUUAAACUAUCAAUUUUCCAUUUUAAAAAGUUGGAUCGGAAACAUAAUUAUUUUCUAAAAAAAAAUGUACACUCAACAGCAACAAUACAAAAGGGACGAGUGGAUUUGAAAAAUGAAAUAUUACAUUUUAUUCGCUUUAAAAAUUAUAAAUUAUAAAAUUAUAUAAUAAUAAAGUUACGCUUUUUAACUCUUCAAAAUUAAAAAUAUUUAAUCCUUUUAGAAAAUGAUGAAAUCACACAUGAAAAAUUUAAGAAUUAAACCAUACUUGUCGGUCGAGUUGGUUGAAUAGAAAAUUGAGUAAGAUAUUGGUCUAGAAUAAGAGAUUAGACCAAUUGAAUCGAGUGAUAAAUUGAUUUUUUUAUAUUUUUAAUAUUUUCAAAAUUUUAUAUAAUUCAACUGGAAUGAACUAAUAAACCAGAAAUGAGAGUCUAAUCGAUUCAAUGACCCAUUUAAUAACAUUUAUAAACUCCACAAAAUGAUUCUGUUCUAAAUUCCUUGAAUUACCUGUCCUGCUGAUGUGAUUGUGGCUCUUUCAUGUAAGCUGGGGUGAUAACAGUGUCGUCGAUGUAUCUUUUGAUCGCCAUCAUGAACUUUUCGCCAUUUUUGCUCGAGCUUGUAAGCAAGAAGACGAAAAGGCAAUUAAUACACAAAAAAAAAAGAAAAAAGAAUCAAACCAGAAUUGUAGGCUAGGAAGCACAGACACGGCUCAUCUCUCCCCGUAUCGGUGUCGUACGUGUGUCCGAUACAGACACUCGACAGACAUACCCAAAUACGUACGGGACAAGCUGGAAUAUAUCAAAAAAAAAUUAUUGGCAUAUCUUACUAUAUCCGUGUCCUAUUUUUUAAAAAUUAUCAUGUUACCGUGUCUGUAUCAUAUCGUACCCGUAUUGCGUGUCUAUAUUCAUAUUCCAUAGCUUGUAGGUAAGGGCUGAACAAAGAAUUGAGUAAGGCACUAGGUCUAGAAUAAAGAAUUAGACCAAUUGAAUCGAAUUAUUGAAUUGAUUUUCUUUGUAUUUUUAAUAUAUCUUUAAUAAUUUUAAAAUUUUAUAUGAUUGGACCGAGUCGUUAAUCAAUAAAAAUUGAGGGUCUAAUAGAUUAAAAAAACACCUUUUUAACAUAUAUAAAACUCAAAAAAAAUAUUCUUUUUUAAAUUCCUUAACUUACCUGUCCUGCUGAUGUGAUUCUGGCUUUUUAACGGUGUUGUUGGUGAACCCUACGGUUGCCUCCAUGAACUUUCUGUCAUCGUUCGAUCUUGUAAGCAAUUCAAGAACACGAAAAGGUAAUUGGUUUUCCAACAAGAACAGAUCCGAGUACUCAAAUGUCAGCAGUUCGUUUUUAAUAGACAAUUCGUUCGACAGAUGCUCAUAAUCUUGGCCAUCAACAUCAUCAUUACCGUAACGCAUAUAAACUGCUUGUAAAAUUGAGCAGCCGUCAACGAAGAACAUCCAAGCCAGAUUCUCGUUAUCGUUGGUAUACUUAUCUAAUUCCUUUGGAUCAUAGCAUCUCUUCAAGUCAUCGAUCUCUGUCUUAAUGUUGUUGUACAAGGUUCCCCUAUCGACGCCAAUGUUUUUGACCAAAAGUGUUGUUAAUUUGCACUUGAGCUUCUUGGAUUCAUGGAGGGUGGGAUCAGCGUGGUGGAGUGGACCGAUUGAGAUCACUUUCGGCUUGAAAUACUUCCUGAAAUCUUCGUGACUGCCAAGGGUUGAUGGGACUCUUCGUAUCAAUGGUUUGGCUUUGGGGUCGAGUUGUUUGCCGUCGAAAGCUUCGUCUAAUGACCGGAAAUUCUCUAAUUCGCCAUUGCUGAGAGUGAGCUCCGUACCCGGCAUUGGAACGAUCGUCUCUUGGGGAUUGUUGGUGGUUUUGGUGAUUGUUUGAUCAGUAUAAUACUAAUGAUAAUUGUAGUAUGGUAUUUGAUCUUCCUUUUCUUUUUCUCUAGUAGGAGCCACUCUGGUGUCUUUUAUCAAAGGAUAUUUAGUUUCAUUGGCUGCUCCAACAUACUAUUUUCUUAAUGAGAUAAAUUAAUGUAGUUAAUUUUAUAUUGAUUUCAAUCAUAUUCAUCGCUAGAUAUUGUUUCAAUAAGAAAUCAAAACAAUCAAAUUUCAUUUUCUACACAAGAGCAAUGGGAUUGGAAAAUUACUUUUUUAUCUUUUAAAUGUAUACAAUUUUAAAUUAUAAUGGUAAAAUUAUACUUUGGUCCCUCAUAAAUCACAAGAUUUUAAUUUAGUUGUUUAAAAAAUUUAUAAAAAUAUUAGCUAAUACAAUGAUGAAAUUAGGUCUUAACUCUUACCAUAAUUUAUAAUUUAGUUUUGGUCCCUCAAAAAAAAAAAUUUUAACUUCACCCUUCUUUCCACACUAGCAAAAAUUUUACUUUAUAUCAAUUGCACUAAUCAGAACAUUGUACAUUAAUUAGUAUAUGACUAAUAUUAAAAAAUAUAUAAAAAUACUAUUUCUUUUAUCAACUUUAGAGUUUAACUAAAUAUAUAAAAUUUAUAUAAUCCCAUUCAUUUAAUGUUUUUAAAUAUUUUAAAAAUCUAUCGAUAAUUUUGAAAAGAUAUACAAAAACAGGCUAGUACUAAUAUGUAUCAAUUUUUGUGGAAAAAUAGUGCGUGUAGUACUAACUACCUUGGAAUAUAAAAAUCAUUUAGUUCUUUAGUUUGGCAACUUUCCUCAGCUUAGUCCUUAAACUUUUAUUUUAUCUACAUUAGUCUUCGAGCUUGACAAUUUUUUUUUAAUUUUGAUUAAUAUAAUGACACAUCAUUCUGAUAUUGUGUAAUGCCAUCACUUGAAAAUUAUAUUUUUAUUAAAAAAAUAGGUGCUGACAUGAUAAAACGUCACCAUAAUAAGCAAAAAUGAGAAAAAUUGUCAAAAUUCAUGACUGAUGUAAACAAUGGUGAAACCAGGGGAUGGCAAGGGCUCCGCCCCGUCCCCCAAAAUGAUUUUUUUUUUCAUUUAGGCCCAUUUAUAAUUUAUAAAAUUUUAAAUUCGUAAUGGUAAAAUUAUAUUUUACACCAAAAACGAUAAAAAUUGAUUUAACCAUUUAAAUAUUAUAAAAAUUGUAGAGUAUUAAAAUAGUAAAAUUAUAUUUUUAUUAUUACGAAAAUAUACAACUUAAUUUCGGCCCGCCCCAAAAGAAUAUUUGACUACACCCUUGAAUAUGGACAAAAAAAGAAAGUCUAGAGAUCGAAUUGAAAAAAGUUACAAAAUUUAAUGAUUAAAUGUUGUCUUACUAUUUUAUUUAACUAAAAGUGUGUCAUAGACACCAAAGUCUUGUAAUUGAGUAAUAAAAAUUUGAUGCUUUUAAGUAAAUCUUGAAUUUAAAUCUCAUAAAUAGAGAAAACAAUACUAAAAAAAUUUUACUUCCCACUUAAGAAUCCAACCCAACUCAAUUUCAAAUUUAUUGCAUAAAAUACGAGCAUGCAUGGAAUAUAUUGUCUCUAACCUUCUCUUUCACUUACUUUUUUAGAUAUUCAAACUUAAAUGAGUUCUAUGAUUAAACAUUUUUUGACCACAAAAUCAAUCACUUUGUCAUGAAAUUAUCAUUACCCAUAUUCUCAAACUUGAUAUUUUUAGGAACAUCAAAUUUUUUUAUUGAAGUUAUUAUACUUGAUUGUUUGCGCAUAUAUUAAUUGCAUUUCUCGUUCUACCUAACUCAUGAAAAAUCUCAACUUGCAACCACAUAUUAUUCACAUGACAAUCAACCAAUUCUUUUUGUUUUUCUUUUUUUUUGUGUAAUUAAGGUAAAAUAAUUUUGAUUGUCUUUCAUGGAUUGAAUAAUCUAGAACAUAAAAAGUUAACAAAAUUAUAUUUUUAAAGUAUGAUUCAAUAUUUAAGUUAAAUUGUAAUUUUUUUAGAUAAAAUGUGACAAAGGUUAUUCAAUUAUAAAAAGUUAUAAAAUAGUCAUUUAAUUAUUAGUAAAUUUUUAUUUUAGUUGUACAACUAUUUAAUUUUGUCACUAGCUGGCUAACAUAAAAAUAAAAGCACCCAAAAAUCUAAGAUAAUUGGGUGAUAAAAAAAUAAAAUUGAAUAAUUGAGUGACUAUUUUGUAACUUUUCAUAAUAAAAUGACAAGAAAUCAUAAUUUAGUUUUGCAAGGAUAAGUAAGAAGAAGAGCUUAUCCCUACAAGACAGGUAGCAACAGUUAUUGAAGAAUUAUUCACGUUUUAGAUUUUUUCUUCUAUGUAAAUACAAUGAUGUUAAGAAAUUGACUAGUGCCAAGCUCACUUUAGCAACGAUCACUUCAAAUUUUCAAGCAUACAACAGCAGCAGCAGCAGGCAGCGAACGUAUGCACUAAUAUUUACUAAUUUAAGAAGACAAUAGGGAUGGUCAAAUAUUCUAAUUGAACCUAUCUGCGAUCGGAUCGGGAUGGAUUUUUUAAAUUUAAAAAAUUAAAUAGAUUUAAUCGAAAUUCUAGGAGUUACAAAAUUCUCAUAAAUAACAAGAUUUUACAAAAAGUACACUUACUUUGGUUGAUGUAUGGUAUAAUAAGCCUGCAAAACACCGAUAAAAAGUGCACCAAUGGCACCCACAAAUGCGAAAAACGUCCAACGAGUCCUAAAAAAAGUACGGUAAACUUGAGCUGGAUAUCUAAUCCACAUAUUGUUAUGAUGAUCAUGUAUUUGCAGUUUAACAUGUCUGUAAAUCAUCAGACUGGGAACCAAAUCCAUGUUCAUCUUCUUGAUAAGCUUAGCCACUUCUUUAUCACUCCCCAAUCUAUUGUAUAGUAUGCCGGAGUCUCUCAGUUCCUUAACAUCUUCGGCUUCAUCGAUCAAUGAAUCAAGGAAACCCAUAUAUGAAGUGACGGCGAAAUUGUUGUUGUAGAAAUCCGGACACAUUUCGUAAGCUAUUAAAUUCAUGGUUGAAUCAUCGAUGGUGAUCGGCGGUAACCGUAAUUUUCCGACGAAGAAGUAACGGUUGAAACUGAUGUCGGCUAAACAACUUGUUUCGCUUGCUUCUAACCAUAUCCCGGCGUUUUUAAGCCCAUUUACGUUACGAAAAGGGUGUGAAUGGUGCGGUUUUGUUCUUGUGUGGUCGCUGCGAUUUGUGAAGGAUAUGCAAAACCUAGAAUCAGCUGGUUUUUCUUUAUUGAAAAGGAGUCUUACUCGUAGUAGAUGCAAUAAGUGAAUUCGCUCUCCUUGCUGCGGCCACCAUUCACUAGACCGAAAUCUGUGUUAAUCGGGAGCCAGCUAAAAUUAAGGUUUUCAAUGGUUGAAUCAAAUCAUUAUUAUUUUAAUAAAACAUUAUUUAAAUUAUUAAAUUACAUUUUAAUCCUUUUAAAAAUUAUUAAAUUAUAAAUUUAUAUACAAUAAAAUUAUACUUUGACUCCUCAAAAUGAAUAAAAAUUUGUUCAAACACUUUUGAAAAAUGAUUGAAAUCAUAAAUUAAUACAUAAAAAAAAAUACAAGAACCAAACCAAACUUAUCGAUCGGCCUAAUUAGACAGAAAAUCGAGCAAGGUACUAGUCCAGAAUAAUAAAUUAAAUCCAUUGAAUCCAAUCAUCGAAUGGAUUUUUUUUUAUAUCUUUAAUAUAUCUUUAAUAUUUUUAAAAUUUUAUAUAAUUGAAUCGAAUAAACUAAUCAAACGAAAAUGAGACUCUAAUCGAUUCUAUCACCUAUAUAUGUAGUUGUAAAAUCCUUUAACAUUUAUAAACUCCACAAAAUAAUUCUUUUAUAAAUUCCUUAAAUUACCUGUCCUGCUAUGUGAUUGUGGGUUUUUAACAGUGCCGUUGAUGAACCUUAUGAUUGAAUCCAUGAACUUUUUGCCAUCCCCCGAGCUUGUAAGCAAUUCAAGAACAUGAAAAGGUAAUUGGUUUUCCAACAAGAACAGAUCCGAGUACACAAAUGUUAGCAAUUCGUUUUUAAUAAGAAAUUCGUUGGGCGUACGACAAUAGUCUGGGCCGUAAAGCAUAUAAACUGCUUGUAAAUUUGCGCAGCCGUCAACGAAGAACAUCCAAGCCAGUUUCGCGUUGUCGUAGCUACACUUCUCUAAUGCCUUUGGAUCAUAGCAUUUCUUCAAGCCAUCGAUCUCUGUCUUCAUGUUGUUGUACAAGGUAUGCUUAUCGAUGCCAAUUUUUUUGAAGAAAAGUGCUGCUAAUUCGAGCUUGAGCUUCUCGGAUUUAUGGAGGGUGGGAUCAGCGUGGUGGAGUGGGCCGAUUGAGAUCACUUUCGGCUUGAAAUACUUCCUGAAAUCUUCGUGAUGGCCAAGGGAUGGUGGGACUCUUUGUAUCAAUGGUUUGGCACGGAGGUCGACUUGGUCGCCGUCUUUGCCUAAUGACCGGAGAUUCUCUAAUUCGCCAUUGCUGACAGUGAAGUCCGUAUCCGUAAUUGGAAUGAUCGUCUCUAGGGGAUUGGUGUCGGUGGUGAUUGUUUGAUCGGUGGAAACUGCUCCGCCGGGAGCUCCGACGGGGCCGCCUCUUUCCUCCGUGGAGGACAUUUUCAGGGUGAGCGGUUGGAAGUAAUAAACAAGGUGAUUUUGUAAACUGUUUUUGGCUGAGUGAGUGAUGCUGGAGAAAAGGUGGCAAAAUGGCUACGAUGAUGAUAAAUGUUUUAUAGCUGACAUAAUAAACAUAUAUGGGGAAUAAUUAAGGCGUUAGUGUUUAUUUUUACUAAUAUAAUUUUAAUAUUUUAAUUAAAUUUAAUUCUCUUUUGAAGGAGUCAAUCUUAAAAAAGAAAAGUUAAAUUAAUGUUUUUUUAACAAAAAUAGUGACAAAUAUUAAAAUUGAGGAUAACAUUAUAGAACUUAAUACUCAACACAACCUAAAACCUUCGCCUUAACCAAGAAACUAAGACCCUAUCAGAGGGAGAAUUUUAUAUCUACAACACUUCCUAAAUUUCACUAGCUUAAUAAUAGCUAUUCAAAAUUUUUAAUGAACCUAUUUCGCGUCACAUGCGGUAGAAAAUAAUCUAAGAAAGGCAUGCACUAGUCAAUUGUUUUUAAGUACUAAUAUUUAGGGAUAAAGUAAUAUAAAAAUGAGAUUUUGUUUAUCAGUUAUCUUCUUGCUGCUCCCACCACCAUUCACUACACCAAAAUCUGUGUUAGUCGGGAGCCAAGAUAUAAUUUCUCUCUCUUUUCCUUUUUUUUUAGUGAACUUGGAACUGUUAAUUUUAUGAAGCUAAAAUUAAGAUUUCCAAAAUAGAUAAUCCAACCGAUUAAGUUAUUAAUUAAUAAAUAUUAAUUUAUUUGAUUUAAUUAAAUAAAUUAUUAAAAAUUUCGAUUCGAUAACACUAUUCAAUUAAAUUUUGGUUAAUAAAAAUGUUAAAUUUACUAAAAUGAUAAUUUUUUAUUUACAAAAUCCAGGAAAUGGGUUCGGGAGUCGGUUACGCAUAAGGUAAAUUGAGAUUUAUUUGAUUUAUUAAUAAAAAUGUUAAAUUUACUAAAAUGAUGCUUUUUGGUCUACAAAAUCCAAGAAAUGGGUUCGGGAGUCGGUUACGCAUGAGGAAGGAUUAGCACUCUCAUAACGCCCAAAAUUGGUACCUAGUUGAUUACUUGAUGUCUUAGUGUCUAGAAUUGAGAAUUCAAAGAAAAUUUAAAGCACAAUCCCCUAAUUGCAUGAUUUUAUUAAAAUAUCGCAAACUAAAUUAAAUUUUAUGGAAAUAGCCAUCUUAUUUCGAGUCAAUAGAGAAAAAGGAUCAUGUAUCGUAAGUUUGGGCUUGAUAUCUCAAAUCCUCAAAACUUAAGUAUAUUUGCACAGACAAUGGCUUAGAGUUCUGUUCUAAUGAGUUUAAUAAACUAUAUAAGUCAGAAGAGAUUGCAAGACACUUGACAGUUCGCCAUACUCCAUAGCAAAAUGGCAUUACAGAACAAAUGAACAGAAUGAUCAUGGAGAAGGUUUGAUGUAUGUUGUCAAAUGCCAACUUACCAAAGUCAUUUUGGGUUGAAGCAGCCUCUACUGCAUAUAAUCUGAAAAAGGGUUGUUUUGGUUCUUUGGAUUAGGUGAAAAUCCAGUAGCGGUAGGUGCUUUUGCAGAGAUUUGAACGUUUGAGUUUUCGGUUCGUUGCCAGUAAGUGUUUAGGUUCGCUAUCAAUUUUGAUGUAGACGAUUUUCAGUUGUGAGUUUUCGUUAGUGAUCUAACUUGGGCUCUAGUUAUUUAUUUUUAGGUCUUGGAGUGCUUGGGAGUGUAUUUGCAGCUAAACAAUACCAGGUGUGUACCUGAAAUGCAAAAAUAAGGGAUUCGGCGAAAAGACAAAAUUGCUUGCUGUUUGGACAGUAGCAGUAAGCUAAAUUUGAAAAAUCACUAUAAAUUGUGAAAAUCGAAUUAGAGGAUGAAAAAUAUAUGGAAUUAAAUAUAUUUGAAUCUAGUUUCUCAUAGAAGAAACGAAGUAAGUAAAAGAGUUUCAUAUUAUGAGAUAUUUGAAUUUUAGUGAGAUAGGGUCAGAAUGAUUUUAGAAUCCCCUAUCCUAAUUUUAGAAAAUUAUUAAAAAUUGUAUAAAAAUAAUUAUGGGUUAGAAUUUAUAUGUUUAAAAUCAUGAAUGAGUAUAUUUUUAAGAAAAACAAACGAGAAUAUCAUAUGAAUUCUUUACGAGAAGAUAAUUAAUUUUUAGUGUAGAAAGGUCGAAACUGUCAAACAAUAGAUCAAGGGAAAAUUUAAAGAAUAAACUGUACUUAUUGGCUAAACAAAAAAUUCUGAAAAUUUUAUGGUAAGAAGAUAACUGAGUCUAGUUUCAUGAAAAAUUUUCAGAUCUUAAUCGGAAUUCUGUAGCUUACGAUACAAAUAAUUUAGUAACAGUGACUCAAGUAGAUAGCUUUAAGGAUAAUAUAAGUAAAUAGUGGAAACACAUAUGAAUAAUUAACUAGCACGAGUUACAUUAAAAUAGAUCACGAGGCCAAGGUCAAUUUGGGUCAAGUGGGUCACACGGGCGUGUGGGCCCACACAUUUGAACAUCAUGGGCUUGUGGGCCCAUUUUUACUGUUUGACUGAUAAGGUUGCACGGGUCACCCAAGUCGACUGUGAACCUACUGUAGGGUAGGUAAGUUUACCUAGACCCCUAGUUGACUGAAAUGACUGUAUGACUGAUAUGACUAAACCUGAUGAUGUCCCAUUGAUUUGAUAUUGUAUGCCCUGUUUAAAUGCAUGAUAUUAUGUUAUAGCAUGUCAUAUCUGUAUAUUGCAUUGCAUUGCAUUGGGUUGGGUUGGGGGAUUAUAAUGUUUGGAGGAAGUGUACUGAAAGGCCUCAAGCCUAGUUUACUGGCAGCUCAGCUACAAACUACUAUCUAGUACUGCAUCCGGUACUACUUGGAGUGUAGGGAUGGGUGGGUUGAUUAUAUCCCCACAUGGAGUGUAGGGUUAGACGGAGAUGGUGUGUAGAGGCUGGAUGGGUAGGAUUUUUGUGACUGCAUAGCUGUUACUGCUACUGAUACUGUGAUGGGCUAAAGCCCUACUGCAUAACUGUUUUUGUAUUGAGAUGGGCUAAGGCCCAAACUAGAAUGAUACUGAUACUGAAAAGGGCUUAAGCCCAGACUGUGAUUAUCUGUUUACUGCCUGUACAUUUGUAUGGGGAUUACAUACUGAGUUUACAUAAAUUUACCCCUUCUGUUUAAUCUGUACAGGUAAUGCCCAGAUAUAGGCGGAUCGGCGCAGCGGAGGACUUAGUGGUGGUCACACGAUUUCUUUUACACUGUUUACUACCUAUUCAUGAUUUUACUUUUAUUUAGGAGUAUUUUGCUGUAAUUAUGGCAUUUACGAAUUUUGAUUUAAAAUUUGGAUUUUAUACGAUUUUAUGAUUUAAAUCUACUAACGGUUUUUCAAAUAAAAUUAAUGUUUUAUCAAAAAUACCACGAAUAAGCAAACUGUUUAAAAGCUUCUGCAAUAGAAGUAAAAAAAAUGUUUUGAAAUUGAAUAACAAUUUGUAAAUGAAAACGUUUUGAAAACGAACGACACGAUUUGAAGUUAACAUAAGAUAAUAAAAAAUGGUUAAAUAGAAAAGAGGAUUUAGCGACGACAUAUUUUUCAAAAAGCACUACCAUGUGACGCCGUCAGAUUCAGCCAUAACAUCUAGGCUGGGUUUGGGGUGUUACAUUGAUGUUCGGUAUCAUUUUGUUCGUGAUAUUAUUGUUCGUGGUGAUAUUGUUGUGAGCAAAAUUAGUACUCAUGAAAAUCCUGCAGAUAUGAUGAUUAAGUCAUUUCCUAUAACCAAGUUGAGCAUUGCUGAGACUUGAUUGGUGUUUAUUGUUGAAGUUAAACCCUUAAGGACUUUUAUGGAAGAGGCAGAGAACUUGUUCGUUGAGAAUUCGCGAUGAAGAACUUGUUUAUUGAGAAUUUGUGUCAAGGUGCAGAUUGUUAGAGUUGUGUAACUCAAAUUCUAUAAGAUUGCUUGCAAGUCAAGUUAAACAAAGUAUAUAUUCUUUCUGAAAGAUUUAGUAUUUAUGAGUAUAAUAUAUUUAGCAUUUAUUAGCAUAAUAUUUUCGACUUUGAUUAGAAUUAGGUUUCUUCAACCUAUAAAUAGAUGUAGUCGAAACUUCUCUUGUAACCAUUCGAAUUCGACAUAGUGAAUUUUCUUCUCCUUUGCCCGCGGUUUUUUCCGAAAAGGUUUCCAUGUAAAAAUAUAUGUUCUUCAUUUUUAUUUCUCUUUUCUUUGCGAUAUAUUGUCGUUACCGACGUUCUAUUUUUACACUUAAUUUUUUUAAACUCUAAUUAAAUACUAAAAGUUAAAUUAAAUAGAUUAAAUUGAAAAUCCAAAAAUUACAAAAUUCUUAUAAAUAACAAGAGUUUACAAAAAGUAUAGUAAACAACACUUACUUUGGUUGAUGUAUGGUAUAAUGAGUCCACAAAGAAGACAUAAAAAGUGCAGCAAUGGCACCCACAAAUGCGAAAAAUGUCCAACCAGUAUGAUAAGCUUGAGCUGGAUAUUGAAUCCACAUAUUCUUACAAUGAUUAUGUAUUUGCUGUUUAACCUCACUGUAAGUCGUCUGACUACGAACCACAUCAGUGUUCAUCUUCUUGAUAACCUUAGCCACUUCUUCAUCACUCCCCAAUCUAUUGUAUAGUAUGCCAGCGUCUCUCAGUUCCUUAACAUCUUUGGCUUCAUCGAUUAAUGAAUCAAGGAAACCCAUAUAUGAAGUGACGGUGAAAUUGUUGUAGAGAUCCGGACACAUUUCGUAAGCUAUUAAGUUCAUGGUUGAAUCAUCGACGGUGAUCGGCGGUAACCGUAAUUUUUCGACGAAGAAGAUAUGGUUGAAACUGAUGUCGAAUAAACAACUUGUUUUGCUUGCUUUUAAUCAUAUCUCGGCCUUUUUAAGCUCUUUUACAUUACGAAAGGUGUGUGAAUGGUGUCGUUUUGUUCUUGUUUGGUUGCUGCGAUUACAUGAAAAAUCGAGUGCAAAACCUACGAUGCCGCCAUGGUUUUAAUUUGGUCCUUUAAAAAAUUAUAAAUAUAUUAACUAAUACUAUGAUGAAAUUGAGUCUUAACUCUUAUCAAAAUUUAUAACUUAAUUUUGGUUCUUCAAAAAUAAUUUUCUGGCUUCACCCUUAUUUCUGCAUUAGUAAAAAGUCUAAUCUAUAUCAAUUGCACUGAUCAAAAUAUUAUACAUUGAUUGGUAUAUAAAAGAUAUUAAAAAUAUAUAUAAAAAUGCUAUUUCUUUUACCAAUUUUAAACUUUAGCUAAAUUAAAGUAGAAACUUUAAUAUUUUAAGUAGAAAACAAAAAAAAAAAACAAAUAAGCCAAUGAAAAGAAAAAGUGGAAAUAUAAAUUUUAUUAAACUUUAAUUUUCUUAGUAUGAGAUGAUGAUGAUGUUGUGAAUUUUUUAAAAUAAUGUUAUGGUUAAUUCAACCUUUAACAUGUCUUUAAGUAUAAUGUAUAUUUUUAUAAUACUAAUGAUAAUUGUACUUUGCCAAGUCACCAAGUAUGGUAUUUGAUCUUACUUUUCUUUUUCUCUAGUAGGAGCCACUCUCAUGUCUUUUACCAAAGGAUUUACUUUCCUUGGCUGCUCCAACAUACAAUUUUCUUUGUGAGAUAAAUUAAUGUAGUUAAUUUUAUAUUGAUUUCAAUCAUAUUGAUCCGUAGAUAUUGUUUCAAUAAGAAAUUGAAACCAUCAAUUUCAUUUUCUGCACAAGAGCAGGUAAGGAUUGAAAAUUUGCUUUUUAUCUUUUAAAUAUAUAGAAUUUUAAAUUAUAAUAGUAAAAUUGUAUUUUGGCCCCUCAUAAAAGCUCGAACCUGGGUGAGUUCUAUCACUAAACAUCUCUUAACCACAAGGUGAAUCACAAGAGUCCUCUAGCUUGACAACUUUUUUCAAUUUUGGUGCAUGUAAUGACAUGAGACACUGAUAUUGUGUUAUGCGAAAUCAUACUUCAAUUGUAAUUAUUACUUGAUAGCGGUACAAGAUUUUCGUUACAAUGUCUAGAACUACUUAUAAUCUCCAACCAUUAAAUAAGAAGAUAAAUGUACUUUAGCGCGCUCGAACUGACGUUAUUUUGCAUUGACAACAAUCCUAAUGUCAACCAAACUAAAACUCAGUAUAACAAUGGUACAUUAGGUUAAAUGUCUUGAUGUUUUAUUUUCUAUUUUUUGCAAUUGCAAUUGAAUUCCAAACGAAGGUUUCGUUUACAGAACCAUAAAAGCUUUAAAAAUAUUAACUUUGUUAAACAAUAAAUGUUGUAUUUAUUUCAAUUUAAUUUUUUUAUUUUUUAAUAAUAUUAAGAAUUAAAUUAAUUAUUUAAUAGUAAAAAGACUAAUCUAAUUAGGUCCUAUAAUAUAGGGACCUCUCAAAUACAUUCCCUUAACAUUACUUUUUUCGAAAUACAGACAAAAUAAACUAGACUUAUGGGAUGGUGCAUCUAAUUCAACCUUGUAACAUGUCUUUAAGUAUAAUAUAUAAUAAUUGUACUUUGCCAAGUCACUAAGUAUGGUAUUUGAUCUUACUUUUCGUUUUUCUCCGGUAGGAGCCACUCUCAUGACUUUCUCGAAGGAUUUAGUUCCAUUGGCUGCUCCAACAUACUACUUUUUUUAUUGAGAGUAGUUGAUUUUGUAUCGAUCUCAAUCAUAUCAGUAGGUAGGUACACAUUGUUCCAAUAAGAAAUCGAAAUGAUCAAUUUCAUUUUUCGCACAAGAGCAGUGGAAAAUUGUUUUUUACAUAAAAUGUUAAUCUAAUUACAAGGUUUUAAUUUAGUUCUUUAAAAAUUAUAAAGAUAUUAGCUAAUACAAUGAUUUAAUUGAGUCUUAACUCUUACUAAAAUUUAUAACUUAAUUCUGGUCCCUCAAAAAUAUUUUCUAACUUCACCCUUAUUUCUACAGUAAUAAAAAUUCUAAUCUAUAUCAAUUGCACUAAUCAAAAUACUAUGCAUUGAUUAGUAUAUGAGUAAUAUUAAAAUAUUUCUUUUGCCAACUUUAAACUUUAACUAAAUUAAAGUAGAAAAUAAAAAAAUAAAAAGAUAAAGAAUUUAUUUAACAAAUAAGCCAAUGAAAAAAAAGUGGAAAUAUAAAAUCUCUAAAAGCUUAAUCAUCACACAUUGAGGAGUACACUUUUAUUAAGCUUUAAUAUUUUAAAUAUGAGAUGAUAUUAUGGAUAACUUUUUAUUUAAUGUAUUGCUUGGUUCUUUUUUUCUUUUGGAUUUGUUAAAUGAUGAAUUAUGGAUUUUAUUUGUGAAGUUUUUUAUGAAUAUAUAUAAUUAAUUAAUAUUUUUAUAUUUAAAAUUUAUUUAAUCUCAUUCAUUUAAUGUUUUUAAAUUUUUUAUAUAUUAAAUAUUUUAAAAUUUUAUCAAUAAUUUUGAUAAGAUGUACAAAAACAUGCUAGUACUAAUAUGUAUUAGUUUUUGUAGAAAAAUGGUCCGUCCAUUAAUGUAGUACUAACUACCUUGGAUAAAAAAUUAUUUUACCCUUGAAUUUAGCAACUUUCUUCAACUUAGUCCUUAAACUUUUAUUUAUCUACAUUAGUAUUAUAACUUGACAACUUUUCUCAAUUUUGAUGCAUGUGAUGACACAACACUCUGAUAUUGUGUCAUGCCAUCAUUUAAAAAUAAUAUUUUUAAUAAAAAUUAGGUGUUGACAUGGUAGAAACGUCACCAUAAUGACCAAAAUGAGAAAUGUUGUCAAAAUUCAUGACCGAUGUAGAUAGUGGGGAAGCAAGGGGGUUGAAAAGGGCUCUGCCCCCCCCCCCCCCCCGCCAAAUGAAAAAAAUUCAUUUAGUCCCCUUUAUAAUUUAUAAAAUUUUUAAUUAGUAAUGGUAAAAUUGCAUUUUGCCCCCUCAAAAUGAUAAAAAAUUGAUUUAAUCCUUUAAAAAUGAUAAAGAUAUAUGCCAUUAAAAUGGUGAAAUUACAUUGUUUAUUGUAAAAAUAUACAACUUAAUUUCAGUUCCUGCCCAAACAAUUUUUGGCUUCUCCCUUGAAUGUGGACCAAAAAAGAAAGUCUAGAGACUGAUAAGUGCUAAAAGUAAUAUGUUUUAAUCUCGUUUUUAAUGCAUUUUUGGAUGGUUAUUCAAUUUAAAAUGGUGAAUUUUAUGCUCCUAAUCCUUUAAAUUUAUGUUUCUAUACUUAGGAAAACAUUUGGGAGCAAAAAGAGUGAAAAUCGAAAAAUCGGAGCAAGUUUCAAGAGACACACUGGUUGGGCCAUUCUACAUGGGCAGAACACAUGGCAGUGUGAGCCACACAGGCUUCUACACGGCCAUAAGCUAGACCAUGAGGAAAUCACAAAUCGCACUCCAAACCUGCAAGAAAGCUCAUUUUUUGUAGAUUUUUCGGGAAUUCUAAGACCUAUAUAUGACAAAAAUAAGAAGAUGGGAGGGAGCCGUCAUAGAAUAUUGAAGAAAAAACUCAGAAAACACCAUUAAAGCCGACUCUGAAGCAGAUUUUCAUCAAGAUUGAAGAUCUCUUUUUGAUUUCUUUGAAGUUUAUUAUGAGUUCCUUUAUUUCUUGUGGUUAUACUGUCUUUAGGAUGUUUUUAUUUACUAUCACGAACUAAUUUUCUAAAUACCUAGGGAGAUGAACCCUAUGAUGGAUUAUGUUAUUUGAUUUCUAUUUUUAUGCAAUAAACACUUGAAUCUUGUUUUCAAUUCUGAGUGCUUAACUCUGGGUUUAAUAUUUCUAGGCUACUAAUCCAUGUUUGUGUGCUUAAAUCAUAGGAGGGAUAGACCUAUUUAAGAGUAGGUUUGGCGUAAUUGAGUGAAGUUGCAUACAAUCUUAGAAAUAGGAUAGCAUAAAUCUACCGGAUUAGAGUCAAAUCUAAUAGGGGGAUCCAUAGAUCGAAUUAAUGUGACAAUAGGGGUUUUAAUUAAAAAGAAAUUUUAAUUAAUCAACCUAGAUUGAGUUGCUCUUAGUCUUGAAGAGAGAUAUUAGCAUAAUUUAGGGAUUUCUAUGGAUCAAGAUACUAAGUGAAGAAAUUGCGUAAUUUAGAUUGAUAGAGACAGAUGAAGCCCAAGUGAAUUCUUUUCUGGGUAUUGUUUCGCUUCUUGGUUGCUUACUCGUUUAAUUUCUUAAAUUGUUCUUUGUUGCGUUCGUAGUUAAUCAAUCUUGUUGAUUUUAGUUUUCAAUCAAAUCAUUCAAAUUUGUUGCUUAAAUAAUAGAAAGACAGUAAUUACUAGUACUUCUAGUCUUCAUGGGAACGAUAUCUUUGCUCAUCGUAACUAGCUAUUAAUUGAUAGGUGCACUUGCCUUAGUCAUAUUUUUAAUUGGUUUACAAUUGUAAAUAGAGACCAAAUUGAAAAAAAAUUGUCUAAUUUAAGGAUUAAAUGUUAUCUUAUUAUUUUAUUUAACUAAAAGUGUGCCAUAUACACCAAAGUCUAGUAAUUGAGCAAUAAAAAUUAGAUGAUUUUAAGUAAAUCUUGAAUUUAAAUCUUAUGAAUAGAGAAAACAAUACUUUUUUUUUUACUUCCCACUUAAGAACUCAACUCAACAAAAAUAAAAAAAGGUGUUGUAAACUUUGUUGCAUUGUGUGUUAUCCUGAUCCAAAUUAGUGAAAAGGAACUGCAUCCUAAACUUAUUCAAACCAAAUGAUUUAAGUGUCAAUUGGGCAACACAUUUAAGAUGUGUAACAAAUUUGUUCUUCUUUUUUUAAUUUAAUCUUUUUUUCUAAAUACAAAAAAUAUUUUACUAAAUUGAUCUAUUUAAUGGUAAAUAGACUAAUUUGAUCAGAUCCUAUAAUAUAAGGAUCUCUCAAAUAUAUUUCCCAUAAAAUUACUUUUUUUUGUUACAGCUCGUGACACUUGGAGCUAUACCAACAAAUGGUAUACAGAACCUGUCAUCUUUGAGGGUCUUUAUUGUUGGUAGUUUUUUUUAUGAGAAACCUUGAAGAAAAAGAAACUCAGGCUAUUGUUUUUAUUGUUGCUACAAAAUGAAUUUUACACCACCACCACCACCUGUUUCUGCAGGUGAAAACUACCACAUUUGGGCAGUAAAGAUGAAGACUUACCUACAAGCACAUGACUUGUGGAAUGUGGUUGAGAAUGACACAGAACCAGGUCCAUUAAGGGUCAAUCCCACUAUUGCACAAAUUAGACAACAUAGUGAAUAGUGUGCUAAAAAGCACAAAGCUAUGUCAUGCUUACAAAAUGGAGUGUCUGAUGUGAUCUUCACUCGAAUAAUGGCUUGUGACACUCCAAAGCAAGCCUGGGAGAAGCUGAAGGAAGUGUUUUUAGGGUCAGGCAAGACUAGGCAACAGUAGUUGAUCAACCUCGGGAAGGACUUUGAGAACUUGAAGAUGAGAGAGUCUAAAACAAUCAUGCAGUACUCUAAAAGGAUAAUAGCCACAGUCAACAAAAUCAGGCUCCUUGAGAUGAAUUCAGUGAAAGCAGAAUUGUUGAGAAUGUCAAUACAACCCUUCCUGAAAAAUUUCAAGCAAAAAUCUCCUCAUUGGAGGACUCGAGAGAUUUAUCAACCAUCUCACUAUUUGAGUUGAUAAAUGCUCUAUAUGCAUUAGGGCAAAGAAGGGCCAAUAGGCUGAAGGAGCAUCCUGAAGGAGCUUUCUAACCAAAAACCAAGGAAAGCUCAGGUUCGAGCUACAAAGGAAAUUAACCAUGGCUUGACAAAAGGGAGAAACCAAAGAGAGAUGCAGGGAAGAAAAGGUUCCCACCAUGCAUUCAUUGCCAAAGGUCCACACACUUUGAGUUGUGAUAGAGCUAAUUGUCAACAUGUCAUAAUGUUCUAUUGAUAUUAAAGCUAAAGGAGCUUAUCCUUUAAUGCGUACAACUAGUAUUUGUUUUUUUUUUCCCGAAUUAUAUGGUCUUAUUCAUUGAAUAAAUUAAUAAAUUUCUCUUCAAAAAAUUGAUUCUCUUUCAUAGAUUGAAUAAUUUAGAACAUAGAAAGUUACUAAAAUAUUGUUUUUAAAAUGUUAAGUCAAUAUUUAAGGUAACUUGUAAUUCUUUUUUGGAUGAAUUAUAAUACACCCUAUCUAAUUAUGAAAAGUUAUAAAAUGAUUAUUUAAUUAUUAGUAUUUUUUUUACCCAAUUACAAAAAGUCAUAAAUUGGUAGAGGUGCUCAUGAGCCAAGUCAGGCCCAAUCAAAAUCUUAGGCUCGGGCCAAAAAAUGGGCCUAAAAUUUCACCCAAGCCUAGCCUGAAUAAAAAUACUAAAACCCGAGCCCGACCUGACCUUAUUAAAAUUUUUUAUAUUAUUUUUUAUAUAAUUUUUUAAAAAUAAAUAUAAUAUAUCAAAAAUACUAAAAAUUUGAAAAUAAAUUUAAAAAAUAUGUAUACUUAAAUAACACUAAGAUAGGUGCAACUUAACAAGCAAAUACCUCUAAAAUAGUAACAAAAUUAACAAUAAAACAAUAAUUAAUAUCCAAACAAUAACAACAAAAUAGUAGCAACAUUAUAGUGAAAUGAUAGCAAAAUAUUGAGAAAACAACAAAAAUAAUAGCAGCAAAACAGUUAAAAAAAAGCAAGAAAAAAACAACAUUUUUUUUGCAAAUUCAGGCCAGGCCAGGCUCAGGCCAAAAAAAGCCUUACUCAAGGCUCGAAACGGGCCUUAUUUUUUUACUCAAGCCCAUUUUCUAGACCUAUAUUUUUACUCAAACCCUCCAGUUUUCAAAUAGUCAUAAAAUAGUUAUCCAACUAUUCAAUUAUAUAUUUUUUGGUUACUAGUGGGCAAUAUAAAAAUAAAAGUACCCAAAAAUUCAGGAUAGUUGAGUGAUAAAAAUACAAAAUUGAAUAAUUAAAUAAUUCUUUUGUAACUUUUUAUAGUUAGAUGACGAGAAAAAAAUAAAAAUAAAAAUUAGGAGAUUACUAAAGUAAUUUAUUUUUGCAAGGGUUAUUGAAGAAUUAUUCGCAUUUUAAAUAUUUUCUUAUAUGUAAAUACAAUGAUGCUAAGCAAUUUACUUUUUGGAGUCUAUAUAAGGAAAUGGGCCUUAGGAUUUGCUAGUGCCACACUCACUUUAGCAACAAUCACUUCAAAUUUUCAGGCCCACAACAACAGCAACAGCCAGCGAAAUCUAAAAAAGGUAUGCACUAAUAAUUUGUUUUUAAGUACCAAUAGAUAUUUUGAUUUACUUUAGUAUUUAAAUAUCGUUAUGUUACAUGGUUUAUUCUGAUGCGUCGUUGAGAGCACCAAAAAUAUUUUAUUCCUAUAAAAUAACGAAAAGAAUAGUAUAAGGGAAAUAGGGUCAAAUUCUCAGGAACUGAAUUUGCACAAGUUCCUGAUCCUCGAGAUCUCGGGCAGAGUCGUGCUCAAGAAAAACGACGUACCUAGAAAAAAAUUUAAAAAAUAGAAUUAAAAGUAUGGAUGAAUUGAGAUUGCGUAAAAUGAAAUUGAAAUUGUAAAAAUAAACAGAGUUGAGGAAAGAGAAUCUUUAAUGGAGAGAUUUCAGCCUCUAGUUAUCUCGAUCCUCCUUGGGUUCAAUCCUAGGCUUUUAAAUGAUCCUUCUCCUAACAGAAUAAGCCAGUUAUAGUGAAAGAGAAAGCCUACGACCACCAGCUCCACUUAGAUUUUAGACUUACGAUAUAAAGAAACCUAACUCUAGCCAACCGUCACUUUUGUGGGACCGUCUUACACGAGAUCAUCACUUCUCAAUAACAAAUGCCAUGCCAUUUUGUCUCUUGGGCUCAACAACCACUGACAGUGACUCAUGUUUUAUGGGAAAAAUAAAUAAACUUAAUAAAAAUAGAAUUUUAUUGAAUAAAUAAAAGGAACAAAAGCUAGAGCUUUUUGGGAGAGUGAGCUUUUACAGAAAGAUGAGUCCAAUUUGUUCACUCCAUCCCCUACUUAUAAUACUUAGAAAAUCUAGUUUGUCCCUAUUUAAAUUCUAAAAGAUAAAUAAAGAUAAAAGCUGAAAUUAAAUCUAAACAAUAAUCCUAAUAUAAUUCAAAUUUAAAUAGUCUUCUGUUUAUAAAAUCUCUUCUUUGAACUUUUGCCCCCCCAAGUCUUCCACACUUUGCAUUUUCGGCACCACUUCUUUCCUAUUUCGCAUGUUGGCAUAUUUUAUCUUUAAAUUUAUGCUUUUUGCCCCUAAAUUUCCUUUUGCCUUCAAUUUAGUUCCUACAAGAUAAAAAAUCAUAAAUAGCUCAAAUUAGUAGGAUCAUACUCAAAAUAAACAUGUAAUUAAUACAUAAAAAUAUGUCAUUCCUGACUAUUAUCAUAUUCUAAAUACUUAACAUCAUCAAAAAAAAUAUUAAGUGGUACGUUUAAAAAAUAUUAUGUUUAAUAUUUGAGGUUAAUUGUGUGAUGAGAUGAUAAUUUAUAUAUCACAACGAAUUUAAAAUUUUAAAUAUUAUGAUUAAAAAAAACUUAAAUUCUAAAAUGAAAAAAAAGAGAAUAAUUUAAAAAUUAAAUUGAGUACAAAAUCAUUUUUUAAUUAUGAGUAAAAUAUAUUUUGAGACAAUGCAAUUUUAAGUAUUUCAAUUUAUUUAAUCAUUAUUUUAUACUUACCUAUUUAUCAUAUCAAAUAUCAUGAUUCUCUAACAUUAUUAAAAUUAAGCAAUCAAAAAAAAUUUAAUUAAGUCUCUUAAAUUUUAAUUUUUAAAAAAAAUUGAUUAAACACUAAAAAUUAAAUUAAAUAGAUUGAAUCGAAAAUCCAGAAAUUACAAAAUUCUCAUAAAUAACAAGAGUUUACAAAAAAGACUAGUAAACAGCGCUUACUUUGGUUGAUGUAUGGUAUAAUGAGUCUGCAAAGAAGACACAAAAAGUGCAGCAAUGGCACCCACAAAUGCGAAAAACGUCCAACGAGUCCUAAAACAAGUAUGAUAAGCUUGAGCUGGAUAUUGAAUCCACAUAUUCUUACAAUGAUUAUAUAUUUGCUGUUUAACCUCACUGUAAGUCGUCUGACUACGAACCACAUCAGUGUUCAUCUUCUUGAUAAGCUUAGCCACUUCUUCAUCACCCCCCAAUCUAUUGUAUAGUAUGCCAGCGCCUCUCAGUUCCUUAACAUCUUCGGCUUCAUGGAUCAAUGAAUCAAGGAAAUCCAUAUAUGAAGUGACGGUGAAAUCGUUUUUGAAAUCCGGACACAUUUCGUAAGCUAUUAAGUUCAUGGUUGAAUCAUCGAAGGUGAUCGGCGGUAACCGUAAUUUGCCGACGAAGAAGAUAUGGUUGAAACUGAUGUCGGAUAAACAACUUGUUUUGCUUGCUUUUAACCAUAUCCCGGCCUUUUUAAGCUCUUUUACGUUACGAAAGGUGUGUGAAUGGUGCGGUUUUGUUCUUGUUUGGCUGCUGCGAUUUAACGUGCACAUGAAAAAUCGAGUGCAAAACCUAAAAUGCCGCCAUGGUUUUUCUUUUUUUUUCUUUUUCGAAAAUGAGUCUUACUCGUAGUAGAUUCAAUAGGUGAAUUCGCUCUCCUUUUUGCUGCUGCCACCAUUCACUAGAGCAAAAUCUGUGUUAGUCGGGAGCCAAGCUAUAUAUAUAUAGGAUUUGGAAUUGUAAAUUUUUAUCAUAACUAAAGUUAAAGGAUUCAAAAUCGAUAGUCCAACCGGAUAAGUUGGUCCAAUCAAUUCAUCCAAUUUGAUUAAAUAAAUCAUUAAAAAUAUCAGUUCAAUCACUUGAUUUAAUUAAUUUUUUUCCAGCUCAACAUGUUUAUAUAGGUUCUCAAAUUAAAUAGUCUAAUGAUUUUAUUCGGACUGAUACCUCAAUUUAUUUCCAAUCUAAUCCUAUUUAAAUAACAUUGACUAAAAUAUAAUUUUUAUUAUUGUAUUAAUGCAAAAAUUUUACCAUUUUUAAAGAUGUUAGACUAUCAAUUUUCCAUUUUAAAAAGUUGGAUCGGAAACAUAAUUAUUUUCUAAAAAAAAAUGUACACUCAACAGCAACAAUGCAAAGGGACAGGGGUGGAUUUGAAAAAUGAAAAAUUACAUUUUAUUCUCUUUAAAAAUUAUAAAUUAUAAAAUUAUAUAAUAAUAAAAUUACGCUUUUAACUCUUCAAAAAAAAUUGUUCAACCCUUUUCCAAAAUGAUGAAAUCACGCAUGAAAAAAUUUAAGAAUCAAACCUCACUUGUCGGUCGAGUUGGUUGAACAGAAAAUUGAGUAAAAUAUUGGUCUAGAAUAAGAGAUUAGACCAAUUGAAUCGAGUGAUAAAUUGAUUUUUUUAUAUUUUUAAUAUUUUCAAAAGUUUAUAUAAUUCAACCGAAAUGAACUAAUAAACCAGAAAUGAGAGUCUAAUCGAUUCAAUGACCCACUUAAUAACAUCUAUAAACUCCAUUUAAUAACAUUUAAUAUACCUGUCCUGCUGAUGUGAUUGUAGCUCUUUCACGUAAGCUGGGGUGAUAACAGUGUCGUCGAUGAACCUUUUGAUUGCCAUCAUGAACUUUUCGCCAUUUUUUCUCGAGCUUGUAAGCAAGAACACGAAAAGGUAAUUAAUACACAAAAAAUAAUAACAAGAAUAAGAAUCAAACCAGACUUGUAGGCUAGGAAGCACAGACACGGCUCAUCCCUCCUCGUACUAGUGUCGUACGUGUGUCCGACACAGACACUCGACAGACAUACCUAGAUACGUAUGGGACAAGCUGGAAUAUGUCAAAAAAAUAUUUUUUUUAUUGCCAUAUCUUGCUAUAUCCGUGUCCUCCAUUUUUAAAAAUUAUCAUGUUGCCGUGUUUGUAUCGUGUCGUACCCGUAUUGCGUGUCUGUAUUCAUGCUUCACAGCUUGUAGGUAAGGGCUGAACAAAGAAUCGAGUAAGGCACUGGUCUAAAAUAAGGAGUUAGACCAAUUGAAUGCAGUUAUUGAAUCGAUUUUCUUUAUAUUUUUAAUAUAUCUUUAAUAUUUUUAAAAUUUUAUAUGAUUGAACCGAGUGGUUAAUCAAUAAAAAUUGAGAGUAUAAUCGAUUCAAAAAAAACCUUUUUAACAUAUAUAAACUCCAAAAAAAUAUUCUUUUUUAAAUUCCUUAACUUACCUGUCCUGCUGAUGUGAUUCUGGCUUUUUAACAGUGUUGUUGGUGAACCCUGCGGUUGCCUCCAUGAACUUUUUGUCAUCGUUCGAUCUUGUAAGCAAUUCAAGAACACGAAAAGGUAAUUGGUUUUCCAACAAGAACAGAUCCGAGUACUCAAAUGUCAGCAGUUCGUUUUUAAUAGACAAUUCGUUUGACACAUACUCAUAAUCUUGGCCAUCAACAUCAUCAUUACCGUAACGCAUAUAAACUGCUUGUAAAAUUGUGCAGCCGUCAACGAAGAACAUCCAAGCCAGAUUCUCGUUAUCGUUGGUAUAGUUAUCUAAUUCCUUUGGAUCAUAGCAUUUCUUCAAGUCAUCGAUCUCCGUCUUAAUGUUGUUGUACAAGGUUCCCCUAUCGACUCCAAUGUUUUUGACGAAAAGUGUUGUUAAUUUGCACUUGAGCUUCUUGGAUUCAUGGAGGGAGGGAUCAGCGUGGUGGAGUGGGCCGAUUGAGAUCACUUUCGGCUUGAAAUACUUCCUGAAAUCUUCGUGACGGCCAAGGGUUGAUGGGACUCUUCGAAUCAAUGGUUUGGCUUUGGGGUCGAGUUGGUUGCCGUCGAAAGCUUCGUCUAAUGACCGGAAAUUCUCUAAUUCGCCAUUGCUGAGAGUGAGCUCCGUACCCGGCAUUGGAAUGAUCGUCUCUUGGGGAUUGUUGGUGGUGGUGUUUUUGGUGAUUGUUUGAUCAGUGGAAACUGCUCCGCCGGGAACUCCGACGGCGCGGCCUCCUUUCUCCGUGGACGACAUUUUCAGGCUGAGGGGUUCCAAAAAAGGUGAUUUUGGAAACUGUUUUUCGCUGAGUGAGUGAUGUUGGAAAAAAGGUGGCAAAAUGGCUACGAUGACGACGAGUGUUUCAAUAGCUUAUAGAAUAAACGUAUGGAAAAUAUUUUGGUGUAAUAUUAAAUUUAGACUUAAUAUUUAUAUUUUUUUAAUUUGAUUUUUAUUCUUUUUAAUUAAAUUUAAUUCUCUACCUUUUGAAAGAGUCAAAUUUAAUUACCAAUCUUUUAGAAAAGAGUUGAAUUAAUGUUUUUUAACGAAAAUAGUGGUUAAAAUAUUAAUUUGUAAACAUGACAAUUCAUAUGGUAAUCCACGUGUACAUUUUUUUUUUAAUUAUUUGUUGACAUGUGACAUAUAAGAAAAGCAGUGUUAUGUUAGCACGAAGUGCACAUGGAUUGCCAGACGAGUUGUAACACCAACACUAUUAAAAAUUUAAAGUUUUAGUCAACAUUUUUGUUAAAGAAAAACAAUUUGACUCUUUUUCGAAAGGUUAAUGACUAAAUUUAGCUCAAAUAAUAAUAAUAAUAAUAAUAAUAAUAAUAAUAGAAUAGAGGCCAAUUUGACAAAAAAAUGUAAAUAUCGAGGACUAAAUUUAUCCCUAUGUCAUUCUUUUUAAGGUUAACUUAUAUGAAUACAAUAUAGGUUCAAGUACAAAUAUAUGUAUGGAUUAAUCUAGAAAGAACUGGACAAAAUCCACACAUGAUAUACGCAUAUAAUGAGAGUGAGAACCACACAUCACAAUUGAGAAUAAUAAUAUAGAACCUAAAUACUCAGAGACUUAAAACCUUCGCAUUAACCAAAAAGUUAAGAUCCCAUCAUAUGAAGAAUUUUAUAUCUACAUACUACAAUAUUUCUCGGAUUUCAUACGCUAAUACUAACUCUUCAAAUAUAUUCAUUUUUCAUUUUAUUGCUUAAAGUUAUUUUGAUUUACUUUAGUAUUUAAAUUAUCAUUCUGUUAUACGAUUUAUUCCAAACAUUUAACAUCAUCAAAAAAAUAUUAGGUGGUACGUUUAGUCAAUAAGAGCGUGACACAUUAUGUUAAAUAUUUGGGGUUAAUUGUGUGAUGAGAUGAUAAUUUAUAUAUCACAAUGAAUUUAAAAUUUAAAAUAUCAUUAUUAAAAAAAUUAAAUUUUAAAAAUUAAAUUGAGUACAAAAUCAUUUUAAAAUUAUGAGUAAAAAUAUAGUUUGAGAUAAUGCAAUUUUAAGUAUUUCAAUUUAUUUAAUCAUGAUUAUAUACUUACCUAUGUAUCAUAUCAAAUAUCAUGAUUCUCUAACAUUAUUAAAAUUAAACAAUUAAAGCAUGCAAAUAUAUAGAUAAUGUUUUUUUUUUAAAGUAUAAUGUAUAUAUUUGUAAUACUAAUGCUAAUUGUACUUUGCCAAGUCACUAGGUAUGGUAUUUGAUCUUACUUUUCUUUUUUCUCUAGUAGGGAGCCACUCUCAUGACUUUAUUAAAGGAUUUGGGUUACGUUGGCUGCUCCAACAUACUAUUCCUUUAAUGAGAUAAAUUAAUGUAGUUGAUUUUGUAUUAUUUCAAUCAUAUCGGUCCGUACAUAUUGUUUCAAUAAAAAAUCGAAACAUUCAAUUUUAUUUUCUGCACAAGAGCGACGGGAAAGGGGCAAGUAGGGAUUGGAAAAUUGCUUUUUAUUUUUCAAUGUAUAAAAUUUUAAAUUAUAAUGGUAAAAUUAUACUUUGGCCUCUAAUAAAUCACAAGAUUUUAAUUUAGUCUUUUAAAAAAUUAUAAAAAUAUUAAUUAAUACAAUGAUGAAAUUGGGUCUUAACUCUUAUCAAAAUUCAUAACUUAAUUUCAGUUCCUCAAAAAAAUUUUCUAACUUCACCCUUUUUUCUACACUAGUAAAAAUUCUAAUCUAUAUCAACUGCACUGAUCAAAACAUUGUACAUUGAUUGGUAUAUAAAAGAUAUUUAAUAUAUAUAUAUAAAUACUAUUUCUUUUACCAAUUUUAAACUUUAACUAAAUUAAAGUAGAAACUUUAAUAUUUUAAGUAGAAAACAAAAAAAAAAAAAGAGAUUUUAUUUAACAAAUAAGCCAAUGAAAAGAAAAAGUGGAAAUAUAAAUUUUAUUAAACUUUAACUUUUUAAAGUAUAUGAGUGAUAUUAAAAAUACAUAUAAAAAUAUUAUUUCUUUUACCAACUUUAAACUUUAACUAUUUUAACUAAAUUAAAGUACAAAAUAAAAAAAUAAAGAAUUUAUUUAAUAAAUAAGCCAAAGAAAAAAAGUGGAAAUAUAAAAUCUCUAAAAGCUUAAUCAACACACAUUGAGGUGUACACUUUUAUUAAGCUUUAAUUUUUUUAGUAUGAGAUGAUGUUGUUGUGGAUAUUUAAAAAUAAUAUUAUGGAUAACUUUUUAUUUAAUGUAUUGCUUGGUUCUUUUUUCUUUUAGAUUUGUUGAAUGAUGAAUGAUGAAUUUUAUUUCUGAAGUUUUUUAUGAAUAUAUACAAUUGAUUAAUAUUUUUUAUAUUUAAAGUUUAUUUAAUUUUUUAUAUAUUAAAUAUUUUAAAGUUUUAUCAAUAAUUUUGAAAAGAUGUAUAAAAACAGGCUAGUACUAAUAUGUAUUAGUUUUUGUAGAAAAAUUAUGCGCCAUUAAUGUAGUACUAACUACCUUGGAUAAAAAAUUAGUUUGCCCUUGAAUUUGGUAACUUUUCUCAACUUAGUCCUUAAACUUUUAUUUCAUCUACAUUAGUAUUAUAACUUGACAACUUUUCUUAAUUUUGAUGCAUGUGAUGACACAACACUCUGAUAUUGUGUCAUUCUUUAAAAACAAUAUUUUUAAUAAAAAUUAGGUGUUGACAUGCCAGAAAUGUCACCAUAAUGACCAAAAAUGAGAAAUAUUGUCAAAAUUCAUGACCGAUGUAGAUAGUGGGGAAGCCAGGGGGUUGAAAGGGCCCUAAAAAAAAUGAAAAAAAUUCAUUUAGGCCCUUUUAUAAUUUAUAAAAUUUUAAAUUAGUAAUGGUAAAAUUACAUUUUGCCCCUCAAAAAUGACAAAAAAAAUUGAUUUAAUCCUUUAAAAAUGAUAAAUAUAUAUACCAUUAAAAUGGUGAAAUUACAUUGUUAUUAUCGUAAAAAUAUACAACUUAAUUUCAAAGAUUCUUUAAUUCGCCAUUUCUGAGAGUGAAGUCCGUACCCGGCAUUGGAAUGAUCAUCUCUAGGAGAUUGGUGUUGGUGGUGAUUGUUUGAUCAGUGGAAACUACUCCGCCGGGAGAUCCGACGGCGCCGCCUCCUUCCUCCGUGGAUGACAUUUUCAGGCUGAGCAACAAGGUGAUUUUGAAAACUGUUUUUGGCUGAGUGAGUGAUGUUGGAAAAAAGGUGGCAAAAUGGCUACGAUGACGACAAAUGUUUCUAUAGCUUAUAUUAUAGAAAAUACUUUCGGUGUAAUAUCAAAUUUAUCCUUUAAUAUUUAUAUUUUUUUCCAAUUUGAUUCUUAUUAUCUCUAGUUAAAUUUAGUUCUCUACGAGUCAAAUUUGAUUACCAAUCUUUUAGAAAAGAGUCAAAUUAAUAUUUUUUAACUAAAAUAGUGACUAAAAUGUUAAAUUUCUAAAAACGACAACUCACAUAGCAAUCUACAUGUACAUGUUUUUAUAUUUUUUAUUAACGUGACAUAUAAGAAAAGCAAUAUUAUGUUAGCAUCAAGUGCACAUGAAUUGCCACACAUUUAAGAUGUUAGCUUAUAGUGUCAAUUAGGCAACGCAUUUAAGAUGUGUAACAAAAUUGUUCUUUUUUUUGUAAGUUAAUCCUUUUUCUAAAUAUAAAAAAUAUUUUACUAAAUUAAUCCAUUUAAUGGUAAAUUAAUUAAUUUAAUCAAAUCCAUAUAAUAUAAAGAUCUCUCAAAUAUAUCCUCAUAAAAUUACUUUCUUUGAAAUACAGACGGAAUAAACUAGACUUAUAGUUAUAUAUAUAAUAUAUAUAAUUUUAUAAUACUAAUGAGAAUUGAACUUUGCCAAGACAUUAAGUUUGGUAUUUGAUCUUACUCUACUUUUUCUCUAGUAGGAGCCACCCUCACGACUUUACCAAAGGAUUUAGUUCCAUUGGCCGCUCUUUUUAAUAUUAAGGAUUCAGUUUUUUGAAGAAAAAUGGUGCAUCCAUUAGUGUAGUACUAACUAAUUUUUAAUAAAAAUUUGGUGUUAAUAUGGGAGAAAUGUCACCAUAAUGACCAAAAAUGAGAAAAAUUACCAAAAUUCAUGAUUAAUGUGGACAAUAGGGAAGCCAGGGGCUGGCAAGAUCCCAAAAAUGACAAAAUUUUUAUUUAGGCUCUUUUAUAAUUUAUAAAACUUUAAAUUAAUAAUGAUAAAUUUAUAUUUUGUCUCUAAAAAUGAUAAAAAUUGAUUUAAUAAUUUAAAAAAUAGAAAGAUAUAGACUAUUAAAUGGUAAAAUUAUAUUUUUAUUAUUGUAAAAAUAUACAAUUUAAUUCCACCUAAAAAAAAUAUUUUUUGCCUUGACCCCUAAAUAUGGACAAAAAAAAGAAAGUCUACAGAUCAAAUUGAAAAAAGUUACCAAAUUUAAGGAUUAAAUGUUGUCUUAUUAUUUUAUUUAACUAAAAUUGUAUCAUAUACACCAAAGUCUCGUAAUUGAAUAAUAAAAAUUCAAUAUUUUUAAAGUAAAUCUUGAAUUCAAAUACUAUGAAUAGAGAAAAAUAUUAUAAAUUAACUAAUUCAAUAUUAUGAAUUGAGUAAUAAAAAUCGAGUGCAAAACCUACGAUGCCACCAUGGUUUUAGUUUAGUCAUUUAAAAAAUUAUAAAUAUAUUAACUAAUACAAUGAUGAAAUUGGGUCUUAACUCUUAUCAAAAUUUAUAACUUAAUUUCGAUUCCUCAAAUGAAUUUUUCGACUUCACCCUUAUUUCUGCAUUAGUAAAAAUUCUAAUCUAUAUCAAUUGCACUUAUCAAAAUAUUGUACAUUGACUGGUAUAUAAAAGAUAUUUAUAUAUAUAUAUAUAUAGGUUGUAAAUUUUCUUGGCUGGAAGCUCACUGGAAGCCAAAAUCAAAACAAACUUUUGAUGGUUUAAUUGUUUUUUAGCCCUUCAAUUUCAGGUGCUAUGAGAAAUGGAUUACAACCUUAUCUUGUCAUUGUCCCAAAAUCAAAACAAGCAACUCUUGGUUGAAAGUUGAAACCAAGGGCCCCCAAGUCAAAAUUGUUUUAGGAUAAGUCCAAAAUGAAUAAUGAAUUUGAAGGUUCAAAAUAAAAUUUUAUUAAUAUAUUAAUUUAUAAUUUCAUAAAUUUUAAAAGGAUUAAAUGAUAAAUUUACUAAUUUAAGAAGACAAUAGGGAUGGUCAAAUCUAAUUGAACCUAUCUGCGAUCGGAUCGGGAUGGAUUUUUUUAAUUUAAAAAAUUAAAUAGAUUUAUUCGAGAGUUACAAAAUUCUGAUAAAUAACAAGAGUUUACAAAAAGUACACUUACUUUGGUUGAUGUAUGGUCUAAUAAGCCUGCAAGCAGCAAUGGCACCCACAAAUGCGAAAAACGUCCAACGAGUCCUAAAAAAAGGACGGUAAACUUGAGCUGGAUAUCUAAUCCACAUAUUGUUAUGAUGAUCAUGUAUUUGCAGUUUAACAUGCCUGUAAAUCAUCGGGCUAGGAACCUAAUCAAUAUUCAUCUUCUUGAUAAGCUUAGCCACUUCUUUAUCACUCCCAAAUCUAUUGUAUAGUAUGCCGGCGUCUCUCAGUUCCUUAACAUCUUCGGCUUCAUCGAUCAAUGAAUCAAGGAAACCCAUAUAUGAAGUGACGGCGAAAUUGUUGUGGAAAUCUGGACACAUUUCGUAAGCUAUUAAGUUCAUGGUUGAAUCAUCGACGGUGAUCGGCGGUAACCGUAAUUUCCGGACGAAGAAGUAGCGACGUUUGAAACUGAUGUCGGUUAAACAACUUGUUUCACUUGCUUCUAACCAUAUCCCGGCGCUUUUAAGCUCUUUUACGUUACCAAAAGGGUGUGAAUGGUGCCGUUUUGUUCUUGUAUGGCCACUGCGAUUUGUGAAGGAUAUGAAAACCUACAAUCACCUGGUUUUUCUUUAUUGAAAAGGAGUCUUACUCGUAGUAGAUGCAAUAAGUGAAUUCCCUCUCCUUGCUGCGGCCACCAUUCACUAGUGCAAAAUAUGUGUUAGUCGGGAGCCAGCUAAAAUUAAGGUUUUCAAUGGUUGAAUCAAAUCAUUAUUAUUUUAAUAAAAAAUAUUUAAAUUAUUAAAUUAUAAAUUUAUAUACAAUAAAACUAUACUUUGACUCCUCAAGAUGAAUAAAAAAUUGUUCAAACACUUUUUAAAAAUAAUAAAAUCAUAAAUUAAUACAUAAAAAAAAUCUAAGAAUCAAACCAUACUUGUCGAUCGGCCUAAUUAGACAGAGGAUCGAGCAAGGUACUAAUCCAGAAUAAUAAGUUUAAUCCAUUGAAUUCAAUCAUCAAAUCGAUUUUUUUUUAUAUUUUUAAUAUACCUUUAAUAUUUUUUAAUAUUUUAUAUAAUUGAAUUGAAUCAACUAAUCAACCGAAAAUGAGACUCUAAUCGAUUCUAUCACCUAUAUAUGUAGUUGUAAAAUCCUUUUAACAUUUAUAAAUGAUUCUUUUAUAAAUUCCUUAAAUUACCUGUCCUGCUGAUGUGAUUGUGGCUCUUUAACAGUACCGUCGAUGAACCUUAUGACUGCCUCCAUGAAUUUUGUGCCAUCGUUCGAUCUUGUAAGCAAUUCAAGAACACGAAAAGGUAAUUGGUUUUCCAACAAGAACAGAACCGAGUACACAAAUGUUAGCAAUUCGUUUUUAAUAAAAAUUCGUUCGACGUACGACAACAAUCUUGGCCGUAAAGCAUAUAAACUGCUUGUAAAAUUGCGCAGCCGUCAACGAAGAACAUCCAAGCCAGUUUCACGUUAUCGUUGCUACACUUCUUUAAUCCCUUUGGAUCAUAGCAUUUCUUCAAGCCAUCGAUCUCUGUCUUCAUGUUGUUGUACAAGGUUUCCUUAUCGACGCCAAUUUUUUUGACGAAAAGUGCUGCUAAUUUGAGCUUGAGCUUCUUGGAUUUAUGGAGGGUGGAAUCAUUGUGGUGGAGUGGGCCGAUUGAGAUCACUUUCGGCUUGAAAUACUUCCUGAAAUCUUCGUGACGUCCAAGGGAUGAUGGGACUCUUUGUAUCAAUGGUUUGGCAUGGAGGUCGAGUUCGUCGCCGUCGAAAGCUACGUCUAAUGACCGGAGAUUCCGUAAUUCGCUAUUGCUGCGAGUGAAGUUCUCUAGGGGAUUGUUGUUGUUGUCGAUGAUUGCUUGAUCAGUGGAAACUGCUCCCACGGCGCCGCCUCCUUCCUCCGUGGAGGACAUUUUCAGGCUGAGCGGUUGGAGGUAAUAAACAAGGUGAUUUUGUAAACUGUUUUAGGCUGAGUGAGUGAUGUUGGAGAAAAGGUGGCAACAUGGCUACGAUGAUGACAAAUAUUUUAUAGCUUACAUAAUAAACAUAUAUGGGAAAUACUUAAGGCGUUAGUGUUUAUAUUUUUACUAAUAUAAUUUUAAUUUUUUAAUUAAAUUUAAUUCUCUUUUGAAAGAGUUAAUGAUAAAAAAGAAAAGUUAAAUUAAUGCUUUUUAACAAAAAUAGUGACAAAUAUUAAAAUUGAGAACAACAUUAUAGAACCUAAAUACUCAACACAACCCAAAACUUUCGCCUUAACCAAGAAAUUAAAAUCCUAUCUGAGGGAGAAUUUUAUAUCUGUAGCACUUCCUAAAUUUCAUUAGCUUAAUAAUAGCUAUUCAAAUAUAUUUUUUUCAUUUUAUUACUUAAAAAUUAUUAUUACUUACUUAAAUAUUUAAAUUAUCAUUAUAUUACAUGAUUUACUCCAAAUAUUUACAUAUAGUAAUUGCGUUUGUAAUUCUACCUAACUCAUGAAAAAUCUCAAAUUUGCAACAUGUUAUUCACAUGCCAACCAAAUCUACAAUUUCACCUUGUAAACUGUUUUUGGCCGAUUUGAGUGAUGUUGGAAAAAAAGUGGCAAAUUUCAUCUCUUAUUUUAUUUUGUGUGGUACUUGUAGAUCAGAGUGUUGAUUAUAUCACGAGUAUUCUGUGACAGAACACCUACGUGGAGGACAACGAUUCGACACUUACUGUCAUAUUUGUGUCGCCUGGAAUUUAAUUCUCAAUGGGCAGUUUUUUUUAUAAAAUAACUUGAAAUUUUUUAUUAAUUAUAAAAAUGAUAUUUUGUUUAUGUAAACAAUAAAUAGUAAAAAUGAAUGGAUUUAAAGAGAUUGGCGUGACCUUUUUAUCACGUUAACUAAUCAUUAACUAUUAAAAUUAAAAUUUUAUUUUUUUAAUGAACCUAUUUCGCGUCACAUGUGGUAGAAAAUAAUCUAAGAAAGGCAUGCACUAAUCAAUUGUUUUAAGUAUUAAUAUUUACGGAUAAAGUAAUAUUUAAUUAUCUGAAUAUUUUAUAUUAGGGACCAAGUUAUAAAAAGUUUAGAAGUUGAAGUUGAAUUAUGUAUUUUUAUACAAGUUAAAAUACAAUUUAAUCAUAUUAGUUUGUAAUUUUACAUAUUUUAAAGGGAUUAGAUUAAAAUUUUAUCAUUUUGAAGGCUGAGAUGCAAUUUUACUUUAUGUAUUAACAUGUGGAAUUAUAAUUUUUAAAGGCACCCAAAACAUAAAUUUUUCCUAGAAAAAUUACUCAAUAAGCUAUGGAAUUAAUUUUUCCUUGGCUACAUGUAACAACAUUUCUGUUAAAUAAAAGCAACUUUAAUCUGCACCAAAGGGAAGCAACAGAGAUCUAUUGUGACAACUAAUCUACGGUUGCAAUUGUAAAGAAUCCAGUGUUCUAUAGGAAGACAAAACUCUUCAAGAUUAAGUUCCAUUUUGUUAGGGAGAUGGAGCAAGCUCGAGAAGUAGAGCUGAUUCAUUGCAAUUCGAAAGAACAAUUGGCAAACAUCUUGACAAAGCCACUUAGUGUGUCAAGGUUCGACAAAUUAAGACAGCAAAUGGGAGUUUGCAGCAUGGAAGCCAAGGAGGAGUGUUGAAGUUGGCCUCCAUACAGCUCAUGCAGCAAGGAGCAGCAUAUGCAGUCGAGCCAAGCUUGCAGCAGCUGAAGCACGAUGCUACUGUUAAGUUUCAUUUUCAUUUUGUUACUCUAAUGAUCAUUUUUGAAUCAAAUUAGAUUUGAACUUAGUUGGUAACUCCUUCUUGAUGUAAUUAGGUGUUGAUUGACUGAAAAUUCAGCAAAGCAACAUGUACAAGUUAAUUUAGCAAGUUUCAAUGUAAUUUAGUGGUGUUAGGCAGUUGCUUAGGUGAAAACUUGUUUGUAUUGACCAGCUUGUCUGGUAUAUGUAAUGGCUUAAUGCCUUUGUUCAUGUUAGUUAAUGAAAAUCAAUUAGUUUUCAUCCAGCUACUCUCCAUUUUUCUUUGCUUUCAAUUCGGUUAUGUUCUUAAGCAAAUUUCUGCUUUGUUUCUUCUCUAAGUCACGAGUCUUGCUGUUCAAGUCAUAGCUGAACUAGCUUGCUUGUUGUUCAUAAUACCAACAACCUGCUCUCGGCUGGGUUGAUAACAGUAUCAUCGAUGAACCUCCGGAUUGCAUUCAUGAACAUUUUGCCAUCACCCAAGCUUGUAAGCAAUUCAAGAACACGAAAAGGUAAUAGGUUUUCCAACAAGAACAGAUCCGAGUACAGAAAUGUCAGCAAAUCUUUUUUAGUUAACAAAUUACCAUCAUCAUCAUCAUUAUCAUAACGCAUGUAAACUGCUUGUAAAACUGCGCAGCCGUCAACGAUGAACAUCCAAGCCAGUUCCUCGUUAUCGUCUCUAUACUUCUCUAAUUCCUGUGGAUCAUAGCAUUCCUUCAAGCCAUCCAUCUCUUUCUUAAUUUUGCUGUACAAGGAUUUCUUAUCGACGCCAAUUUUUUUGACGAAAUGUGCUGCUAAUUUGAGCUUGAGCCCCUUGGAUUCACGGAGGGUGAGAUCAUCGUGGUGGAGUGGGCCGAUUGAGAUCACUUUUGGCUUGAAAUACUUCUUGAAAUCUUCGUUACGGAGAAGGGUUGAUGGGACUUUUCAUAUUAAUGGUUUGUAUCUGAGGGUGGGUUGGCCGCCGCCGAAAGCUUUGUCUAAUGACUGGAGCUUCGCUACUUCGCCAUCGCUGAGAGGGACGUCCGUGAACCGCAAAUCAAUUCCCACGUAAUCGUUGUUGGUGUUGUUGUCGAUGAUUGUUUGAUCAGUGGAAACUGCUCCGGCGGCGCCGCCUCCUUCCUCCGUGGACGACAUUUUCAGGCUGACCGGCUCGAAGUAAUUAACAAGGUGAUUUUGAAAACUGGUUUUGGCUGAUUGAGUGAUGUUGGAAAAAAGUGGCAAAAUGGCUACGAUAAUGACAAAUGUUUCUAUAGCUUACAUAAAGAGGCGAAUAUAGGGAAAUGUAAAAUUGUUAUUUAGGCCCUUAACUUUUUUAAAAUUUCAAAUUAGUAAAGGUAAAAUUAUACUUUGGCCUCAUAAAAUUAUAAAAAUUCAAUUUAAUCUUUUAAAAAUUAUAAAGAUAUAGACUACAAAAAAUUAAAAUUUCAUUCGAUCCACCCUAAAAAAUUAUUCGGGCUUUGCCACUGCUUACAUAAUAAACAUAUGGAAAAUACUUUUGGUGUAAUUCAAAUUUACCCCUUAUUAUAGUCAAUUUAAUUUUCAUUUUUUAAAUUUAAUUUUCUAUCUUUUGGAAGAGUCGAAUUUAAUUAUCAAUUUAAAUUAAUGUUUUUUAACGAAAAUAGUGACUAAAAUAUUAAAAUGUUAAACAUGACAACUCAAACAGCAAUCCACAUCUAUAUUUUUAUUUUUAUUUUUUAUUUUUAAAUUAUUUAUUGAUGUGACAUAUAAUAAAAGUAUUGUUAUGUUAGCAUGAAGUACGCAUGAAUUGCCACACUAGUUGUGACACCAAUAUCGUUAAAAAAUUAAUAUUUCAAUUAGCAUAUCUGUUAAAGAAAACCAAAUUGACUCUUUUUUAAGAGGUUAAUGGCUAAAUUUAGCACAAAUGAAAAAAAAAUAAAGGCCAAUUUGAUAAUAAAAAAAAAGGUAAAUGUCAAAAGUUAAGUUUAUCAUUUAUACAAGUAUAAAUAUAUGUCUGGAUUAAUCUAGAAAGAACCAGACCAACUCUACACGUGAUAUACAAAUGUGACGAGAGUGAAAUCUACACAUCACAAUUGAGAAUAAUAUUAUAGAAAUACUCAAACCUUCCCCUUAACCAAGAAGGUAAGACGCUAUGGAUAAUUUUAUAUCUACAACACUUCAUGAAUUUUGUUGCGGAAAGGAUCGAUUCGAGAACUCCGAUAUGACUACAAGUAAAUUGACCGAAACGAAAAAUAAAGUGAACACAAGGAUUUACGUGGUUCGGCUUUAAUGCCUACGUCCACGGGCAGAGGCGAAAAGAAAUUUCACUAUAACAAGAUGAAGAUUACAAGUGUUUUACACUCAAGACACAACCCGAGAACCUCACAACUCUCAACCCCUAUAGAAAACCCGAAAGCUAAAAUCCUAGCUUUCAAAGAACAAGCUUUGCUCUCUCUUUGUUUGGGAUGAUCAAUAUGGCUAAUGAACCUCUCUAUUUAUAAGAGAGUUCAAGGACAUAAUUGUCCAAAACUUUGGCAAAGAUUUGUGGUUGAAAAUGGACACCAACAACCAUCCACUAAUCCACUACCACCAACAACCCACUACCAACAACAACAAUCCACUACCAAUUUUAAGCCAUUUCUUAACAAAUCUCCACCUUGGCUUGAAAUUUACCAAGCUGAACAUCAUAGUGAAUUCCUCGAACUGGAUCACCUCUUCCAAACGCCUCUCUGGCGCUAAUCAAUCCUGAAUACCUAUCAAGUCCAAGCAAUGCUUGAACUUAUAUGCAGGGAUCACCUUAGUUAACAUAUCUGCAGGAUUCUUCUCGGUAGCAACCUUGCUGAUAACAAUGUCACCUUGCGUAACAUGUUCCCGAACAAAAUGAUAUCUGACAUCAAUGUGUUUGGUCCGUUCAUGAAACAUCUGAUUUUUAGUCAGAUGUAUGGCACUCUGGCUAUCGCAAAAUACAACAGUGAAAUCCUGUUGUAAACCCAAACUGCUUACUAGACCUUUCAUCCACAAUGCUUCUUUCACUGCUUCUGCUAACGCCAUAUAUUCCGCCUCAGUCGUAGAUAAGGCUACGGUAGACUGUAACACAGCUUUCCAACUAAUGGCUCCUCCAGAAUAAGUGAAAACAUAACCCGUCAGAGAUCUUCUUUUGUCCAGAUCUCCAGCAUAAUCAGAGUCCACAUAGCCCGUGACACUGCUAGUGCAGUCACUCUGAUCAUAUACCAAGCAUAAAUCUGCAGAACCUCUCAAGUACCUGAGAAUCCAUUUCACGGCCUGCCAGUGUUCCUUGCCAGGACAACUCAUGUAUCUGCUGACCACACUAACUGCAUGUGAAAUGUCUGGACGAGUGCAAACCAUUGCAUACAUCACGCUUCCAACUGCACUCGAGUAUGGAAUGUGAGACAUUUGCUGCUUUUCUUCAUCAGAUUGUGGUGACAACUCUGCAGAGAGUUUGAAAUGUGGUGCCAACGGAGUACUCACAGUUUUCGCUUUAUCCAUGCCGAAGCGUUGAAGAACCUUUUCAAUGUAGUUCUUCUGCGACACACGAAGCUUGCCCGCCUUGCGAUCUCUGUGAAUAUCCAUGCCCAAAAUUUUCUUGGCAGCACCCAGAUCCUUCAUCUCGAACUCACCACUCAACUGCGACUUUAACUUGUUGAUUUCCGACAUGUUUUUGGAAGCAAUUAACAUGUCAUCAACAUACAGCAACAAAUAAAUGUGCGAACCAUCUGAGAGCUUCCGAUGAUAGACACAAGCAUCAUAGUCACAUCUUGUGUAACCAUGCUGAAUCAUGAAGCUAUCAAACCGCUUGUACCACUGCCUUGGGGAUUGUUUCAAUCCAUAUAAAGACUUCUUUAAUAGACAGACAUGGUCUUCUUUACCAGGAACUGUAAAACCCUCUGGUUGACGCAUGUAGAUUGUUUCCUCGAGCUCACCAUGCAAGAACGCCGUUUUUACGUCAAGCUGCUCAAGUUCUAGAUCAGACUUGGCCACCAUGGCAAGUAAUACACGAAUGGAAGAAUGCUUUACGACUGGGGAGAAAACUUCAUUGUAGUCAAUCCCCUCUUUCUGAGUGAAGCCUUUAGCAACCAAUCGUGCCUUGAAUCUAGUUGCUUCAACCCCUAGGAUGCCUUCCUUUUUCUUGAAGACCCAUUUGCAACCAACUAUCUUCUGGUUACUUGGCGGCUUAACCAACUCCCAAGUAUGGUUCUUGUGAAGAGAUUCUAUCUCCUCACUCAUAGCAAUUGCCCACUGUGCCGACUCAUCACACGUGACAGCCUCAUUAUAACUGGAAGGUUCUAUACCAAUGGACUCCGCCACACUGAGCGCGAAAGACACCAGAUUAGCGUAACGCGGAUUUGGUUUGAUUUGUCUCUUCGUUCUUCCAGUGGCAAUGCUAUAUGGUUUUUCUUGAGGUGACUCAUCUUCAUCGGAAUCUUGCACCUCAACUUGAUCAUCCUGGACUGAAGUACCUUCCGUAGGAAUUGGAGCGUCCACCUGACACUCCACCUGCUUCUCAACACCGUGAUCUCCCAUUCUAUCUGACUCCUCCUUUUCCCGGGAAUUUGUGGUGGAUCGAAGCAUGGAUGACUCAUCAAAAGUCACAUCUCUGCUGAUGAUGAACUUGGACGAAACCGGAUCAGGACACCACAACCUGUAUCCUUUCACCCCUUGGCCGUAUCCAAGAAAUAUGCAUUUCUUCGCCCUCGGUUUGAGUUUUCCCUCAUUUACAUGAGCAUACGCAGGGCAGCCAAACACUCUUAAACCAGAGUAAUCAGCAGGAGAACCAGACCAUACUUCCUCAGGAGUCUUCAGCUCAAUAGCUGUUGACGGAGAUCUGUUAACCAAAUAACAAGCAGUAUUAACAGCUUCAGCCCAAAAUUCUUCACCGAGCCCAGCAUUUGAUCGCAUGCAACGAGCUCGCUCCAAGAGAGUUCUAUUCAUGCGUUCUGCAACUCCAUUUUGUUGUGGUGUUCGACGAACAGUGCGGUGUCUCACUAUUCCUUCAUUUUUGCAGAACUCAUUGAAUUCACCUGAGCAAAACUCCAAGCCAUUAUCCGUCCGGAAUCGCUUGAUCUUCUUUCCUGUUUGAUUUUCGAUCAAAGCUUUAAAUUGCUUGAAGUUGAUGAGAACCUCAUACUUGCUCUUCAGAAAAUACACCCAAACCUUUCUCGAGUAAUCAUCGAUAAAGGUAAGCAGAUAUCUGUAACCACCUUUAGAAAUUGUCGGAGAAGGCCCCCAAAGGUCAGAAUGGAAGUAAUCCACUGUGCCUUUUGUCUUGUGAAUCCCAGUGCUGAACUUUACCCGAGUCUGCUUACCGAAGACGCAGUGCUCACAGAAAUUCAACUUUCCUGUACACUGCCCAGACAAUAAUCCUCGUUUGCUUAGCACCGAUAAGCCUCUCUCGCUCAUAUGCCCGAGCCGCAUAUGCCAUAACUUCGUGGUGUCAGAAUCUAGAUCAUCUGAUGAUGACACUCCCGCAACACCUGUAACCGAGGAACCAUCGAGGAAGUAAAGGCCCCGCUCCAAAUUACCACGUAUCACAGUCAAAGCACCCGAGAAUACCUUGAGAACUCCACCUUCAGCAGAGUACCGAAAGCCUUUCUUGUCCAACGUACUCAAAGAGAUCAAAUUUUUCUUCAUUUCUGGAAUGUGCCGAACAUCAGUUAGAGUUCUAACAAUACCGUCAAACAUCUUUAUACGAACUGUGCCAAUCCCCAUGACUUGACAUGCGUGGUCAUUUCCCAUUAGUACUGAACCAGAAUGCUUCUCGUAUGUUGAGAAUGCAUCUUUCGAAGUACUUAUAUGAAAUGUAGCUCCCGUAUCAAGAAUCCAUCUCCCACCAGCGUAAGAGUCGGAUACUGCAAGAACGAUCUCGGCACCACUUGAAGAAUCUGCAUCAGCUACAUUCGCACGAUCAUUUUGUUGCUCCUGUGAUUCUGAUUUCUCCUUCCUUUUCGGACAAUCUACCUUCAUGUGCCCGUACUUCUUACAGUAGUAGCACUGUAUUCUCUUCUUGGACUGCGAUCUAGGAUGGCUUUUACUUGAACUUCCACCCUUUGCCUUGGAUCUUCCUCGAGCAACCAAGCCUUCGCCUUCAUUGUUUUCGACCACCUUACCAGUGAUUUUCUUCCUCAACUCACUGGAACUUAAGGCAUUUUUCACCUCCUCUAGAGUCAGGUCAUCACGACCGUACAUCAUUGUAUCAACAAAAUUCUCAUACGAGGGAGGCAAAGAACACAAAACAAUUAUUGCUUGGUCCUCAUCAUCGAUUUUGUUAUCGAUAUUAUUCAAAUCCAUGAUAAUGGAAUUGAAUUUAUCCAGGUGCUGGGAAACAGGUGUACCUUCCUCCAUCUUCAGGGCAUAGAGUCUUUGCUUGAGGUAGAGCCGGUUCGUCAAUGACUUCGUCAUGUACUUGCUCUCUAACCGGAGCCACAAACCGGACGCGGUUUUCUCAUCCGCUACUUCUCGUAGCACUUCAUCUCCUAGACAUAGCAGAAUAGCACUAUGUGCUCUUUCUAGCAUGUCAUCCUUUUGCUCUUCCGAAAGCGUGCUUGGUAAUUUAUCUUUACCAGACAAUGCUUUUAGCAAUCCUUGUUGAACCAGCACUGCCCGCAUCUUGAUGCGCCAUAAACUGAAACUAUUUUUCCCGGUAAAUUUCUCGACAUCAUACUUAGUCGAUGAAACACUUGUAGCCAUAAUUUGGAACCUUUGAAUGAAUGAUAAUAUUUUCUUCCUGAUGUGAAAGAUCAGACAAAGCUGCAGUCACAGGGCAAUUCAGAAAAUAUUAUCACUCCUUCAACUACGCUCUGAUACCAAUUUGUUGCGGAAAGGAUCGAUUCGAGAACUCCGAUAUGACUACAAGUAAAUUGACCGAAACGAAAAAUAAAGUGAACACAAGGAUUUACGUGGUUCGGCUUUAAUGCCUACGUCCACGGGCAGAGGCGAAAAGAAAUUUCACUAUAACAAGAUGAAGAUUACAAGUGUUUUACACUCAAGACACAACCCGAGAACCUCACAACUCUCAACCCCUAUAGAAAACCCGAAAGCUAAAAUCCUAGCUUUCAAAGAACAAGCUUUGCUCUCUCUUUGUUUGGGAUGAUCAAUAUGGCUAAUGAACCUCUCUAUUUAUAAGAGAGUUCAAGGACAUAAUUGUCCAAAACUUUGGCAAAGAUUUGUGGUUGAAAAUGGACACCAACAACCAUCCACUAAUCCACUACCACCAACAACCCACUACCAACAACAACAAUCCACUACCAAUUUUAAGCCAUUUCUUAACAAAUUUCAUAUGCUUAAUAAUAGUUUACAAAAAGACUAGUAAAGAACACUUACUUUGGUUGAUGUAUGGUAUAAUAAGUCUGCAAAGCACUAAGAAGAAGUGCAGCAAUGGCACCCAAAAAUGCCAAAAACGUCCAAGGACUCCUAAAAUAAGUAUGAUAACCUUGAGCUGCAUGAUUAAUCCACAUAUUCUUACAAUGAUUAUGUAUUUUCUCUUUAACCCCACUGUAAAUCAUCGGACUAGGAACCAAAUCAGUGUUCAUCUUAUUGAAAAGCUUAGCCACCUCUUCAUCACUCCCCAAUCUAUUGUACAGUAUGCCGGCGUCUCUCAGGUCUUUAACAUCUUCGGCUUCAUCGAUCAAUAAAUCAAGGAAACACAUAUAAGAAGUGACGGUGAAAUCGUUGUCGAAAUCCGGACACAUUUCGUAAGCUAUUAAGUUUAUGGUUGAAUCAUCAACCGUGAUCGGCGGUAACCGUAAUUUUCCGGAGAAGAAGAUAUGGUUGAAACUGAUGUCGGUUAAACAACUUGUUUCGCUUGCUUUUAACGUUAUCCCGGCCUUUUUAAGCUCUUUUACGGUACCAAUGGUGCGUGAAUGGUACCGUUUUGUUGUUUUUGUUCUUGCUGCUGCUUCGCCAAAUCCGCGUUGAGCGAAUUCCCAAAGAAAACACCAGCACCGUAUUCGCACUUUUCUGAGAAGGAGUCUUUGUCGUAGUAGAUGCAAUAAGUGAAUUCGCUCUCCUUCUUUUUGCUGCUUCCACCACCAUUCCCUACACCAAAAUCUGUGUUAGUCGGAAGCCAAGCUAUAAUUUCUCUUUUCUUUUUUUUUUCUUUUUGUUGUUGGAUUUGGAAUUGUUAAUUUAUAUGAAGCUAAAAUUAAGAUUUUCAAAAUAGAUAACCCAACGAUUAAGUUAUUCAAUUUAUUUAAUUUAAUUGAAUAAAUUAAUGGAAUUGUUAAUUUACCGAUUUACUCCUUUAUUUGUCAUUUUUUGUAUCAUUUUUUUACAUUUUUUUAACUAUUAAUAGAAGAAAAUAAAAAGAGAAAAAGAAAAAGGAAAACUCACCGGGGCGUGGCUUCGAACGCCCAUUCUGGCGCUUCGUCGGCCGUCGGAUGCGGCGGCGUUGCGGCGAGCAGGGAGGCGGCGCAACAUGGGGCCUUAAAACCCCAAGAAUCAGAUUUUUAGAGAGAAAAAAAGGAGCUUUUUAGUUUUUUUUUAAAUAGUGGCUGAUAAGGGAUUUUUGGGGAAAAAAGGGGUUUAAAUACCUCAAACAAAAUGGCGCCGAUUAGUUAUUAGGGUCAAGAGCCAAAAUGACGCCAUUUUGGCCCUGACCCGCGCGGUGACCCGACCCUGGGGAAGGAUCCGCAUGUUUUCUUCAAAUGGGAUAUUUGCGUGCGCAGUCCCUACUAUUUUGCAGCGCAUUACAAUCUGGUCCUAUUUCGUUAUUUUCUUUUAUUUUGAUUUAGCCCUAAAAUUUUACUUUUGUUUCACUUUGGUCCACUGCAGCGUUGCGUUUUGGGGUCCUUGGUUUAUUUACCAUUUUGGUCCCCCCUCUUUCGGCGCGUGUCACAAUCUAGUCCUUUUUGUUUUUUUUCAUUUCGAAUUUGCCCAGUAUAUUAGUUUUUACUUCGAUUUAGUCCCUCUUUUAGUACUUUUAUUUUAUUUUUAUUUUUUCAUUAUUUUAAUGUUAUUAUCUUUUGUUACUAUUAUUAUUAUUAUUAUUAUUAUUAUGAUUAUUAUUAGUCCCUCAUUUAUAUAUAUAUUUAUAAUUUCCAAUUUUUCUACAUAUAUACAUGUGCGUGCAUACAUUUUCAUAUAUAUGUAUUUAUAAUUUAUCUAUUUAUAUAAAUAUACAUACUUAUAUAUAUAUAUAUAUUUUAUAAUCUAUAAUUUAUAUAUAUAUAUUUUAUAUACCUAUACGCGUAUAUUCACGCUUACAUAAAACUUUUAUAUUUAAUAAUUUUAAAUAUAUAUAUAUAUAUAUAUCCUUCAUAUUUUCAUAACUUACACAUAUUUUCUGUUUAUUAUAUACAUAUUUUUAUGUUUCACAUUUAUUUUUUAUAUUUUAGGUACAUAUAAUAUAUAUUCAUAUAUUUUAAUUCAUAUACACAUAUAUGUGUACAUAUAUAUAUAUACCCUUUUUACAUAUACAUGUUUUUUUUUUAAUUUUAAUUUUAAUUUUUAUAAGUAUAUAUAUUUAUAUGUAAGUACUUAUAUAUUUUGUAUAUUUUAAUUUGCAUAAACAUAUAUACACAUAUUUUCAAAAUAUUUUUAAACACAUACAUAAAUUAACAUAUUUAUUUGUAUAUAUAUAUGUAUAUUUUUAUUAUUUUUUAGACUUUAAUAUGUACAUACAUAUGUAUAUAGAUAAUUUUGUAACUUAUUUAUAUUUGUAUGUGUAUAUAUAUAAUUAUAUUUUUCUUAUAUAUUUUUAAUUAGCAUACAUAUCUAUAUGUAUUUUAUUUUCAUAAAUAUAUGUAUAUAUACUUACAUGUUCUUUAUAUCCUCAAAUAUGUAUGUUUUCUAUACUUUAUGAUUUAUGUUUAUACCUAUAUAUAUAUGUAUUUUAAUUUAGGUGCAUAUGCAUUUCUUUACAUAUAUAUUUUUUAAGUUUUAUAAUUCAUACAUGUACAUAUAUAUAUUUUUUAUCUAGCUUAAAACCAUUUAUAUAUAUCUAUAUGCAUUUUUAUAAAUACAUGUAUAUAAAAACAUACUUUUAUACAUCUUUUAUAAUAUAUAUAUACUGCAUUUGUGUAUGUAUUUGCUUGUUUUCAUGUUUAUUUACAAUAAUUUUAGAAUGUAUUCAUAUAUAUAUAUAUAUAUAUAUAUAUAUAUAUAUAUCUUUUUACAUUUACAUCAUCUUAUUUAUUUCUUUUGGUUUAUUUCUGUAUUUAUAUUCAUAUUAUUUACAAUGAAUGCUUUAAUAUCUUUGUUUGUAUGUUUACCAUGGUGUAUUAUAUUAGUUUGUCUUAUUAUUUAUUUCAUAGCCUUUGUUUUCAUUAUUUCACUUGCAUUAUCAUCUUUAUCAUUAUUUUUUUACAUCCAUUUUCACUAGGAUUUAUCAAAAAUGGAAAAUUUUAAAAUAAAAGUAACAUUCGGCAUUUGAGAUCUUCGAGAGAAUCGAGUUUUUUUUGUUGAAUCUAAAUAAUCGAAGUUACUCCUUUUUUGAAAGACAUAAAACUUAUUAUCGAGAAUUCAAUGCGUCGUGUCCUGAUGUAUUGAACACGAUACGUUGAUUUCUCGAGACGAGGAUUUUUCAAAAUAAAUGCAAUAUUCAAUGUUUAACAUUUGAAGAAAUUGUAUCCUAACGUAUUGGGUUGCAAUUUUUUUAUAUGACUUAAACAAUCGAACACCCUUUUAAACUUUUUUAUGCGAGUUUAGACUAGUUCAUUUCUAAAGAGGUAAAAUAUCGUACCCUAACGCAUUAGGUGUGACAUUUUCUCUUUCUGAAAUGAAAAAGUCUUAAUGAGUAGUUCGAUUUUUAUAAGUUUUCUUUCAAAAUAAGGAUCGUAUUUUAAAAUUCUUCAAAGUUUUCAAUUCUCGACAUAAAGACAUUAACUAAUCAACUAGGUACCAAUUUUGGGCGUUACGAGGGUGUUAAUCCUUCCUCGUAGUAACUGACUCCCGAACCCAUUUUCUAAAUUUCGUGGACCAAAAUCGUUGUUUUAAUAAAAUUAAACCAUUUAUUAAAAACCACCACUUUACGAGGUGAUCUAAUCACACCUCAUCAAAAAGAUUGGUGGCGACUCCCAUCUUUUUUAUUUUCGUUUUCAAAAUCCAAGUUGACCCCGUUUUCAUCAAAAAAAAUGGUGUCAACAUGAAUGAUCGUCUCUAGGGGAUUGUUGUUGUUGUUGUUGGUGGUGGUGGUGGUGAUGAUUGUCUGAUCAGUGGAAAUUGCUAUGCCGGGAGCUCUGACGGCGCCGCCUCCUUCUUCAGUGGACGACAUUUUCAGGCUGAGCAAUUCGAAGUAAUUAACAAGCUGAUUUUGUGAACUGUUUUUGGCUGAGUGAUGUUGGAAAAAGGUACGAUUACGACAAAUGUUUCUAUAGCUUAUAUAAUAAACACAUGGAAAAUAUUUUUGUUAUAAUAUCAAUUUCAGCCCUUAAUAUUUAUAUUCUUGUCAAUUCUUAUUCUUUUUAGUUGAAUUUAACUCUCUAUCUUUUGAAAGUGUCAAAUUUUACUACGAAUCUUUUAGAAAAGAGUUGAAUUAAUAUUUUUAACAAAAAUAGUGAUUAAAAUAUUAAAUUUUAAACUUGACAACUCAUAUGACAAUCUACAUAUAGAUGUUUUCUUAUUUUAAAAUUAUUUGUUGACGUGGUAUAUAAGAAAAGCCAUGUUAUGCUAGCAUGAAAUGCAUAUAGAUUGUCACACAAGUUGUAGCACGAGCACCAUUAAAAAGUUAAUGUUUUACUCAAUAUUUCUGUUAAAGAAAAGCAAUUUGACUCUUUUUUGAAAGGUUAAUGACUAAAUUUAACUCAAAAUAAUAAUAAUAAUAAUAAUAAUAAUAAUAAUAAAGAAUAAAAACUAAUUUGACAAAAAAAGUAAAUGUCGAGGGCUAAUUUAAUGAUUAUAUUUUUUUUAAAGUUCCACUUAUAUAAAUACAAUAUAGGUUAAGGUAUUUGGGAGGUCGUUAUAUUAUGAGGAUUGGAUCAAAUUAAUCUCUCUAUUAUUAAAUAGAUCAAUUUAGUUUCUAUACUCUUAAAAGAGAAUCAAAUAAUUCCAAAGUGCAAUAAAGUUAACAUUUACUAUAUCUUUACUCAGUAAUUACUAGUAAUUUUAGUACUCGUCUAUAUGAUAUCUUUACUCACCAUAGCUAUACUAUUUAUCGAUAGAUGCAUUUGUCUUUGUCGUAUUUUUAGUUAAUUUCGUGAUACAAUCAUUGAUCUUACUUUUCUUUUUCUCUAAUAGGAGCAACUCUUAUGACUUUAUCACCGAAUUUUGUUCCAUUGGUUGCUCCAACACACCCUUUGUUUAAUGAGAUAAAAUUAAUAUAGUCGAUUUUUUUAUUUUUUGCACAAAGACGGAAGGAAGGGGAAAACACGGUCUUGACUCCUCUAAAAUUGAAAUUUUUGUUUUUUUACCCUUUAAAUGUAUAGAAUUAUAAAUUAUAAUGGUAAAAUUGUACUCUUCCCCCUCCUAAAAAUAACAAGGCUUUAAUUUAGUCUUUUAAAAAAUUAUAAAAAUAUUAGCUAAUAUAGUGAUUAAAUUGCAUUUUAAUUCUUAUCAAAAUUUAUAAAUUAAUUCUGAUCCCUCAAACAAAUUUCUAACGUCACCCUUAUUUUCAUAUUAGUAGAAAUUCUAAUCCGGUAUAUAUAUAUAUAUAUAUAUAUAAUAUUUCUUUUACCAACUUUAAACUUUAACUAGUUAAAGUAGAAAAAAAAUUAUUUAACAAAUAAUCCAAAGAUUGUUUAAGAACAUAAAAGGGAUGCAACUUAUCUACGUUCGGAUCGGGAUGGAUUCUUUUUUAUUUUUUUAAAAAAAAUUCUCCUAAACAAAUUAAAUCGAUUAAUCUAAAAUCCAGAAGUUACAAAAUUCUCAUAAAUAACAAGAGUUUACAAAAAGACAAGUAAAGAACACUUACUUCGGUUGAUGUAUGGUAUAAUAAGCCUGCAAAGCACUAAGAGUAAGUGAAGCAAUGGCACCCAAAAAUGCCAAUAACGUCCAAGGACUCCUAAAAUAAGUAUGAUAGCCUUGAGCUGCAUGAUUAAUCCACAUAUUCUUACAAUGAUUAUGUAUUUUCUCUUUAACCCCACUGUAAAUCGUCGGACUAGGAACCAAAUCAGUGUUCAUCUUAUUGAAAAGUUUAGCCACCACUUCAUCACUCCCCAAUCUAUUGUAUAGUAUGCCGGCGUCUCUCAGGUCUUUAACAUCUUCGGCUUCAUCGAUCAAUAAAUCAAGGAAACACAUAUAAGAAGUGACGGUGAAAUUGUUCUCGAAAUCCGGACACAUUUCGUAAGCUAUUAAGUUUAUGGUUGAAUCAUCAACGGUGAUCGGCGGUAACCGUAAUUUUCCGAAGAAGAAGAUAUGGUUGAAACUGAUGUCGGUUAAACAACUUGUUUCGCUUGCUUUUAACAUUAUCCCGGCCUUUUUAAGCUCUUUUACGGUACCAAUGGUGCAUGAACGAUACCGUUUUCCUCUUGCUUCGUUGAUAAAUCUGCGUUCAAUGAAACGCCACCACCAUGGUUUUUCUUCUUCGGCAAGGAGUCUUUGUCGUAGUAGAUGCAAUAAGUGAAUUCGCUCUCCUUCUUUUUGCUGCUCCCACCACCAUUCCCUACACCAAAAUUUGUGUUAGUCGGAAGCCAAGCUAUAAUUUCUCUUUUCUUUUUUUUUCUUUUUGUUGUUGGAUUUGGAAUUGUUAAUUUAUAUGAAGCUAAAAUUAAGAUUUUCAAAAUAGAUAACCCAACGAUUAAGUUAUUCAAUUUAUUUAAUUUAAUUGAAUAAAUUAUUAAAAACUUCGAUUCGGUAACACGGUUUAAUUAAAUUUUUUUACCCUGUUCAUAUAAAUUUUUAAAUCGGUUGGUCUAAUGACUUUCUCCGAAUUGAUAAUUCAAUUAAUUUUCAAUCCAAACCGAUUCAAACAAUAUUAACUAAACUACAAUUUUUAUUAUUGUAUUAAUGCAAAAAUCUUACCAUUUUUAAAAUAUUAAACUUUUCCAUUCUGAAAAGUUGGAUUUUUGAAAUCAUAAUUUUUUAUUUCUAAAAAAUGUACACUCAACAGGAUAAAUGUAAAACGACAGGCAGGGAUCGUUCCCAAUAAAUGAAAAAUUACACUUUACUCUCUUUUAAAUUUAUUAAAUUAUAAUAAGUCCUCAAAUUAAAAAAUAAUAAUUGUUCAAUUUUUUUUAAAAAAAAGAUAAAAUCAUAAAUUAAUACAAAAAAAAUUAAAAAUCAAUCCAUACUUGUUAAUCAAGUUGGUUGAAUAAAAAAUCAAAUAAAAUUGAAGUUAUACCAAUUGAAUUAAAGAAUGGAAUAAAUUUCUUUUUAUAUUUUUAAUAAUUUUAAAAAUUUAUAUAAUUAAACUGAAUUAUCUAAUCAAAUGGAAAAGAGAGUCUAAUAGAUUCCAUCACCCAUGUAGUUAUAAAAACCUUUUAAAAAUGAUUAUUUAUUUAAUUCCCUAAAUUACCUGUCCUCGCCUGGGUUGAUAACAGUAUCGUCGAUGAACCUUUGGAUUGCAUUCAUAAACUUUUCGCCAUUUUUUCUCGGCCUUGUAAGCAGUUCAAGAACACGAAAAGGUAAUUGGUUUUCCAACAAUAACAGAUCCGAGUACACAAAUGUCAGCAAAUCGUCUUUAAUAAACAAUUUACCAUCAUCAUCAUCACCGUAACGCCUGUAAACUGCUUGUAAAAUUGCGCAGCCGUCAACGAAGAACAUCCAAGCCAGUUCCCUGUUAUCGUAGCCAGUCUUCUCUAAUUCCUGUGGAUCAUAGCAUUUCCUCAAGCCAUCGAUCUCUUUCUUCAUGUUUCUGUACAAGGAAUCCUUAUCGACUCCAAUGUUUUUGACGAAAUGUGCCGCUAAUUUGAGCUUGAUCUCUUCGGAUUGAUAGAGGGAGGGAUCACCGUAGUGGAAUGGGCCGAUUGAGAUCACUUUCGGCGUGAAAUACUUCUUGAAAUCUUCGUUACGGCGAAGGGCUGAUGGGACUUUUCGUAUUAAUGGUUUUGCAGUGAAGUUGGGUUGGCCGGCGUAGAAAGCUCCGUCUAAUGACCGGAGAUUCGCUACUUCGCCAUCGCUGAGAGGGACGUCCGUGAACCGCAUAUCAAUUCUCACGUAAUCGUUGUUGGUGUUGUUGUCGAUGAUUGUUUGAUCAGUGGAAACUGCUCCGACGGCGCCACCUCCUUCCUCCGUGGAGGACAUUUUCAGGCUGAGCGGUUGGGAGUAAUAAAGAAGGUGAUUUUGUAAACUGCUUUUGGGUGAGUGAGUGAUGUUGGAGAAAAGGUGGCGAAGUGGAUAAGAUGCUGACAAAUAUUUUAUAGCUUACAUGAUAAACAUAUAUGGGAAAUACUUAAGGCGUUAGUGUUUAUAUUUUUACUAAUAUAAUUUUAAUUUUUAAUUAAAUUUAUUUCUCUUUUGAAAGAGUCAAUGAUAAAAAAGAAAAGUUAAAUAGUGACAAAUAUUAAAAUUGAGAAUAAUAUUACAGAACUUAAAUAAACCUUGGCCUUAACCAAGAAACUAAGACCCUGUCAGAGGGAGAAUUUUAUAUCAUUUAAAUUAUUCCAAAUAUUUAACAUUGUAAACAUGCUUCUUUACAUAUAGUAAUUGCAUUUGUUACUCUACCUAACUCAUGAAAAAUCUCAAAUUUGCAACAUCACAUGCCAACCAACCAAUUUGUUAUUCACAUUCCAACUUUCUAAAUGCAUACAAAUAUUUCAUGUUCAUCUACUAACAAAGAUCAUGCCAAGAACCCACAUGCAAAGUCAUUAUUUACCACAUUUUAACUCAACAAGACUUUUCCACAACCAAAGCCUACAAACCUUUAUAUGCAUGUCACAAUCCUUCACUGAAAAUGAUAUUUUCAUCAAUACCAGUUCAUUUUCAGUUCAAGAUUUAAUUCCUUUUCCAACCAUUCCAUCAUCCUCGAAAGCUUCAUCUAAUGACCGGAGAUUCCGUAGUUCCUUAUUGCUGCGAGUGAAGUCCGUAUCCAGUAUUGGAAUGAUCGUCUCUAGGGGAUUGUUGUUGUUGUUGGUGGUGGUGGUGGUGGUGGUGAUGAUUGUCUGAUCAGUGGAAACUGCUCUGCCGGAAGCUCUGACGGCGCCGCCUCCUUCUUCAGUGGACGACAUUUUCAGGCUGAGCGAUUUGAAGUAAUUAACAAGCUGAUUUUGUGAACUUUUUUUGGCUGAGUGAUGUUGGAAAAAGGUACGAUGACGAAAAAUGUUUCUAUAGCUUAUAUAAUAAACACAUGGAAAAUAUUUUUGUUGUAAUAUCAAUUUCAGCCCUUAAUAUUUAUAUUCUUGUCAAUUCCUUUUCUUUUUAGUUGAAUUUAACUCUCUAUCUUUUGAAAGUGUCAAAUUUUACUACGAAUCUUUUAGAAAAGAGUCGAAUUAAUAUUUUUUAACAAAAAUAGUGAGUAAAAUAUUAAAUUUUAAACAUGACAACUUAUAUGAAAGUCUAUGUGUACUUGUUUUUUUAUUUUAAAAUUAUUUGUUGAUGUGGUAUAUAAGAACAGUCGUGUUAUGUUAGCAUGAAGUGCACAUGGAUUGUCACACGAGUUGUAACACAAGUAUCGUUAAAAAUUUAAUGUUUUAGUCAAUAUUUCUGUUAAAGAAAAGCAAUUUGACUCUUUUUUGAAAGGUUAAUGGCUAAAUUUAACUCAAAAUAAUAAUAAUAAUAAUAGUAAAGAAUAAAGACUAAUUUGACAAAAAUGCAAGUGUCGAGGGCUAAUUUAAUCAUUAUAUCUUUUUUUAAAAGUUCCAUUUAUAUAAAUAUCUGGGAGGUCCUUAUAUUAUGAGGAUUGGAUCAAAUUAAUCCCUCUAUUAUUAAAUAGAUCAAUUUAGUUCCUAUACUCUUAAAAGAGAAUCAAAUAAGUCCAAAGUGCAAUAAAGUUAACAUUUACUAUAUAAAAAAUGUCUUGAUUUUUUUUUCAAUUGUAAUUCAAUUCCAAAUAAAAUGUUUCAUUUUCAAAACCAUAAAAACUUUAAAAAUAUUAACUUUGUUAAACGAUAAAUGUUAUAUUUACUUCAAUUUAGUCUUAUUUAAUUUUUUUAAUAGUAUAAAGACUAAAUUGAUCCAUUUAAUAGUAAAAGGACUACUAAUAUAAUGACUUCUCAAAUACAAUCCACUUAAAAUAACUUUUUUUGGAAACACAGACAGAAUAAACUAGACUUACGGGAUGGUGCAUCUAAUUCAACCUUCUAACAUGUCUUGAAGUAUAAUAUAUAUUUUUAUAAUACUAAUGAUAAUUGGAUUUGUUGAAUGAUGAAUGAUAGAAUUAUGAAUUUUAUUUGUGAAGUUUUUUAUGAAUAUAUACAAUUGAUUAAUAUUUUUAUAUUUAAAGUUUAUUUAAUUAUUUUUAUAUAUUAAAUAUUUUAAAAUUUUAUCAAUAAUUUUGGAAAGAUAUACAAAAACAGUGUAGUACUAAUAUGUAUUAGUUUUUGUAGAAAAAUGGUGCGCCAUUAAUGUAGUACUAAUUAACUACCUUGGAUAAAAAAUCAUUUUGCCCCUUGAAUUUGGCAAUUUCCCUCAACUUAGUUCUUAAACUUUUAUAUUAUCUACAUUAGUAUUAUAACUUGACAACUUUUCUCAAUUUUGAUGCAUGUGAUGACACAACACUCUGAUAUUGUGUCAUCCCAUCAUUUAAAAAUAAUAUUUUUAAUAAAAAUUAGGUGUUACAUGGUAGAAACGUCACCAUAAUGACCAAAAAUGAGAAAUGUUGUCAAAAUUCAUGACCGAUGUGGAUAGUGGGGAAGCCAGGGGGUUGAAAAGGGCCCUGCCCCCCCCCCAGAAAAAGGAAAAAAAUUAUUUAGGUCUCUUUAUAAUUUAUAAAAUUUUAAAUUAGUAAAGGUAAAAUUGUAUUUUGCCCCUCAAAAAUGAUAAAAAAAUUGAUUUAAUCCUUUAAAAAUGAUAAAGAUAUAUACCAUUAAAAUGGUGAAAUUACAUUAUUAUUAUCGUAAAAAUAUACAACUUAAUUUUGGAGAUUCUUCAAUUCACCAUUGCUGAGAUGAAGUCUAUACCCGGCAUUGGAAUAAUCGUCUUUAGGGGAUUGGUGCUGGUGGUGAUUGUUUGAUCAGUGGAAAUUGCUCCGCCGGGAGAUCCAACGGCGCCGCCUCCUUCCUCCGUGGACGACAUUUUCAGGCUGAGCAACAAGGUGAUGUUGGAAAAAAAGGUGGCAAAAUGGCUAUGAUCGAUGACGACAAAUGUUUCUAUAGCUUAUAAUAUGGAAAAUACUUUUGGUGCAAUAUCAAUUUAUCCUUUAAUUUUUAUAUUUUUUUUCAAUUUGAUUCUAUUAUCUCUAGUUAAAUUCAAUUCUCUACGAGUCAAAUUUGAUUACCAAUCUUUUAGAAAAGAGUCAAAUUAAUAUUUUUUAACAAAAAUAGUGACUAAAAUGUUAAAUUUCUAAAAACGACAACUCACAUGACAAUCUACAUGUACAAAUGUUAGAAUGCAUUUUAUCUUAUUUACUCAAAAAAUAAGCAAGUUAGUUUCUAUACAUCAGAUCAAAGAGCAAAUUGAUCAUUUUAUUAAAUUUUUAAUCUUUUUCUAUUAUUAAAAAUUGAUUCAUAUACAUAAGUUUGAGGUACAAUGGCACGUCACAUGUUAUGAUUUGGUUAUUCCGUUAGUCACACCAGUUUUUAACAUUACAAAUAGAUGAAAAUUUUAACAGAAAUAGCUAAGUUACUUUUUGAUCUAACAUAUAGGACUACUUUACUCAUUUUUCAAUAUAGGAAGCAAAAUGUAAUCCAACUCAAUGUACAAGGACUUCCAUGUUAUUUUUUUUUCCAAUUUCACAUUAUUUUAUCAUAUUUUAUAUAUAGAUAUAGAUAUAGAUAUUUUAAGCAUACGCCUAUCAUGGAAAUGGUAUAAUGUCCAGAUUAUCUGGUCUUUGAUUUCAUUUGUCAAUUAAUGAUUGUGGAUUGACAACAUUGACCAUUAUUCUAUGCACGGGGACUACUCAUCUACUCCUUUUCUGCCAUUCUCACUACCCAUUGCAUUCAUUUUCUAUGCCCUACUGCUCCUCUGCCGUGCACUCUCCAAUUGUAUUUAAAGACAAUAUAUACAUAUAGAUUGUAAAUUUUCUUGGCUGGAAGCUCACUGCAUGGAAGCCAAAAUCAAAACAAACUUUUGAUGGUUUAAUUGUUUUUGAGCCCUUCAAUUUCAGGUGCUAUGAGAAGUGAAUUACAACCUCAUCUUGUCAUUAUCCCAAAAUCAAAACAAGCAACUCUUGGUUGAAAGUUGAAACCAAGGGCCAAGUCAAAAUUGUUUUAGGAUGAGUCCAAAAUGAAUAAUGAAUUUGAAGGUUCAAAAUAAAAUUUUAUUAUUAUAUUAAUUUAUAAUUUCAUAAAUUUUAAAAGGAUUAAAUGAUAAAUUUACUAAUUUAAGAAGACAAUAGGGAUGGUCAAAUAUUCUAAUUGAACCUAUCUGCGAUCGGAUCGGGAUGGAUUUUUUUAAUUUAAAAAAUUAAAUAGAUUUAAUCGAAAUUCUAGGAGUUACAAAAUUCUCAUAAAUAACAAGAGUUUAUAAAAAGUACACUUACUUUGGUUGAUGUAUGGUAUAAUAAGCCUGCAAAGCACCGAUAAAAAGUGCACCAAUGGCACCCACAAAUGCGAAAAACGUCCAACGAGUCCUAAAAAAAGGACGGUAAACUUGAGCUGGAUAUCUAAUCCACAUAUUUUUAUGAUGAUCAUGUAUUUGCAGUUUAACAUGUCUGUAAAUCAUCAGACUGGGAACCAAAACCAUGUUCAUCUUCUUGAUAAGCUUAGCCACUUCUUUAUCACUCCCCAAUCUAUUGUAUAGUAUGCCGGAGUGUCUCAGUUCCUUAACAUCUUCGGCUUCAUCGAUCAAUGAAUCAAGGAAACCCAUAUAUGAAGUGACGGUGAAAUUGUUGUUGUAGAAAUCCGGACACAUUUCGUAAGCUAUUAAAUUCAUGGUUGAAUCAUCGAUGGUGAUCGGCGGUAACCGUAAUUUUCCGACGAAGAAGUAACUGUUGAAACUGAUGUCGGCUAAACAACUUGUUUCGCUUGCUUCUAACCGUAUCCCGGUGUUUUUAAGCCCAUUUACGUUACGAAAAAGGUGUGAAUGGUGCGGUUUUGUUCUUGUGUGGUCGCUGCGAUUUGUGAAGGAUAUGCAAAACCUAGAAUCAGCUGGUUUUUCUUUAUUGAAAAGGAGUCUUACUCGUAGUAGAUGCAAUAAGUGAAUUCGCUCUCCUUGCUGCGGCCACCAUUCACUAGACCAAAAUCUGUGUUAGUCGGGAGCCAGCUAAAAUUAAGGUUUUCAAUGGUUGAAUCAAAUCAUUAUUAUUUUAAUAAAACAUUAUUUAAAUUAUUAAAUUACAUUUUAAUCCUUUUAAAAAUUAUUAAAUUAUAAAUUUAUAUACAAUAAAAUUAUACUUUGACUCCUCAAAAUGAAUAAAAAUUUGUUCAAACACUUUUGAAAAAUGAUUGAAAUCAUAAAUUAAUACAUAAAAAAAAAUACAAGAACCAAACCAAACUUAUCGAUCGGCCUAAUUAGACAGAAAAUCGAGCAAGGUACUAGUCCAGAAUAAUAAAUUAAAUCCAUUGAAUCCAAUCAUCGAAUGGAUUUUUUUUUAUAUCUUUAAUAUUUUUAAAAUUUUAUAUAAUUGAAUCGAAUAAACUAAUCAAACGAAAAUGAGACUCUAAUCGAUUCUAUCACGGUUUAAUUAAAUUUUUUUACCCUGUUCAUAUAAAUUUUUAAAUCGGUUGGUCUAAUGACUUUCUCCGAAUUGAUAAUUCAAUUAAUUUUCAAUCCAAACCGAUUCAAACAAUAUUAACUAAACUACAAUUUUUAUUAUUGUAUUAAUGCAAAAAUCUUACCAUUUUUAAAAUAUUAAACUUUUCCAUUCUGAAAAGUUGGAUUUUUGAAAUCAUAAUUUUUUAUUUCUAAAAAAUGUACACUCAACAGGAUAAAUGUAAAACGACAGGCAGGGAUCGUUCCCAAUAAAUGAAAAAUUACACUUUACUCUCUUUUAAAUUUAUUAAAUUAUAAUAAGUCCUCAAAUUAAAAAAUAAUAAUUGUUCAAUUUUUUUUAAAAAAAAAGAUAAAAUCAUAAAUUAAUACAAAAAAAAUUAAAAAUCAAUCCAUACUUGUUAAUCAAGUUGGUUGAAUAAAAAAUCAAAUAAAAUUGAAGUUAUACCAAUUGAAUUAAAGAAUGGAAUAAAUUUCUUUUUAUAUUUUUAAUAAUUUUAAAAAUUUAUAUAAUUAAACUGAAUUAUCUAAUCAAAUGGAAAAGAGAGUCUAAUAGAUUCCAUCACCCAUGUAGUUAUAAAAACCUUUUAAAAAUGAUUAUUUAUUUAAUUCCCUAAAUUACCUGUCCUCGCCUGGGUUGAUAACAGUAUCGUCGAUGAACCUUUGGAUUGCAUUCAUAAACUUUUCGCCAUUUUUUCUCGGCCUUGUAAGCAGUUCAAGAACACGAAAAGGUAAUUGGUUUUCCAACAAUAACAGAUCCGAGUACACAAAUGUCAGCAAAUCGUCUUUAAUAAACAAUUUACCAUCAUCAUCAUCACCGUAACGCCUGUAAACUGCUUGUAAAAUUGCGCAGCCGUCAACGAAGAACAUCCAAGCCAGUUCCUCGUUAUCGUAGCCAGUCUUCUCUAAUUCCUGUGGAUCAUAGCAUUUCCUCAAGCCAUCCAUCUCUUUCUUCAUGUUUCUGUACAAGGAUUCCCCAUCGACGCCAAUGUUUUUGACGAAAUGUGCUGCUAAUUUGAGCUUGAGCUCCUUGGAUUCAAUGAGGAUGGGAUCAUCGUAGUGGAAUGGGCCGAUUGAGAUCACUUUCGGCGUGAAAUACUUCUUGAAAUCUUCGUUACGGCGAAGGGCUGAUGGGACUUUUCGUAUUAAUGGUUUUGCAGUGAAGUUGGGUUGGCCGGCGUAGAAAGCUCCGUCUAAUGACCGGAGAUUCGCUACUUCGCCAUCGCUGAGAGGGACGUCCGUGAACCGCAUAUCAAUUCUCACGUAAUCGUUGUUGGUGUUGUUGUCGAUGAUUGUUUGAUCAGUGGAAACUGCUCCGACGGCGCCACCUCCUUCCUCCGUGGAGGACAUUUUCAGGCUGAGCGGUUGGGAGUAAUAAAGAAGGUGAUUUUGUAAACUGCUUUUGGGUGAGUGAGUGAUGUUGGAGAAAAGGUGGCGAAGUGGAUA